UCUUUUUUUUUUUGUCAAAUGCAAACAGACUGGAAAUUUAGGAAGAGAUAAUUUUCCUACGCCUAAUCUGCCCUUAUCCUUCUUGGCCUAGAGUAACCUGACCCCACGAAUAUAAUGGUCUCUCCCAGCUGUGAGACCGUUACCUUGUUCAUUUGUGAGCCUGUUAGAUUGAUUAUUUAAUCCUCCUAGUUAUAUAAAAAAAAUUCAGAAUGAGCACAACAACUACUGAGAGAAACAAUUACAAUACCAAUAAGCUUCCGCAUGAAGGCCACUAGCAUCUGGCCAGAGCUUCAUAGAGCAGCCGCUCCAGCUCCUCCAUAUUUGCAGCCUCCAUGCACAUGAGCACGCUGACACCGCCGGCGCCGUCUGCCGGCCUGUUGCUCAUGAGGUGAAAAAACCCGCCGCGGUUGGACUCCGCACGACACAUCACUUGCGGCUUCCCCCACCCAAAAUCCGCGUCGUAAAUCGGCAUGCCCAGCCAGCUGAUAACCCGCAGAUCGGUCUCCGGCAGGGUGCCCUUCGCCGCCGACUGGCUGCCCAUACCUGCCAUCUCGAAGUAGUCGAUCGCGGACCGCACCAGCUCGUCGUCCACCCGACCGAUGGCGGCUCCGAUGCGGCCGGCGACGGACGCCAACGCCUCCGAGGUGAUAUCCCGCGCGGCGGCGGCGACGACCACCUCGACCAACGCGUUGCCGAAGUAGCGUUCCGGGAGGGGCGGAUUCACCCGGCGACGGAUGUUGACCGGGGAGGUGAACCGGGUUUCGGAAUCCGGCGGGAGCCGCCGUGCGACGCACGCGCACCGCCACACGAGGGCGCUCACGGCGCGGAACGUGCUCGCGCCGCCGCAUAGGCGCUUUAGCGAGGCGAUCCGGUCCUUGGAAAUGGUGAAGACUUUGGUGGCGAGAGGUCCCGACGGAUCGGAGAAGGCGAGCUUGGGGUAGAACGUCGAGAGAGCGUCGGGGUGGACGGUGGGCGGGGACCGUGCGCGGAGGAGGGUGCGGUCGUGGCAGGGGGGCUCCACGGUGGCGCGUUCGCCGUCCCUGGAGAAGGCCGACCAUGUCUUCCAGAAGUGGAUCGCGCUCAUGGCGUCGAUGGCGGCGUGGUGGAGGGCCGUCCCUAACGCCACCCAUCCACACUUGAAGAACGUCACCUGCAACGCAAUUAAGCAUGCAUCCACACACACAUACACACAUCAUGUACCGAUGCAAAUUGACAUAUGAUUGAGGAAGCAUGGAAGCACUAAUAUAAUUUAGGAGAAGUUGCAGACCUGUACGGCCAAUACUACGGACGAUGGCUCGAUGCGUGGAACAAGCUGCCUCCUUAGCUCCGGCGACGGCUUGACGUCUUUGAUCUCGUCGUCAACAGUGAUAUCAGAGCGAGCGACAACGAAGAGUGCGCCCUCGCCGUUACAGUCGAUCUCUACCCUACCGCUGCCAUCGACGGCGAGGCGGCCAGCGAGUGGGAAGAAGGGCACCAAGGCCUUGGCCAUGGCCUCCUUGAGCCUGGCCACGUCGAAGAAAUCGGAAGCGGUGUCAUCGGAGUGAAACAAGUAGACUGUUGGCGUGUGGCCUCUAUUGGCCGACAGGAUGUCCAGGGAAGACAACCAGAGCCCCUGCCUCGGUGUCGGCUCGCUCGGCGCCACAAAUGAAGACUCUACCACUUUCACCUCAAAAUCCAUUGAUUUUAAUUUCCACAAAGGAUUUACCGGCGAGGAAAGAUCACGGCCGCCACGGAUUGGUGCUUCCCCUCGCGUCUCCAGGCCUGGAACGAGAAAGAGAUGAACCGGAACGUGAUCACCAUGGCGAUGGGGGUCAGGUUGGUGCUUUGGUUGCCCGAGACGACGAGACGCUCACCUUGCGCGGCGGCGCACACAGGAGAGACGGCCGGCGCGUUCGGACGCCGGAGACGAGGAAGAACAAGAGGGCUCUUCUCGGGGAAAGUAAUGCAUGGGAGGAGGCGCGAGGAAGGAAGGGAGAUGAGCCUGCUCUUAUAAAGGAGAGUGCUAGCCUUUCGUUUCCGGGGUUCGGUGCGGCGCUGCACGGACGCCGGGGCGUGCCGCCGGCGCGUGAAAUAGCUUCCGUCCGGCUGCCGGCUCGCCUGAGAGGGGACGUUGCUGUCGCUUGCGUUGGGUCGGACGUUGCUGUCUCUCUGGAUGUAGACUUUAAAUAAUUUAGGUUUUAGAUGGCUGCCUUUGUGGCCCUGCUUCCUACAAACUGGGUUGGAAGCAGGGCACCACAAAGAAACCUGUCAAGCGCAUAAUUCACAUGAUUAUAAGUGUUCAUGUGAGGAAAAAACAUUCAUGCAAUACUUUUUCAUGGUGCGAGAAACAGAUCAUGAGUUCCGUGCUUAAACUGCAAAGUGAUCCAUGUUCUUGGUUUCUACAGUAAAACAUGCUUCUGCCACAGCUUUCUCAUAUUUUGUGAGCCAUUACGAGGUUCGAGAGAAUUUAUCACUGAUCAAGCUGCUACCUGCUUGCCAAAUUUGCUACCGAUACCACCUUAUAAUCAAAUCGGACGCAUUUUGCAUCAUAUAUAUCUUUGCUGAUCACAUAGCUGAAGUAAUGCUUAGUCAUUUCUAGAAUUAAAUGAAUUGGAUGCUACAACCAUACUCCCUCCGUGAAUAUAUAACGUUUAAGAUAAGAACGAACUACCUACCUUGUCCUAAAUAUCGUAUAUUUAUGGACGCGUUUAACACAAGCUAGUCGAACUAUCUUGUCGUAAUUUGAGCGGAUCCUAAUCGUCAUAUAUUAAAAUGGGAGCCCGACCGACUUUUUUAUUUUUUUAUUUUUAUUACACGUGAAAAUGAUGUGCAGCCCAGCCUGCCCCAAAAACCACACCCCGAUAGCUCUCACAGGUGGGCCUAAUUAGGUAUUUUGAGCUUAAAAUGUCUCUCCUUUUGUCAGCCCGAUCCAGUCCAACUUUCGCUCAGGUCUACUUACUCAUUCCACUCAUUCCGUAGACAAUUCAAAGUUUCCAAAUUAUAAUCUAACGAAUUUUAUGUAAUUCUACCCAUAAGUGUUGUGUUGUGGGUUCCAAUUUCAUGAGAUGAUAUCCGGCAUCAUAAUCUACAUUAAAUUCCAUGCAUUUUCAUAUCUUACAAAUAAACUAAUAUCAAACUAUCUAAACAUAUGAAAUUAUUAAUAGCAAAAAGUCUGAAAUAGUUUGAAAAUAGCAUGUAAUGCCAAGUACACCCUACCAAAAUUUGAAUAUGAAACACAACUUGCACACGGAGAAAAAAUUAUUUAGGGUGAAUUUAGACCAAUUUGAAUUGUUUGGAGCACUUAUUGAGUCGAUACUUUGUAGAUAAGGUCAAACGGAUGAAGUGGAUUGUUCCAGGUACUAAAACAUGCUUCCUCCAUGAAGAAUGCCUGGGCUGUGCAAACAGUUUCAUUGUGAAGAUAUUGCGCGGCAUGGCAAGAUGGCACAGACGUCUAGAAGUCAGACGCCCAAAAAGACAGUCAUCCUCGAGGUUGUUUUGUUCAGCAUGAACCACCUAGCUUCGUAAAAUAAUUAACUUCGGGCGAACCACCUAGCUUCGUAAAAUAAUUAACUUCGGUCGAGGGUCCCUAAUCUCAAGGGGCUAGUCUGGCGUGAAAGUAGUGCUAGCUUCACGUCGCCUCUGUAAAUUCAAUCUCGAAGCCAAGAGAUAAUCGCUGAUCACUAGGCUAUAACAAAGCUUACCCUCGAGUACUCGAAGCUAACCCCGAGCGUCGAGUUGUUUACUGUGUCUCACACAGGGUCGUUGGAAUGAACAAGCCAAGAACCAGGGCAUGAGGCUGGCACCUCUCUAGUGCGAGGCUAAGAUAACUUCAAGGCAUGAGGCUAACAUGGCUUUGGGUGCGAGAUUAAAGGCGUGGAGGCGUUGAAAACGUGAAGGCGUGAUUCUCGGGAUUGUCUGAGAGCGUGAUUCACGGGAUUGUCUGGAGGCAUGAGAAGCGCGACUCGGUGGAGGAGACUAAGUCGUACAAGUUACCUCCAAAAGACCUUUAUGUAUAGCAUAUUAUAGAAAUGUAGUGGUUGAGUAAGGGUAAUCGCGGAAUGUAAACUCUUUGCAUGGAAAAAUCUAAACUCUUUGCAUGUGCAUGUCGUGUAGAAGCUAAUAUCGCCGAUGGAACCUACGAGCUCCACCCUAUGCUGGAAGAGGAACCCACCGCAGAGCUACAUCACGCGAAAGUUGAGCACGAGCUAGAUCAAGACCCCAAAGAACCGCUAACUUUUCCUGAAGGCAAGCCCCGGUGCAUGCUUCCCUAUUUAAAAUUGAUGCAAAUAUGUUGAUGCUUAUGAUUGUGCAUUUACGUUGUAGGAGUUGAUUGAAACCAUAGAUGCAUGAACGUAGUACCUUAUUUUGAUCACUAGUUGCUAAGGUCGAGUAGUUGUUGUGCUAAAUAGGACUCGGUAAAAGUCGAGUGAUUGUCUGUCACUCGCGAGUUAUAGGAGUUGUGUGAUUACUCUUUCUACAACUAUAAGGAUGACGGACGGGACCGGGAAUGAUUCCGAUGUGGUAGUUUGCCCCGUCUGUCUAGCAAUGAACAUGCUAAGGUCGAAACGUGUCGGCGUUCGUGAUCAAGUGUCUGAAAGUACUAAUCUCAUACCUAGUAUGGAAUAGGGAAGCCUAGUACCUGAUUGAACUGGGGCGUGUCAUACCCCCCUGCUGUCCUUGGAACAUCGUUCCCAUGGUGCAUCAUGUGGGUGCAAGUGCGGUCACAUUACAGCAGAGGUCGGGACUAUGGAGCAUUUUAUGCCAAAGGAAGUUUGGACCUGACACAUGCCUAAGGGAUCGACUGGGACGGCUGACAAAUGAAGCGACCCUUUGUGGUGCACAAAUGUCAUGAGAUUAGGAUCGCCAUGCAUGGUUAAUAAAUUUGAAUCGAUUUGUCUACCUCUCACAGUUUGGGACUACUUGAUCGCUAUUCUGCACUGAGUAAAGAUGAAAUUUGAGGAUGUUAAACUUGAUGUUUGAUCUCUAGUUGUUUGGAAACAAUGCUUGCUUAGUAUAAGCUGCUAAUCUAGAUUGGUUAAUAAACUUAGAACUUGAGCUAAAAUAUUGAAAGUAAGGACCAAUUGUAGACGCUUUUGGCAAAACAAACCCACAGUCAAAAAGUAUUGCAUGUCUAGGAGUUGGUGAACUAGCUAUCACCUGUCGGGUCAGUCGAGUAUUAGUUGCUCAGCCUUGUUGGUGGCUUAACUUUUUAGGUAAUAUCGAUAGUGUGGCUGCUGGCACCACUUGGCCGACCCAGCUCCCUCCGGGUUGGACAGUCGAGUGGGAUCCCUCCUCGGACGACGAGGGCAGGGAUCAUUGAUGUCAUGAUCGGCUUCGUCAUGAUAUCGUGUAUCGACGUUUAGCUUCCGCUUGUUCUACAUCUUCGUUGUUUAUCACCUUGCAAACUUGUCUGAAUUUCAAAAACUCUGAUGUAAUAAAUUGUUGAACUAUGUUAAUGUAAUGGGAAUGUUGUAAUCUCUGUGCCCACUCACCUUCAUGUGAGCAAUGCUUCUCGAUCCUGAGUAAGUGGUUUAUCGGAUGAAAUCCGACAAUCGAUCAAGUUGACUUGCUUAAAGUGCAUGAUCGCGUGCCAGGUGACAUAAGUGCAUUUUAGUCAGGUUAAUUUGGGCAGUUCCACCACAGCGGGGCGCCGGCCGACGGUGUGGGGGCCGGGGUCGGUGAGCAGCGUUAAUGGCGGCCGAGAUUCUCGGCCAACACAGGGUGGUGGCGUGGCGAGGUGGAGUUCUGCGUGGAUGGCGUGGUGGGAUCGGGCUCGUGCGGCGAGGAGCAUAGUGGCGAAGGCCGACGUGGGGGAGGGCACCGGCCGGCGCGUCUCGUCGGCGCACGCGGGAAGCUGGGGCAAGAGGCGAGGCCUGUGAGGCUAGGGGAGGGGGCCCGGGGUGGUCAGGCGCUAGGGAAGGAGCAGGCGCCAGGGGAGGGGCCGGUGGCGUUGUGCGGUGCGCAGGGAGGAAACAGGCGCAUGCGGCUAGGAAGAAGAAAGAAAAAAGGAGGAAGGAAGAAGAAGAAAGGAAGAAAGAGAAGGAAGAAAAAGAAAAGAGAAAAAGGAAUAUGGGAAAAUGAGAAAAAGAAAGGGAGAGUCGGCGGUGAUUGCGGAAAGCGGUCGGAGCACGCGUGGCGGUUUGUCGACCGGCACACGGCGGAAUUUGCGGAGAGGAUAAAAAAAUGAUGGUUGUCGGCUUUUGGUGCCGGGACGGUGAAAUCGCUGGGAAGGUGGGAUUUUCAGGAGCUCAACGGUAAAAAGAUUUUGAAAACAACUUUUUUUAGUGGGUGAUUUAAGUUGGUGAUUUUCACGGAUGUUAGAUUUUAUUUUCCAACAUUAGUAUAUUCAGAAUUUCAGAUAGAUUUAUUCGCGGAUGCAGAAAGGUCUUGGGUCCAUCCCAUUUCUUGAGCUGAUCUGCAUCCCAGUUCUUAAAGCGCGACCUCCAGCAAGGACUCACCCGAUGCAAGGGCGGGCACUUCCAGGUGUUACUCGUUAUAGUGUGUUAAGGUUGUUGACCUCCAUUGUUUAUGCCUGUCUCUUAAUCUAGAUGAUCCGAAGAUUUGUUAAACUGACUGGCAACCUCACAUAAGAUCUCUAUUGAGCUCCGACAAACUGUGAUUCCCUUAAAUGUCAAGUACGCACCUACCGGCCGUUGACUCAGUGUCCUACUCAGCCUGCGUGCGGCGUGCCUGCAAUACCGCUUCACAUCACCGUCUUUUAUUUUGCGUUUGACUUUGCCCAUAUUUCUACGCACGUUUUAGGUAGCGUUCGGUUGGAGAGUGAGGUACGAUGGAACGAUUGAUUUUAGAAAUGUGAUGGUUUCAUGUUAGAUGUUUGGUUAGAGGGAUAGAACAGUUCCGUUUUUUUGGUUUGCUCCGUUAACCACUGUUAUGUGGGACCUGCCUGUCAGUCACCCCACCCUCUUCUCCUCCUCUAAUCUUCUCCACCAGAGCGCACCAAGCUCCCAUCGGACCUCGGCCAUGGCUCCGCCUCCGCCCCCUUCUCCAGUGCUGCGGGCUCCACCUCCACGACGCCGGGCGCUGCCCUCCCCGUGUCGCUGGGCUCCGUCCCCCGCGCCGUCGGGCUCCCAACCUCCCUGACCAUGGUUCCUCCCUUCCACCUUCUUCCUUCUCCGUUACACCUUCUCAAUCCGGUCUCCGCUCCACACCGGACGCCGCCAUCCUGAGCCUUGCCACCCCUUACCACACGGCAGGAACCACCCUCCGCCCCCGCAGCGCCAGACGCCGCCCUACCCUGCCGCCGGAGCUCCGUCCAAGCUUGGAUCCGCACCAUCAGCGCUCAAUUCUUCACUCCUGCGCCACCCAAGCUCCAUCCCCCUUGCCGCCCUGAGCUCCUGCCACGCGCAGCACCACGUCCUUAGCUCCUUGCUCGAGUCACAGGAUGAGACGCUGUCGAAUUGGGACGGCUCGGUCCACUCGAUUUUGCGUGAUCGAGCGGAGCAAACAUUUGCUCACCAGGAUGGCUCCAUCCCUCCGCUCCUGAACCAAACAUAGAAUGGAACGACUCCAUCCCACUCCGCUCCUCAACCACACUACCUUAAGACACAACAAUGGAGGUCAACGAAGUUCUGGAUCAUCGAAAGGUUAUACUUCUCUGAUCAAUUGUUUUGCCAGUGAUGUUCGCUACGAACAUAUGCUGCGCAGUAACAAGGAUUUGCAUGUUUAUUACUAGUACUUGUUGCUAUAUGUGCCGGACAGUGGCGGGGCCAGGAAAAAAAAAUUGUAAGUGGGACGACUUCUAACGUGAAAGUAAAUCAAAAGAAAAAACGUACGGCAUGUACACCGAUUCACAGUGCAUUCACAUAUGGCAUUUGCACGAAUUCAUGCCUUAUUAACGCAAGUGACGUUUUAAGAUGUUACCUCAAAAUUAAAAAAAUAAAUUAAUAGUUAUUAUGUCGUACAUAGAAGAAUAUAAAAAAUAAAAAUGGAUGAACCUCCAGAUUGUGCAAAGAUCAAUUAGCGGGUGUGGAGAAUACAUUAUUCACAAGCUAGCAGGCAGCAUGACGAGAUCUAGGAUUCAAGUGUCCAGCAAAGAAGGGAUUUGAGAAAUUACAGCAGGACAAGAAAAUGGAGUACAAACAGAACGACAUUCUCACCCAUUGCCGUUGUCUACAGGUUGUGGUCUAGGGCUAGGAGGGUUUGGGAGCAUCGAGCACCGCCGAACUGAAGGAAUCGGAUGGGGAAUGGCUUGCAAUCGGGCAUGAUUUAGGUUGGGCACGUGGAGGUCAACGCUGACCGGUCCGUAUCAUAUCAUUAAUUAAUAAACUAGUCCUCAUAUAGCAUGCCCUUUCCUGAUUAAAAUAUAUAUAACUGGCCGGUUGUGCCCAAUCGGCAAAGGUGGUGGGCAGCUCCCCAUGUGAUGCUGUGAUGCUGUGUGAACGAAGACGGCAGUCAGGUGGUCUUGAUUCAAGGCGCCCUACGUGACCUUGUACUGGCGACGGCGAGAUGCUGUUCCUCUUCCGAUCCUCGGGAGGCAAACGUACGCGUCCAUGAGGUAGGAGCCUUAUUGGUGGGUGUGGCCGGCGUGAACCAGCCGGUGGAUGAGCAACGGCUGAAGGCCAACGAGAACGGUGGGUCCAUCCUCCACGGCGCUACUGAAGCAGCUUAUUGUUGUGAAGGUUCCCAAAGCAGAGUGGCAGCAUUACAUUCCGCUAACAUUCAAAUCGAAAUUAAGAUCCUAUGACAGUCGAAUUUGAAAAAAAGAUCAUAUGAAAUAGUGUGAACCGGCCGCGAGAGCAGGAUUGCACAUUUACACUCCUCCAAAGUUUGGCCGUAGAUGAUGGUAAUCGACGAACGACGACGGACAUUCCACACGAAGCUUCCUCGAUCCUUGUGGCGGGUGGAUCCGUGAUCUUUCCUCCUGUGCGCCUGGAGAGAGAGGUAACGUUAACGCGCUAGGCGCUACGCAAGCUAGCCACAUUUUCGUCCGGUCGCAGUCCCCGGCCGCCAGCUCUCCACGUGUCCUCCCAAGUAGCCAGCCCAUCCCUAUCAACUAGGCAAUCACCCGGGUGUUUCUCAUGGAAGCAUCACCCAAGCAAUCUGAUUUGCUGAAACACUUGAUUUUGAGGCAGACAAAAUUCAGGUGCUGGCAGAGGUGCUGUCACCUGAAUAUCAACACCAUCAGAUUUGGAUCAAACGGUGGAAAAUAAUUGCUAGCAAAAACAACAUAGAAACAACUAUGCUGAGAACAUAGUAAACAAACUGAUGCAGAAAAGAGAAGGAAAAUUAACAUGCAAAAUGCAAAAUUAACAACUCAACAAAUUUUUAUUAUAGUCAGUUAGAUAACAAAUUAUUUCUAAUGGUGAGAAACCCCUCAAAUGCAAAAAUACCAAUACAUAAAUUAAAAUUACAGUGUAAGUUACUUACUAAGUACUAAUAUAGUUACUAAUAUGGUGUAAAAGAAUCCUAAUAUAUAGGGAAGCGCACGCACAGUAAUAGCGGAGUGAUGGGCUGCUCCUGCCUAGCUGGCUACGCGGCUGGGGAAAAAAUGCCUAGCUGGCUGCUCCUGCCUGCCAUGCGUCUGAGCAUCGGGGUCUGUGCGACAAGGCAUCGCACAGCUGCGCUCCGCGCAGGUAGAGUGACGAGGACGGGAGAAACACCAUCAUGUAACCUUUAGCUUUCCUUUUGGCCCUGAUAGCUUUCCUUUUAGGCCUCCGACAAGAAUCUGGCUGACCGGUUACGUCUGCGGACGCCGGUUAGAGAUGCCUUUUGGGCCUGUAGGCCAUGUUUAGUUGGCUCCAAACUCCCAACUUUGACACUAUGCAAAAAGAAGAUUCCCCAUCACAUCAAACUUGUGGUACAUGUAUGGAUGACUAAAUGUAGACGAAAUCAAAAACUAAUUACACAGUUUUGUUGUACUUUACGAGACGAAUCUUUUAAGCCUAAUUAGUCAAUAUUUGGACAAUAAUUCAUAAAUACAAACGAAAUGCUACAGUUGCGCAUUUAUGGCAAAAUGCCAAUUUUGCCUAUCCCAAAUUGGAAACUAAACAAGACCGUAGUUGAUGUGACCUUUUGGGGAAAGGCGACACCACUGUUUCUCCCAUCCUCGUUCCUAAAGUAAAGAAGUGUUCCUAAAGUAGAGAGGUGUUUGGUUGUUUAGUACCUCCUCACAUCGAAUAUUUGAUGUUAAUUAGGAGAAUUAAAUAUGAGCUAAUUAUAAAACUAAUUACACAGAUGGAGGCUAAUUCACGAGAUGAAUCUAUUAAACCUAAUUAAUCCAUCAUUAGCACAUGUUUACUGUAGACCAUAUUAUCAAAUUAUGGACUAAUUAGGCUUAAUAGAUUCGUCUCGCAAAUUAGUCUCCAUCUGUGCAAUUAAUUUUAUAAUUAAUUUAUAUUUAAUACUAUCUAAGCUUUCGAUGUGACCCUAAACAAACAAACAGCCCGAAGUCGCAGGCCUAUAUAAAGCUGCUCUCCUUCCCAGCAAAGCAUCGACUUGAACAGGCUGCAGCCACUGCACAAAGCAAGCAAGCUACACCAAGCUAGGAGCCUAGGAUGGUGACGCUCAUGAGCCUCCAGGCAAGACGGGAGGGGCUGGUGCAGGGCAACGACGACGGCGUCGUCGACCGCAACGCAACCAGCUGGUUCCCCGCGGCGCUGGGGCUUGCAGGCCUCGCCACCGCUUCCUCGGCCAUCACCGCCGCCAUGUCCAAGCCGCCGGCGGCGCUCCAAGGGACGAACGGCUCCUACUACCUCCUCGCCCUCUCGGGGCUCUUCUACGCGGGGGUCGCAGAGCUCGGCGGCGCCGUCUGGGUGAUGGCCGACCCCCGCGCGCGCGCCGCUGUCGGGAGGAGGCUCGUGUACGCGUCCCUCGCCCCGCUGACGGCGGCAGCCGGCCUGGCGGCGGCCACGCUCUUAUGGUGAAGUUUCUGCCACGCGCCGCGCGCGCAGCAGGUACGUAGUGCGUACGGUCGCACCAUUGCCAUUGCCACGCUCUUGUGUCCAGAUACAAUAAGUUGGUGAUGACUAAAGUUCUUAGUCUCCAUGAUGUGUCCUACGUGUUUCUAUAUCCAUUAUCCGGAAAAAAAAAACCGUACGUGCUGCUGUAUUGUUCCAUUCGGCCGUGUGUGUGAGACGGUGUCCAGUGGAGUCGAAUAGAGUCAUCAGUAGAUUCUGUUCUAUAUAUACGCCAUUCAUCGUAUUUCAUCGUCGUCUCCUGACAUGUCGUGUGCUGCUGCUGCAGAUCAACUGUGUACCCAUUUAAUAUAUAUAGUGAUAAAAGUUGUUGGCUCCUUUUGCUGCAUAAUACAUACGAAUAUAUGCAACUCUACCACGUUGACGUAAGUAAUUAAUUUGCAUGUCAUUCCCUCUUCCCCCAUCAUAAAUUACUACUCCCUCCGUUCCAAAUUAUAGGUCGUUUUGACUUUUCUAGAUACAUAGAUAUUAUUAUGCAUCUAGAUAUAGGGUAUGUCUAAGUGCAUAAUAAAGUUUAUGAAUCUAAUAAAGUCAAAACGACCUAUAAUUUGGGACGGAGGGAGUAUUCAUUUCAAAUUUUUAAAUACAAAAUCACCUUUUAGUACAUAUUAAAAGUGAUGUAUUUAAAAAAGUCAAGAUGGAGUAGUUACGUUCAAAUACAAGUGGGGAAAGUAAAAAAAAAAAAAAGCAAACCUAGGCUGUCGAGCGUCGUUGACCGAUUACACGACCCGUUCGUCGAUCGGGCACGCCGCGCGUGUUUUUUACUCGAUCCUGUUCUCGUCUAGGUGAGGUCAUGCCUGUGGAUAGUCGUGAACGCAAAGAUGUGACAUGUGUUCCUUACUGUUGGAGCUUCAAACUCAGACUUCGCUCAUGCAUGGGCCUGGCCUGUUUGCUGCCCUAGGCUGAUCGGCCUCAUGGGCCUUGCAGUUAGCCAGUGAGGUAGUGGGCCUCCUUUUUUUUACCUUUUAUAAUUUGUGGAUUUUCUUCAAUUUAAACUCGAUUUUAAGGGAAGGAAAUCCCAGAAAUUCCAAGAAUACUAGUAUUAUGAACUGAGCCAAUUGCUUUGUUGGCUAGAGACGGAUGCGGUUGAUCUAUAAAAUCCUCGCGGACAUUCCAGCAUGCAGGCCGUCGGCGACCGCGUUACUGUCGCUGAGAUCUUGCUGCUUAUUAGCCGUACCUCGUAAGAAACCCCCAAUGACUCGUUCCAUGGUCACGGCAUUCCGAUUCUCCUGAUCAUGAACAGCAAGCGCGGGGUGCAGCGAUCGUAGUGUCAACAAGUUGACAAGUAGACGGCAGCAGAACAGGGGAAGGAAGAACAGAGCACAAGGCAAAACAGAACAAAUGUGCGCACGUUGGGCCUCGCGCUUGUCCGAACAGCAGAUUCGUAUACACUCCUAGAUAGACUACGUAACAGUUUGUACCACGACUUUCGGAAAUCGAAUUUGCCACCUAGACAGUCAAAACCCGAUCAUAAUGUCAGAAGCGGUCAAGCAUUCCCGGCGGCGGCGGAUCCCCGGAAGCAGGCCGUCGGCGACCGCGGCGUAGAGGGCGGCCUUCCCCGCGGCGCGGCGUGCGCCGGGCUUGCGGGAGACCCACAGCCCGGCCCAGGCCGCCAGCAUCCUGGGUCGUCGUUGCUGCCGGCCGUGGGCAAAGUGGUGGUAGCUUGAAGAGCUGGCUGGCUGGCUGGCUUCAGGAGAGUGCGGAAGUGUGGAACAGGGCGAAGGAACAAGCUGGCGAGCUACAUCGGGCACACGACUUGCGCUCACUCCAGCUCAAUGCCGGGCUAUUUAUACGAGCUCGGCUCGUGCACUGCACAGCAGAUCGAUCGGAUCGGAUCGAUCUACAAUGACGUUGACACUUGAUGCUCGGCACUCGGCAGUGUCCUAUGAGAGAAGCUCAGUGCCCAGAAUAAAAAUGGGUUCCCCUGUGUACUAGUACUAGUACUAGUAACAGUGUGUCCUUCUGGUGCCGAGUUGCUGCCGAGCUCGGUGCAAUGAAAAUGGAGAAACGGACGAAAUCGGUGCUCGGUGUCAGUGUGCCACCCAACUACCCCAAGCCACCCAAGUUUUUGCCCGCUCGCCGUGCCUGCCCGCGCGGCCGCCGGCACCCACGGCCGCUGCCAGUCGUCGCCGCUCGGCCGCGUGGUCCCCGUCGUAGGUCCUCCUUCGAAAAUAAAGCAGAAGAGAAAAAAAAUCGUCAAAUUCGGUGAUAACACACAUGAUUACGUGAUGCACAUAUGCGGUCCGGCCCAGUUACAUGACAGCCUUUCCAUUUCAACGACCCAAGAAGCCUUGCUGUAACUGGACUUGAUUUCCUUUCGCUUUGUGGGCCAUGAACCCCAGUAGGAGUCGGUUUUCUCGCUUCCUUGCGGUACUGACGAUCUAUCCCGACACACCACCUUACUGCUAUUUGCGUUAACCGAGGUGAUCUCAGCUUCGUUGUCCCUUGCCUUAACCAAGCUGAUCUCAGAUCAGCAGUGAAGAAGAUACAAGUCUGCUUUGAGUAGAGAAGCCCAAUCCAAAUCUUUCACCGGUGUCGCCCUGCGCAUUUGAACCGACCUCUCGAGGGCGCUCCCUAGGCUAUUCCGAAUGCAAGUUCUCAAUGGGAAAUUUUAUCUCGCAGUUUCUAAGAAUGACAUAUCAUUAAAACACUUUAUGUUGAUGAAUGAAACAAUACCCCCUGAUACAAAGUUUCAUUCACGAUUUUAAAGGAUGCCCAUAACAUUUAAUUACGAGGCAUGUGAUUGAAUAUGUCAGAUGAAAUGAAACUCUAUAACCCCCAAUGCAAGUUUCAACAGGUUUCAUAGUCUUGGAAACAGUGUAUACACAGUUUCACCUUGAUGAAACUCCUUCUCUCUCACUUCAUAACUAUCAUACCAUAUCAUCAGAUAAACUGAUGUGUCAUUGUAUUUAAUGUGCAUGAAACCUAUAUAAAACUCCCACUAGGAUUAGCCUGAGGGUUUCAAACUCAUUAAAUAACAUACCAUAUAGGUAAAAAUGGUGACAUGGCAUAAAAUUUAUGAAGAGGGAGGAGUUAGGUUUCAUAGAGAUAAAAUCUUGUGUACACGGUUACCUAGACUUUAAAACUAUGAUGAAACCACCGUUAAGAGUAAUUUGUUUCAUCUUCAAAACCCCCAUUAAAAGUAAUUUGUUUCAUAUUCAUAACUUUUAUCGAUCCUGUGUGGUCAUGAUUAUUGUGCCACUACUAAUAAUACAAUUACAAGUGGUUACAUAUUCAUAUCGCAUAUUUGAUCUUAACACUAUACAAUAAUUAAAUACUGACAUGAACUGUACAUUGAUCUCAGUACUAUACAAUAAUUAAAUACUAACAUGACGAGAGACUGUUUCAUUUAUCAAAUUAGAUUUUUGAAGAUGAUACGGGAACGGUGUAAUAGAACUCUCCAACGAGAAUGGCCUUAUCCGCGCCGCGAUAUUUUUGGCCAGGGACGGGGCACACGGAGGCGUCCUAUCCUAGCUGGACGCGUGACCAUGCGGACGUGGACGCCGCUUGGCCGUAGGUCGCGGUUCCCAGGCUUCGAGCGGCUGCACUGCAUGGCGGGCAAGUAGCAUCCGGCGCGGCCACGCUCGCGCUCGUGCGGCACCGCACAGCACCACCACAGAUGACACAAGGGACGAGGGCCGCGGGCCCCGCCUGGGCCGACUUUGGAGGAUAGGUACGCCCGCCGCGCGGCUUGGGCCACGCGUUGGUCCGGCUGUCGCGCAUGCCCCCAGCCCACCUCAUCAUCAGCCCACCUGCGCCCGCGGUUUCCUUCCUAAUCUGGAAGUUUUUACCACGUGAUAUCCCCAACAAGACAACAAUGUCCGAUAUAGUUGCAUCGCAGGAGGGGAGGAGCGCCGUAAAGAUCCCAUUGCCCAAAGGCCCGGCGCCACGGUCACUGAGCUGCGGGCCCACCGCCCCCCCCCCCCCCUCGGGAGUCGGCGCUGUCGGCCAACAACCCCCUUCCGCUGCGCCGCACCCGCUCUGCUCCCAGCGACGGCGCGAGAGGAGAUUGAUUGUGAUUGGCCGAGCACCGGAUUCCUACAGCAGGCGGGCGAUGCCACCUCGCGGCCGCAUGGAGCUGCGGCGGAUCGAGGACCGGGUGAGCCGGCAGGUGCGCUUCUCCAAGCGCCGCGCGGGGCUACUCAAGAAGGCCUUCGAGCUCUCGCUCCUCUGCGACGCCGAGGUCGCGCUCAUCAUCUUCUCCCCCGCCGGCAAGCUCCACGAGUACGCCUCCACCAGGUUACGGUUCCCUCUCCCCACCCCUUUGGGUGAAAUUACUCGCUAAGCACGAUGUCCGCCCGAAUCGCCCGAGCUGCUGUUGCCUUCGAUCCCGUUACGGACGGCGGCGGCGGCGGCGGCGGCGCGCCUGCGCGCUACCAUGCGCUCGAGACCGUCCCCCGAGUUGGGAUACCGCCUUGCAUUGCAUGGCCCUGUGCAUUUUAGGACUCAUGGCGCGGCACCUGUUCCGGAUCUUGUCUUGCUCUUCUCCAGGUCCGGCUGGGUGUGCUCUGCCACUGGCUUCAGAAUAGCCGGCAACAGCAGCGAACUCUGUCUCCUCUCGCCAUGCGCACGUGCUGAGCGUGCUCCGGUGCUCGUGAGCCGUUGGCACCAUUUAUUUGCACGGCGUCAUCAUCAUACUCCACAACCUACAUGGAAUUAGGUAGAGACAUAUUUUUCAAUUAGCUUUCCAGACACAAGAAUUUGGUGCAAGUACAACAAGAAAACUGCAUGUGAUGGUGAAGAUGUUGGUGAUGCUGAAGUUGCUUAGUUGUUAUGAGUAUAUAUCACCAUGAUGUAUUUUUAUUUGGUUGUAAUUUUGUAUUUUUAAGUGUAAACUUUUUUUUAGAUUGUUUAUCAUGUUGUCGAUACAUCAUAUACUAACUCAAACAAAUAUACCAGACUAUUGUUUGUAACUAGGAACUUCUAUUUACUUUUUCUAUGAUUGAAGUUAAUUAAUUCUAAUGGUUAAAUAUGAAUUAUUAGUAACUAUUCAAGACCACCGCAUAGAAAAGAGGAAACAGACAAUAAAAAUGAGUAUAAAAAACAUCAAGAUAAUGAUAGCAAAAGAUGCACCAACCUAAUAACGAGGGUACAAAAACAUAUUAUAACCAACAAUGAGAAACUUGAUAAAAUUGUAGUUACAUAUAUAUUAUAUUACUCCAUAGUUAUGCAUUCAUCACUUUUGUCUGUUUUCACUUGGUACGCAUAUUUUGUUGGUGGCAUGCCGCCAUUAAUCACUUGCAUCUACAGUAAGCCAAUUAAUAAUUUUAGUUAACGUGUUAGUUGAACAAACAUUUUUAUAAUCCUGGACCCCGUGUGAAAGAUAAAACCCAAGUUCAAAUUUUGUCAUGAUAUAAUAUAAUUUUCUAUUAUGCAAAAUAUAAUUUUAAAAUUAUUAUAUUUUUAUCAAAAAAAUGAAUGAUAAAUUAUAACCGCAUGAAACAAAUAUAACGCUACAGGGGUUUACAACUGAUAUAAAUCUAGCACAUUUUAUGCUUUCUAUAGAUGAUAAAGGAUAAUAAAUGCUAUGAAAAGUUAACAUUUGGUGAAUCACUCUUUUGAUCACGCUCUCUUCUUCCACCUCUUAGCUAAAAGUCAAAUCUACACACUUUAACUCUCCUUAGAUUUGUUGUCCAUAUGCAAAUUUUACUUGAGAAAGCUCCUUUCUUAUGCGGACAUGAUGCCCGAGAGCUCACAUGUGUAUUUGCUCAUAUUUACUUCGACUUUUUUUCUCUGGAUGCAUCAACAGGGGGCUCCUUUUUUGUUGUCCGAAAACUCAUCGUUGGAGGUUAUUCCUAGAUUAUGUAUAUACUUGACUUACCCCGGCCCAUAUGUUUGAUGCGCUCUCGUAGUCAGCAACCUCAAGUGGCUACGAGCAAGGGGCAACACCUAGGCUAGGAACAAUUCUACAUGUAGUAAAAGAGGAAGAAAAAACAGAAAAAAGGAAAAUAGAGAGAUGAGAGGGAAAAAAAAUGGCAGGGUCUUCACUUAUAAACACAUAGCAGUAAAAAUAACAUCAAGUCCUCCUGUAUAGUACCAUGUGCAUUAGCUGGACCACUCUAACCUUAAUAAAAGCCUUUCAGCAUGUAAGGUAAGCUAUGCCCACCUAAACAUUAUCACAUCAGCUAGCACAUCAUGACGUCACUACUUUCUCAUCCUUCCCCCAAUUCUUCUUCCUUCCUUUUUUUUCCUUGGCAAUUUGGUGUUUCCGUUUUCCCCUCUCUAGCCAGUUUGCGUCCCUCUCUGCAAUUUGGUGUUUCCUUUUUUCCCUCAAUUUGGUGUUUCCUUUUUUCCCUCUCUAGCCAGUUUGCGUCUUGGCAAUUUGGUGUUUCCUUUUUUCCCUCUCUAGCCAGUUUGCGUCCCUCUCUAGCCAGUUUGCGUAAAGGCACGAUGAUGAUUUGAGAGCAUGAUUGUAAUUAUCUUUAAUUGAAGUUGGAAUAACAUCGAGUCCUCUUGUAUAGUACCAUGUGCAUUAGCUGGGCCACUCUAACCUUAAAAAAGCCUUCAGCAUGUAAGGCAAAGCUAUGCCCACCUAAACAUUAGCAUGAUUUCUCGUCAUUCCCCCAAUUCUUCUUCCUUCCUUUUUUUUCCAUGGCAGUUUGGUGUUUCCUUUUUCCCCUUUUUUCCCCUCUCUAGCCAGUUGCGUAAAGGCACGAUGAUGGUUUGAGGGCAUGAUUAUAAUUAUCUUUUAAUUGGAGUUGGAGUUGGAGUUGGAGUUAGAGCCUGUGGAAGAAGUUUUGCGAAAAUGCUAAAUCCAAUUAGUAGAGAGAUGGCGCAAAAGCCUAAUCAAGCACCUAGUUCCUGAUUUCUCUACUAAUUUUUGGCUCACAAGAAAACCUAGACGGUCUAGGUGGAUGGCUUGAUAAUAAGGGCUCUUCCAAGAGUGUCCGCCAACUUAGCUAGCUAUAUAAUGUGCUAACAUCGGCAAUUUUGUACUUACUGUCAGAAAUAAUGAAUGCAACGAGAAAAGACUUAGUUAUUCCAAUAUGCAUGGAGCAUUUAGCAUUCCUAUUACAUUUGAACCCAUAUCACUAGAUAUGGCUUAUUUUCAAAAUUAUAGUAAUUGAAACACAUAAUAGAUUUCUCCGUGUUCUGAUUCAAGGGAGGAAAAGGCAAAUAAAUUCAAAUGAGAAGAAAUUUGUUAACAGAAGUUUUCCUAGAUCUUUCCAUUAUUAGUGUAUUUGUUUGAUAGGACAUUGCAUUGAAUAUGGACAUCCAUAACUAACUACCAGCUCCUCUUUUAUUCAACAAACUAAACAGGAUGAAUGGAAAAAAAUAUAUUACAGCUAGAUUUUUAUAUUUUUCUGUGAUCAUGAAACUAGAAAUGGAAACUCUUGAGCUUCCAGAGUAAUGCAAAACCUUUAUGAGAACUAAAUAGAUUAGAAUAGUACUUUUGUAGAAUAAUGAAACUCUAAAGAAUCAGUGUGGAACGUGAUGGAUCAUGGCAUGGUUAUUUGAUGCGUCAAAUUCUGACUUGAAAUUUGAAAUGUAUCAGGAGAGGGUAUAUAUUGUAAUAAGGUGUAUUCCUCCAAUGAAACUAGCUGCAAUUAUGCUUCAUUAGGUGAACAUAAACUGAUAUUCCAAGAGGUCAUUAUGCAUUGAGCUAAUAUGUUAUCCCUUUUCUGUUUUCCCCUUUUCAGCAUAGAAGAUACAUAUAACCGCUAUAAGCAAUUUUCUGGAGCAGGAAAAACUGAGGAUGGAGAUCGAAAUAUAAACAAUGUAAAGACCUCACUAUAUCGCUCUUCCAAUGCAUAGCUCGCCGCCUACAGCUGCACAAAUUUGGAUUAUAUAUACAGAAAUCAUCAGUCUUUACAUGAUGUGACACUUCCGGUUGCCAGCACCAAACACAUGCUCGGUUUGCAGUAUACAUAAUGUUCUGUUUGUACAGUCUAUGCAAAUGCAAAAUAAAAGAAAUAAAAAUGCUGAACUUAGCUGACGAGGGUGUGUUUUUGGUUCAGAACAAGGAUGGAGCUUCUUCAGAUUUGCAGUCGACGCUUAGCGAGAUUGCAACCUGGUAUUACACUAGGAUAUCACAAUUUCUACUGACUCUACUUUUUUGUUAAUGAUAAAAUGAUAAUAAUUGCAUCAAACCAGCAGGUCUUCCAAGAGCAAUGCUGACGAUUCAGAUGCCAAUGACCUAGAGAAGCUGGAAAAUCUUCUGAGAAAUGCUUUGAGGGAUACAAGAUCCAGGAAGGUACGAGAUCAAAGCGGAACUGUUUUCUUGAUGCCAUCUUUGAGCCUUAGUAUGUUAAGAGAGUCCAAAUUGUGGUGAUUUUGGUAGCUAAUUCAGCAUCUCACAGCUUUGGCGAUAUAAAUAAAAUAAUGACGCAGCUCCCAGUUGUUUUGGUAUUUUUCUUUUGACUCAAGCUGGGCCGUUCAACGAGACACAUACUUUCCCUGAUGAUUUUUUAACAUUAAUAAUUUUCCAUUAUAUUCAAUGGAUAUUGCUAACUUCAGGUAGCGUAUGGUUUGAUGAAGCUUCAUUUGUUCACUGAUAUUUAGUAAGACAAGGGAAAAUAGACACGAAUGCAUUUCAAACUAUGUGUAGUGGUUCUUAAUUUUGGUUACUGAUAAUCUGAUAAUGAAGAAUGCAGGGAACCACGUUCCUUUGAAUGUUGCUAAUUGUUGUUUUCUUUAAAGUGUGGCCUACCUCAGCACCAUGACUGUAAAUGCUAGUUUUCCUGGAAAUAGCAUUGGAUUGGAAUGGGCAACACUGUACUGUUAGACAUGAUGCUACUGUACAAGCGUGAGCAAUCUAACCUCUUCAGUGCAGAAAUGUGAGGCCUUGCAUGAAAACCCUCGUCAGAAACUCGAUCUGUUGGGAACAAAAUGUGUAGAAAACUAGGAACCAUCUUCUACCUGUUCUUUGUGAAUAAAUUUUCAGUGAUACCUUUUUUCUUUUUGAAACGAAAUUUCAGUGAUACUUUUGGUGUGAAUGAGACAACAGGUGGGUUAUGCUGCUUUACCUGUUCUUUGUGAAUAAAUUUUCUGUGAUACCUUUUUUUUUGAAACGAAAAUUCAGUGAUACUUUUGGUGUGAAUGAGACAGCAGGUGGGUUAUACUGCUUUACUGGAUUAGCACUGGCAAUGAGCUAUCCGUGAGCUUUUGUGAACUUGAUGGUGUGGCCUGCUGCCUGAAAUGAUCAGUCAGAUAAACCACAGGAUAUAUAUUCGUCAUUCUGAAUAAAUUGAUAAAGCAAUUAAGACACUGAUGACAUGCUAAUUUCUGCUUUGGUAUGGUGAUCAGAUGCAGAUGUUGGCGAAACAAAACAGCGGAGCGAGUACCAGUGGCCAGAAAUGUAAUGGAACUACAAGUGAGGAGCAAGGAACGCCGUGAGCACGGAAGCAGGGUGCAUCUGGUGAACGAAACGGGGCGUGCACGUAUGGUGCUCCCCCUUGGGAUCAAUACUUACUGAUUGUGGCUUUUGUAAGACUGUAUGAUGCUCUGCAACUGCAAGCUUGGAUCUGCCAAACUGUAGCGUCCCUUGAGGGGAUUGUAGUACCAUGCUCCCCUGGUCUGUUGCGAUACGCAGCCUACCUAUAAUGACAAAAAGUUUGGUGCUGUAACUGAUCAGAAUGAAUGCUUGACAGAUCUGAAUGCAGUAGGCAGUUGGUAGUUCGAUCUAGCAAGCUGAUGGUUUUGAUUUAGCAGGUGCAAGUUAAUAGUUCUUGAGGUCUGUUUAUGGCAUCAAUAAUAAUUGGAAUUCUAUUUUGAAAAUACAUAUUGGAAUUUUACCAAGGUUUGUGUUGCUGUUAGGUAAUCUAGUUUAUUUUUGGUUUAUCAGAUAAUUUGUUUUUCUCCAUGUAAGUCGGAGCUGCUCAUCCUGUUGGAGCAGACCGAGUCUUUCGCUCUCGCCACGCUGCGUCGUGAGGCAGAGCGCGUCUAGCGUCGUGUGCAUCGGCCGUGGGAUGGCACGGUCACGUUCCGGCAGAAUAGCUGCCGUGAUCUUCCUUGAGGUAGUUUAAAUACCAAUCAAAUAAACAGAAAACGCUGCUGGUUCUUUCUGCAGCACCAAAACGAUCUUGUGCUGGUGAGUUUGAGUGCACGAGUUCUAGAUAACAGUUGCCACCAUAGCCUUGGCAUGAGAUGUCUGUGCUGAACUGCUGAUGCAUUGCAUACCUGUGUUGGAGGAGCUCUUGUGCGUGCGUGGCUGGACACGUGGACGUUGGGCUGGGCCGGCUUGCUGUUUGAGUGUUUGGUGCUCAUUGGCCAUAUUCUGGUCUUGUACAGAUUCUCUAUAUGAUGACUGCAGAUUGCGUCUAAUUAAAACAAAGAUGAUCUCGCAAGAACUGAGGAACCUAUCGCUGUUUCUGACGGGGAACCAGAUGCGAUGUGCUCGUGUAAACUUAGGCAGCAAAAGCAUAUACCCUGCGGGCUGCAAAUAUUUUUUUUGUACUAGGAGAAUAAUAAAGAUCUGGAUUGUGCUUGCGCAAACCUGGAGAUGAAUCGUCUCGGAGGAGGAGAAAUUGCGGUUGGGGAUUUCGAAGAACCUCGCUCACCUAAGCCUGCAAACUCGCCAUCAACCCGCAAGGAGCGCUCGUCGGGAAGCGGCCGGCGGCGGCGACGCGCGCGCCUGCAGCACGCGGCAGAGCGAGCCGUCGAUCGAUCGGCGGAGCCCACGGCCACGGGAGCGAUGGAGCCGCCGGUCCAUUUGUAUGUGGGCGGGGGGCGGCGAGUGGUGGCCCGGCCCAACGAGUUGCGGGGCGACACCUCACGGGGCCGAUGGACGCGACGCGACUCGAUGCCCCCGGCGCUUUCUCGUGUCCGCCAGGUGCCGUCGCGUGCUUUUGGCGCCACCGUUCGUUCUGGAGAAAAAUUCUGUGCGCGCGACACCGCCCAGAUGCCCGACACGCGUCCCCAAGGCCUCAUCCGUCUGCUCCUUCCGCCGAUCUGCAGAGCCGAGGCCUGCGAUCAAGCCGCCGUAAUCAUCGUCGAGUUGGAGAAUUCUGCCGCCGCACAAUUGGAUUUCCUAGUUUUGCAUUGUGUCUGCUUCCAUCGCUGGAGGAUUCUACCGCCGGGCAAUUAAACGCAGCCGCGAUGGGACUUGGGACUAUGAUCCAUAUCCUCUGCCAUCAACUCCCACGGCCGAGCUUGAUACCGUCGCCGUGAUUGCAUCCAUAUAUACGAUGAUUGAAGCCAUGGCACCUCAGGAUUGCUGGCCUGCUGGUUUGUUGCAGCUUGCCAUUCACACGCCGAUCUGCCGCUCGCGGACGAGCGCUGUGCCGCACUGCUCAACGACACCGACACGUUAUCUCUCCUCCUUCGCCGCUCCACUACUGUAAAUCCAGUUGGUAAGCCACAUGGUUUCCGAAGGACCAACCGGGAUUAGAUAAAGUGGUCCCCUCUUUAGUCCUAGGUCAUUCAAUCAGGAAUAAAGAUCACUUUUAGUCCCAGUUAGUAUUACCAACCGGGAUUCAAAAGUACGUUUUGUCCCGGUUGAAGCCACCAACCAUGACUAAAGGCCCCUCUUUAGUCCCGGUUGGAAUUAACAAUCGGGACUAAAGAUUUAGUCUUGGUUGGUAAUUCCAACCCGGAUUAGAGGGGGGAGCCUUUAGUCCCGGUUGGUGUUUCCAAUCGGGACAAAACCUCCCCGUUCCACUAUCGUUCUAACCGGGACUAAACCUCCCCCCUUCGCUGGCUCAUUUUUAACCCGAGACUAAAGGCACUAUAGUCCCGGGUCCAAAGUCAGCUGGGACAAAAAGGGUUGGAUGGAAGGUGAAUUCUCUAGUAGUGCUCGCUCGCUCGAACAACCUCGAUGCUUGCUAACGUUGCCGCUAUUGCUCGCUCCUCGCCCUUCUUGCUACCUGCGGCGCCUCCAUUUGAUCCAAACUGGCCCUUAGUUUUAUUAACAACCGCCACGACUUCAUCGACGACCGCCACGGCUUCAUCGAUAAUCGUCCAGUCACUUUUUUAAUAAUUAUUUUUCUCUAGCUUAUUUUCAGCGUGGUUGGCCAAUGCGCCGACUACUUAUUUGUACUUAUUUGUGUACGUCUCUCGACGGGAAUUACCUUCAGAGCUACACUUCGCCGAUUACUCUUGGGGUACGUUGACCACCACCACAGGCUUGGUACACCGAAUUACGGAGGCUAUAGCCACGAGUUUGGUGUAUUGAGUGCUGGAGAUUCACACCGGCUACACCCUAAGGAGGCACAAAUCAUGUGCGCGGCAACACACGUUCUCCUCGCCAAAAGGUAGAAAAGUCUCAAUGACUACUUUACGCGCAAUUGCGCAGUUUUUUUUGCAACAACAACUAUUUAUUUUCAAUGUCUCCUCUUAGCAGUCGCUAAUCUACUCGAGCAGAACACGUCUUAAUCUAUGAAAGUCUUGGAUCUUCUGUCAUACCUAAUCGCUAGGACGCAUACACGAGACAAAGAUCUUAGACACAUAGCAGUAGUGCCAAUACGCGUACACAAGGUAAAAAUCUCACACGUAGUGGCAACGGCUAAACACGGAUUGAGAGCCUAAACGAACAGGCUAACUACUCGGGAGAAAUAUGACCGAAACAAGAGCAUGAUAAAUAACAUUUACAUUUCAUCACUAAAUAAUUUCAGUAGUUCUAAAUUUUUACAUUAUGCUACAUAAUGUUUACGUCUCUAGGUCAAGCUUCGGCAAUGACUCUUCAAGAUGCUCAGCGUACCCAAAAUGGCUCCGCUAGCUCUCAGGCUCGGGGACUAAGCGCCAAUUACUACUCGAAAUAUCUACGAUCACCGGCGACCGGCGUUGCUCCAGCAUCCACGACAUCAUUAGCGUCACAACGGGGGAGGUCGCGGUGGCCGGCACCCCGAUCACCGGCGGGCCCGCCACCGCAGGAGUGAUGCUGAUCGGACCCGCGGGCAUAAAGCACCACCACUCGGCCCUGCCGAUGGGCAUGUACGGGCACGCGCCCAUGGGCCACCCCGUCGCCGGGCACACGGCGGCGGGCCACGGGCGGCGGCGCGACACUGGCGCCGGACGAGGUGGGCCACAGGCUCGGUGUGACACUGGGCGCCGGACGAAUCGCCAGGGCGCACGGGCGUGGUGGGGGUGGGACACGGACUCGCGAUGGAAGAGCAGGGGAAACGGAUGGACGCCUGAGGAUUCAGAAAGGUGGCCGGCGGGGAGGCUUAAGUGCAAAAUAAUUUCACCUCUAAUCCUAUCCAUUGGAUUAGCAUCAGGUGACCCAGGUUGCACGGUUCCCUUUUUUACGUCGUCCAUUCAUAUUUUUGCCUGAAUAAAUUCUGAUUUCGUGAAGAAAAAAAUUAUGCCCACGGUGAUUUCGUCUAGAUAAGAAAAAUGGUGUCCUGAGAACAUAGAAAUCACAGUGCCCAGUCAGGGAACCAGCAUGAUGCCAUGCGUGUAAUAAACUGUAAGGCAAAUCAGCAAAUCCGUAACCCCGGGGUCACCGGAUACAGAUUAUUCAGUAAGAAGAAGAACAAAGAACUGGAUGCAUUUGUCUUUUGCAUCGACGUCGUAACCUAAAGAUGGUCCGGAGGAGAGAGGUUGGGGGGAAUCGAUCGAGAAGAACCUCGCUCUUGACUCACCUGGCUGGCCUGCUCACAACCCGCCUUUCAACCGCAGGAGCGAUCAGAUCGCGGUCCUGGGCUCCUGACCGAAACCGGUGCCGCCGCCGUGAAGCGCGCUGCCGGGCUGCGGACCGGAAGAAACCCGCCGCCGCGUCGUCAAGACGCGGCGGGCGGCAACGCACCCUGCAUCCGGCGCCGGAGAGCCGACCGAACCCCGCCGCGGCGGCGGCGGCCGCCACGGGACAGCACGAGCCAGCCAGGUGCGUGCACGCGCGCGAGCGGAGCGGCUCGUGAGGCGACACCGAUGAACGAGGGGCCCUCAUCGUUGGGCCCGCGUCUCGACGGGUGUCGCGCGCGUCCCCACGUUCCGCUCGCGCUCGGGCCGGGGGGAUGCCGCGCCUUUGGCUUCCCUCCUUCCCUCUUGCCACGUUAGCUUGUAUGUCGAUACCUAGGAGUAUACGUACGAGCGUCACACGUAGGAGUAUGUCGAUAGGAUAGCAUAAAUUCAGUCAACCCUAUAUAUUAAUUUAACUUAUCACUAUUAUUUUUCAAACAACUUACGACUAACAGUCAACCUUAUAUAUUAAUAAUACGAUUUUUUCGAAGCACACGCUAUAGACGCGGAUGCCUGCAUAAACUACUCACACAUAGGAAUACACACGCGACACUAUCACUAUGAGCAUCUCCGAAGACUCGAAUAUGCCUAUGAGUAUCUCUGAAGACUCGAAUCCAGAUGGAUAGGUUAUACCAAGAGAGAAAAAAUAUAUAACCUGAGCUUAGCACCGGAGUUCACGUGACUAAACUGAAACACAUAAAAAUAGAGCAUCACGUAUCUAAAACCCGUAAUGUAACAAAAUAGAGUAAUUCUCACAUGUCUAGAAACGUAGAUCGAUGAAAUAGAAUUCAACCACGUUAUCACCAAAUAUAAAAUAAUUAUGUGUUAGUAAGUUCAUUUACCACAUUACAAGUAUAGGUAAUGCAAUGCACCGGCCCAGUCACUGCUUUGAUUUGUAAAAAGUGCAAAUAGAGGGAAAAUAAACUCAAGGUUCAGUCUUCACAAAACUACAAUGUGAAUCAACUUCCCAGAACUAAACAUAUAUUGCCACACUAUAUUGCAAAACUACAUAUUUUUUGUCAUUCUAUAUCACAAAUUCCCCAUAGGAUGUAUUAGAAUUAUGCUAUCCUAGGGCACGGCUGUGAACUGUUUCAAGCCAUGGAAAGAGUGUAGUUUUGUUAUGUAAGAAUGAGCACAGAUUUGUAGUUUUCAUGACAUGAACUGACAAUAGAAGAGUACUUCUUUUGGGAAUAAAAAAAGUGUAGUUUUGUGGUACUGGUUUUAAAAGGUGUAAUUUUGCAACCGUUUCUACAACCAAAUUUAUGAUUUAUUUUUUUCACGAUGGUGCCUUAGCACAUUUUUCAUUAUAUUAAGAGGAAGAAACUUUAUUAUUUAGAGUAAGUUUAUAUGAAACUUACUCUAAAUUUAAGUUGGAAAUAAGCAUAAAACAAAUCAUUUCGUGUCAACUGUUAUAUAAAUAGACUAAUUUAGCUUAUAAAUAAAACGGAGCAUUAAACCCUGUAUGACAACAGAUGUCAUCAAUAUAAUUCACACGCGUGAAAUAGCACUAACGGUUCAGCAAUAGCAUGAAAAUCUAUGUAAUUAUUGUUCAACUGGUGAAAGGCUAAUAAAUCGCUGUAAGGUUCUUAGUUCAUGUGCUAUAUAGUCCUAGUAUGGUUUUACUGUUUUACCGAGCUACAAUACGUCCUAUUAUUCCUAGGGCAAAAUAUUCCUAGCUAGUAGGAGAGCAUACCGUGGACACUCCUCGUUUUAGCCUACUGCUCAUGUGAGUGACGCGUCCUUGAUUCUUGCAUUGGAGCCGGCUCGGCCUAGCCAGUACGCCUAAGCUAGUUUUAGAUCUGUUAUUCCUAGACUCAGAGACAGACAAAGACUGUAUGUUGCAAGGAAAGUUCAUGCUGCCAGUCCUGAAACAGUGACUCGAUCGAUGUUUUUGAGUAGGGAAUCGUUCACCACCUCGGUCGUUGGAGGAUACGCAAAAUCGACAAGAGAAGAUUUUGCACGGAUACGUGCGCAUCUAGUGAGAAUAUCGGCUGGACAGUGCAUGGUCCAUAUUGACUUUGACCUGGCUUUAUUUAACUUAUAUAUAAUAUAGGAAACCGACCGAUCCGUUUCAUUAGGGCUUGUCUGUUUUCUUUUAUAAGUUUAUGCUACUUCCUAUGUUUCGAAUUAGUUGUCCUUUAAAAUUUAUUCUAAGUCAUGUUUUUUUUAUUUUUAACCGUGAGUUAUUAGAAAUUCGUAUAAUUUAGUAACAAAUACCAACUAUAUAUUAUGAAAGUAUUUUUCAUGACGAAUUGAAAAACAUAAAUCUACAGUUAUUAGUUAUUAGUUUAUUACAUGAAGUUUCAUGUUGCUCCCUCCGUUUCAAAAUGUAGGUUGUUUUAACGAUUUUAGGUAUAUAGACUUUGUUACGUAUCUAAACAUAACCCUAUACUUAGGUGCAUAACAAAAUCUAUAUGUCUAGAAAAUCCAAAACGACCUCCAUUUUGGAACGGAGAAAGUAUUUCUUAGCCGUGAACGGUGAGUGCUAAUUUACUCAUGGAGUAUCAUUCUUUAAAAUCUCUCAAAAAAGUAUCAUUCUUUAAGAAAACAUAUAUAUACCGUACCUAAGGUAAGCGAAAAAAAACUUAUAACUUAAUUUAGGUCAUAUUUCAAUCCGUUAGUUAACAGCUAAAAAUAUCUAUUGUGGAUUCAAUCUACGAGGAUCCAAUUGAGAUCUGAAUGCAGCAGCAAAUCAAUCUGGGACCAUGCAUUUUGCUGUCACGCGACACGGUCGUUCUCUCCUGCAGUACAUGUAGCUACAAAGUAGGCCAUACACUGUGCCAACUGCAGAACGGAGAUACUGUACGUGAUCCAAGGACCAAGGAGACAGUGUGGAUUUGCGUGGAUCUCGAAUAUCUGACAUGCGAAUCUGGAAAACGAAGCUUGCUUGACUACAUCUCUUGCAGAAAGAACUACAACGUACUGCCUCCGUCCGGGAAAGGAUGCAGAUCCUUACUGUCUCUGUCUCCCAUGUCUGUCUCCCGCUGUCUCCCAAGCGCACUACGUAAGUGGAUCAAGACCUUCACUCUCUCACCCUGGGUCACACCGCUCUUGUUGCAGCCCCUGACACGUCUCUGUUCAGAUUUUUUAACCCCAGCAGGUCGCACAACAGCUAGCCUGCAGCCCUACCUAGAUCUAAAAUUGCAUCCUUUGUUGGACACGACCCUGUUCCUAAAAUUACAUCCUUUGUUGGAUGUCCGGAGGGAGUACUAUUGAGACGACGAUGUCAGACACUGUGCCAAGAUUCACCACGCACAUCGACAACCAUCACUCUCUGUGAUUUGCUUAACCAGAACUUGUACCGUGCAUGAGUGCACAUCUGGGAGUGAUCCCCUCGCGCGGCCUCGGUUAUUAUCACUUCCGAUUAUAAACCGGAAGCCAAAGAGUUAUAUUCUCCCGUGCCACAAACCAGUUGUGAUAACGGCAUGUAACCAUCUAUCACACACUACUGGUUAUUACAAAAAGAAAAACAAGAGUAUUGUGCCUUUUUCCCAUAAAAGGUCUCCACUGUCCCUCUAAAGCCCAACAAAUUUAAGUUCUUCAAAAAUGAGUAAGUUAUUGUUUUGUCCAAAAUGACUUGCCACUUCGGAUAUCUUACAUUUUUACUUUUGUCGAAGCAAAGAGGAUCGUGUAACUAUUGGACCUGUUCGCUUCAGCUUAUUCAGUCGGCUUAUCAGUCACCAAACAGUGUUUUUCUCUCACAACAAAUCAGCCGUUUCAGCUUUUCAGCCGGCUUAUAAGUUGAAGCGAACAGGUCCAAUUAUUUUAGGCAGCCGCACCAUGUAGCUACAUUGCUUGCAUCAAGCAACAGCAAAACCAAACACCUACCAGUGAUCAUCGUUGGGUUCGCCGUCUCCCAUGCAUCUGGCCGGAUCACCACCAGCCCGAUUCUGACGCAAAAGUCAGCACGCGCGUGUACGUACGACUACGACGUGGAUGCAUGAUGAUGCCCACCAGUCACAUCAUAUUUAUCUCCUCGUCGAUCUUGUUUACUUUGCCACGUAUAGUCCCAUAUCUGGACGCGAUCCGUUGUUGACUGACCCACCUAGUAGCAGAAGCUAGGUUUGUGAAUUACACCGUCAUGCAUCCCUCGCUCUCUAAUCUGUCUCUGUACUGCCGGAGCCUGCAUUGCUUCAUGCACUGAUUGGGAACUGACCUUACAUUCCAAGUGUUUUUUUCCAGUUGAUUUGGACUCAGCACUAAAGUACCUUUAGGUUCAGAUCAAAAAUAAGACACCAAAGGCCACCCACGGGAGAGGCUUUAGUCCCAGUUCUACAGAUCAAUCGGAACUAAAGCCCCAUUUUAAUCUCGGUUGUAACGGAUUAAAAAAUCUCGUACCGACACCCUCCCUCUGGUUCCGGUUGGAAAUUCCAACCGGGACAAAACCCCCCCUUUUAUCCCGGUUGGUAAUUCCAACCGGGACUAAAUCUUUUAUCCCGGUCGGAUAGACCAACCGGGACAAAAGGAGGCCUUUAGUCCUGAUUGGUGGCUCCAACCGGGACAAAACGUCAUUCCCAUGCGCAGCACUCCUCUCCCUUCCUUCCUUUAAUUUAUCUCGUAAAGCACUCUCCUUAUCCACCGGCGCCUCCCCUCCUUAUCUUCUUCCUCUCCUCAUCCUCUCCACCGGCCCCUCCCCUCCUCCGUCUCCUCAUCCUCUCCUCCCUCUCUGCGCGGGCAGGCGGGCGGGCAGUCAGCGCAUGCGGCGCGGGCGAGGGUGAAGUAGAGGUGGGCCAAGGUGGAGCAGAGGUGGGUGGUGGUGGGCGGCCUGCCGGCCGGGGCGGUAGCCUUUUUUUUAUUUUUUUUGGAAACUUUUUAGUCCCGGUUGGUAACACCAACCAGGACUAAAGGCUCCCUUUAGUCCCGAGUGGAUGAUCCGGAACUAAAAGAUCUUCCUUUAUCUCGAAUAAUUAGUCCCGGAUAGAGUUUUGAGAUCUUUAAUUCCUACAAACCAAGACUAAUACCGCGUUUUCCAGUAACGAUGCAUGGCGUCACGUAAACAAAUUAAACCUAGUAGAUAAGGAUCAUCCCCUCCUCCUUGCAUGUAUGUGCGUGAUAGAGAUGUACGUAAAAGCUUGCUGGGCAGGGCAUGCUCUUUUUUCUUCACGAGAAAGCGAUCGUGCGUGCAAAGGGAAGCUGCAUGCCAGGGCUGAGGGCUCUGAACUGAAUCCCUGCCGGGAUUACAAGCAUGGACGGAUGGACCACCAUCCGAUUAUUCACUAUUAGAAAUAUGAGCAUUAAUUCUUGGUCUUAGUACCAGUUGUAUUUUGACCCGAUACUAAUGGUAGUAUUAGUACCGGGUUCAAAUUUGUGGGGGAGAGGGGUGGAGGCCUUUUAGUACCAGGUCAUGACUCUACCCUGUACUCACCCGGUACUAAAAAUAACCCAUUUAGUACUGGGUAGUGUUAUGACCCGGUACUAAAGGUCCUGAAACUUUUAGUACCAUGUCAUAACACCAUCCGGUACUAAAGGGUCACUUUUAGUACUGGGUGGUGCUAUGACAUGGUACUAAAGGUCUCUCCACGGGUUACUUCCAAAGGAAAGCAUAUCUACCUCCAUCAUAUGUGAUGUGUAGGUGAGAUGGUAAGGAAGGCUCGCGCGAGAUUUGAGGUCGUGGGUUUGAAUCUCACGGAGGGCACACGCGCAUAUUAUGCGUGAAAAUUACGUGACUGGUGACUUGGGGCGAUGCACGUGUGUGGGCGUCUGAGUACCUUUUAGUACCGGUUAUUUGACCCAACUAAAGGAUCCCUUUCAGUACUGACAUAGCAGUACCGGUUAUACAACCCGUACCGAAGGAGGUUAGGGACCGGUAAAAAUGGUCACUUCCCCAGUAGAUCAAUAUAGAAUCAUUUCUCUCCGAAUUUUUUUUUGGCACUACUUCUAGAUUUAGCCUAGAAGCUAAUGUAAGAAGUAGAAACUACCUUAGCAAUUGGUCUGUGUGAUACAUAAACACUUAUCCACGUGCUACGUACUAGCUUGAUGGGAAUGCGACGGGGCAACUCUGCAUAGACUGAGCGAACAUCCAUUAGUGUCCGUAGCACUUCUGACUUCUUUCUUUUGGUUGUAGACGCUACCAAAUUUAACUAGGCCACCACCAACGGUCAGAGAUAUAUAGUUCUCAACUCUAAAAAUAUACUUCCUCCGUUUCAAAUUGUAAAUCGUUUUGUUUUUUCUAGAUCAAUAGUUUUUUCUAUGCACUUAGAUAUAGUGCAUAUCUAGAUACAUAAUAAUAUUUAUGAAUUUAGAAAAGCUAAAUGAUCUAUAAUUUGGAAUAGAAAGAGUACAUGUCACUAUGAGAUAUUACUAAAUAAUCUAAUUGCUCCAACAGACUAAAACAUGCAUAUAGAGGAUGGCCAACAGUUCUAGUGCAUUACUCCCUUCGUUCGAAAUUGUAGGUCAUUUUGAUUUUUCUAGGUUUAUAGAUAUUAUUAUGCAUAUAGACAUACACUAUAUCUAAGUGCAAACUAUGUACCUAAAAAUUUAAAAUGAUCUACAAUUUGAAACAGAGGGAGCAGUUUAUAUUGGGGAAAGAUGAGUCUUGUAGUGCUUUUAUUUUCGCUAUAAUAACGCGCAUCCGACCGCACCUUUCCCUAAAACAGUCGCUGGCUUGUUGCUAGCUUUGCCUCCGGAGGGAAAUGAUCUUUUCUGUCAAGUGAUCGACUACUGUGUUCGGGAUUGUGUAUUGCUGCUCUCCUCGCCUCGUAACAGUACUGGCUGAGCAGUCAAAAGGCGAUGCCGUGGAGAGGGACACACGCCUGCAGCAGGCCCGUACGACGCAUGCCGUGUCAUCCCCGUUGAGCCCCGUACGUCGUCCCAGGUGCAAUUGUGCAAGUAAAGAAAGCAUCGUCGCAACCGGUGAAGGAACACACUAUACGACAGAAAGCAGUUUCGCCGUGGCUUCCUGUAGUACAUACACUCAUGUUUUCUUGCCUUUUGAUUUGGGACGACGACGAGCGAAUCGGUUGGCCGGGCACGCUUAUAAGAAGGGCGUGGGCGCGUGGUCAUCAUCUCGAUCUCAUGCACCAUUCCAAUCACUCAGCUUCACUCUUUGUUUUAAUCCCAAAACAACGCGACAUCAGUAAGUUGUUCAAGUCUUGAAGAUGACGACGCCCGUUGAUCGUGCUCCUGUACAGCAGCUACAGGCGGCGCCGGAGGCCGUCGGCGCCGCCGCGUCAAAGAGUACUCCUGCUGCGCGCUGGGUGCUCGGGCUUCUCACCGCAUGCACGGCCAUCGCCCUGGCCGUUAGCGGGCCGCCGCCGGGGCUCGACAAGCACGCCUACUUCCUCGCGCUGUCGGCAGCCUUCUUCGCCGGGGUAGCUGGCGUCAUGUCCGCCGUCUGGGUGUCCGACGACCCCAGCGGCCGCCGUGCCGCUGCGAGCAGCAGGCUCGUCGUCUACUCUUCCGUCGCGGCACUUGCCGUCGCUGUCGGCCUCUCGGUGGCCUCACUGCUGCUGUGGUGAGUUUGCAGGCCCCCUGCUGCUCUCUCUUCGAGGGGCCGGCAGGCAGGAAGCUGAAUAAUUCUUACGAUCAUGUCGGUGUCGUCGUCAGCUGCAUGCGUGGUUCAGGACGUAUGCACAAUGCAUGCAACUGCUGUUUCUAUGUCUGAAUUGUAUUGUUUCAUUAGUCGAGUGUUAGUAAGGUCGCACCACGACCAUCGUGUCGCCUCCGGCCACCGGACACUAGCUCGUCGUCCAUGUCGGCGCCAUUAAGAGCCUUCACACAAUCGCCCUGCUUACUGUGCAUUCGGGUGUAUUUGUAGUCGGUGUCGUCAUCGUCUACUACCAGGUCGUUGGAUAUUAAAAUGCAGUUUAUGCGCUUGUUUCGAGUCCUGGUGGUCGAGUAAGUCGAUAGAGUGUUUCUUCCUGUAUCAUAUAUCAUGUCGCUGUAUGUUAAGCCCGUGUAUGUCAUGCUGUGCAAGAAUGUAAUCAUGCAAGUCGUCUUGCGUUUUAUGUCUCGCAUAUUGCUUUUAUCUUGACGCAGCUCAGAGCUCACCAUCACAUUCUCCCACAAGGACGUAGAGGGAGAUGAUACGGUUUCGAAAUUAUUAACCAAUACAAAAAAAAAUGUUGGUUCAUCUCAUCAUUUUUUGGUCACCGUGUAAUUUUCUCACGUCCUGUGUCCCAAAACUAAAACUAGUGAGCCAGCAGGUAUAUACGGUGAAAAACAGAGCAAAAGGUAGGACAGAGACACAACAAGGUGCAGAACGAAAAAGUUGAGCACGGGCUUACGUACACCCCUUCUAAAAUUAUGAGAAAAAUCUCUUCUCUAUCUCUACAACUAGGAAAACAAAAGUGGCGAAUUUUGGUGAAGCCGUCGGGGCCUCUGACUGGGUCGUCUUCCGCAACAAUAAGCGCGCCAUUCGAUGUUAUUUUCGCGAUCCCCUAACUCCCGACGAAAGGCCCCACACGUCGUGAUGCAAGUUAAUUGCCCGCCGACCGCCCUCCGCUAGCCUCCGCUUUCUGAUCGCGGCCGCCCUCCGAUCGCCGCUUCUGGGAGCGCUUCUUCGCCGGCAACGAGGCCCGGUUCACCGUUUACUUCCACGCCGAUGCAACUGCAGCGCUGCGCCUGCCCUCCACGUCUCGUUCCGGACCCAAGCACAUGGAUGGAAAUAUAGAUGGAAUGGCACAUAAAUCAAAAUUCCGAAGCACUGAAGGGAUUUCUCAAAAUUUUGUGGUAUACAAGGAAGCCAUCAAAAUUUCUAUGACACUAACGGAAUUGGCUCUAAUUGAAAUCUAACUCAACAUUUCAUGUAAAUUGAUUCAACAUUUUUAUUCAAUUCAACAAUAGUUUGAAAUCUCAUUCAACAUUUCAUAUAAACUAAUCAACAUUUUAUGAUCAUUCAACAAUAUUGAAAUCUAACUCAACAUUUCAUAUAAAUUGUUUCAACAUUUUUUAUGUUGAAAUAUUAUACAAAAAUGUUGAAAUAGGGCAUUUUUGAAUGUUGAUUUAAAAAACAAAUAUAUCAACACUUUAUAAAAAUAUGUACCAACAUUUUUCUUUAACUUUUUUACAUUCAUCAACAUUAUUGCUCAACAAUUUUUUACACACACCAACUAUUUUUUUACAUCCAUCAACAUUUUUUGGCUCAACAUUUUUCUACGUUCACCAACUCUUUUUAAUAAGAAAAUGUUGAGAUAGUUCAUCUAAAAUGUUGAUUUUUAAAAAUACAACAAAAUAUAGACAUAUUGGAUCUCAUUUUAUAGAGUAUUAAUUCCAACAAAUAUUAUGGUUCAAUCGGAAUCCAGAACACAUUUACAGUUUGGGAGAAAAUGAGAUUAAAGUUUUGAAUCUCACUCAUCCACCACUAUGCAAAAGCAACUGUCCACCAACAUUUUUUUAACGUUCACCAACUCUUUUUAAUAAAAAAAAUGUUGAGAUAAUUCAUCUAAAAUGUUAAUUUUUAAAAAUACAACAAAACAUAGACAUAUUGGAUCUCAUUUUAUAGAGUAUUAAUUCCAACAAAUAUUAUGGUUCAAUCGGAAUCAUAUUUACGGUUUGGGAGAAAAUGAGAUUAAAGUUUCGAAUUUAAAAGGAAUCUCACUCAUCCACCACUGUUCAAAAGCAACUAACCAUGCAUGCAGCCACCCACCCAUGCAGACACAUAUCCAUAGCUCCACACGAAUCUCAAACAGUUGAAGACAAACCAAUAAUUUUUUCGGAAGAGGGAUAUCCCAGGUGCCGCUACUGUACCCCUGGGCUAGCUCACACAGAUAUAUCUAUAAUCUUUGCCUGUCAAAGCAAAUUAAGUAGCAUGUGGUGGGCUGGUGGCCUCGGCUGGGCCGUUGACAGAUUCCGCAAGGAUGUAUCCAUGGUGGGCCAUGGACCAUCCUUAAUGACUUUGGGCUGGCCCAAGGCCCACGGUAUUUUUUAGGUUUUUUAUUCAUGAUAUGCAAUGAGCCUACCUGUGAUCUCCAUUCAUAUCUUUUCCUGUCUUAUACGGCCUCUGUUACUUUGGUCGUUUAUUGUUUUCAUUAAACGAAGAGCCAUGCAAAGUACUAAAAAGGUGAAGUUUUUCUCUCAUUAUAAAAUGGAAAUAAAUAAAUAAAAUAAAUAAAAACUCCAUGUGUCAAGCGCAAGAAGGAAUGGCGCUAUCAUGCCACAUGUCAUGUCCCCGGUCGCAAAACGGGGAGUGGUCAAGCGUGUCAUCGUGUGGUUGCAAUAGUUGUGCCCAGCCCAUCUUUCGUCAGCUGAGGUCGGGGUUUGUCUGUGAGAGUCUGCCAAUGUCGAAAGAUACUCCCUGUACACGUGCAGCUAGCCCGACACGGUACAACAUCGCGCAGAAUGAAACCAGCAAUAACGUCGGGCCCAAAAGAAUCCAGUGAGCUAGUGGUCCCUGCGAUGGAGACAGACCCCGCUUUCAGUCUUCGCGACGACUUUUGUUGCACGGGACUUGAACAGGAAAAAGAGAACAGGGAGGCACCUAUGAUCUGCCGCGUCCAGUACCAGUAGGGUGUAAGAAAGCAUAAGAAUAAAAGCAAACGGAAAGGAAAGGGGAAGAAUUCAUCAUCAACUUUGAAUGAGAUUGGCAAGUUGAGGCCUGGUUCGGUUCGGAAAGGGGAAGAAUUCAUCAUCAACUUUGAAUGAGAUUGGCAAGUUGAGGCCUGGUUCGGUUCGGUUGCUUAUUUUUAAGCACCCGUCACAUCGAAUGUUUAGAUACUAAUUAGGAGUAUUAAACGUAAACUAUUUACAAAAUCCUUUAUAUAAGCGGAGGCUAAACGGCGAGACGAAUCUAUUAAGCCUAAUUAGUUCAUGAUUUGACAAUGUGUUGCUACAGUAAACAUUUGCUAAUGAUGGAUUAAUUAGGCUUAAUAGGUUCGUCUCGCCGUUUAGUCUCCACUUAUAUAAUGGGUUUUGUAAAUAGCCUACGUUUAAUAUUCCGAAUUAGUAUCUAAACAUUUGACGUGACACUUGCUAAAAAUAAGCAAAGAGAAGAGUCGACUUUGUUGCAGCGGACUUGAACAGGAAAAGGAAUUUUAAACAACCGCUUUCGGCGUCACCACGGUGAGGUAAGCUGGACAGGUACUUAUAAAUAUCCGGGUGCCUCCUCGUUCUGUUCAGUUGCCACUACUUGUUGCUUUGCGCCCAGCAAUUCCCCUCUUCCAAAAUCGCCUCGCUCGCAUCCUCCAUAAUCCCUGCUGCGUUACCAUGCCCACCUUCGAGCUCGACAACAGCAACAAUGGUGCUGCUGCAAUCGACAUAAAUACGACCGAGCUGUUCACCGAAGAUGCGAGGAGCGAGCUCGUCACCUCGAGCCAGCUUGCGCGGUCGCUGUUCUCCGUGGGAUUCAUCACGCUCGUCAUGGACGUAGCCACGGCGCUGUACAGGCCGCCUCGGGGAGUGGUCUUCCAGGGCCACAGGAUGGCUUACUACCUCACACUCGCCGGCAUAUUUGCCGCCGGGCUGGCCGAGGUGUCGACAGCCUUCUGGCUGUCCUGCUCCGGCCAAGAACACGGCCGCCGUCGCGCGUUUGCGAGGGCCGUCCUCUACGCCUCCGUUGCGCCCGUUGUAGUUAUUUUUGCACUUGGAGGUUCCACCGUCGUCACGAACGUUUAACUACACCUUGGAUCCAUAAGAUGCAUUUUACUGCAGUUUACCUACCAUAUUUGCCAUCUUAUUUUUCCCCUCACCAACCUACUCCCUCCGUCCUUUUUUAAGUGUCACUCGGGAAGCGUGACUGUGAGGGAAACACGGUUCCCGAGCGACACUUAAAAAAGGAUAGAGGGAGUAGAGGUGAUUAUUGCCGUUGCCUAGUCUAAGUUACAUGUGUUUGUAUCGUGAAUUGUUGUAUCGUGAAUUGUGAUGGGUGUGUGCAAUUGUAUAUCAGUUAUCCCUAAUAACAUAACACAAAUGAUUUUAGAUCUAAUAACAUAUUAACAUAAAUGAUUUUAGAUGAACCGACGGUGAUAGCCGGCUCUAAAGGAAAUGAGGCUGUAGAAGGUCAGAAAGCGACGAAAAAGUCCAUCACCCAUCGGCCCUCCCUCUCUCCUCACUCCGCCUGCCCUCUCCCUCUUCCGCUCGCCUCCCCUUCUCUCUCCCUCCCCUCUCUUGAUCCACUGCUCUCGGGCCAAAUCCCUUUGCCACCCCUCUCCUCCCCACCUCCGCUCGCCCCUCACCUCGUGUCUGUGGCGAGGAGCGGCGGCGGGGCGAGGAGUGGCCGCGGCCAGCAAGGAAAGGCGCGGCGGGAUGCGGCGAGGCUCCCUCUCCCUCCCUCACUCCCGGUACUGCGGCGGGGGCGACCGGGGCUCCGGCGACCGGAUCUAGCGUGGGAUGCGGAUGGGGUUCUUUUUUUAUUUUUUUAAUCAGCAUCACCGCCGGUUCAUGGUCCGGCGGUGAUACCUUUUCCGCCGAACCCAGCACCGGCGGUGAUGCUGGGUUGGGGCCGGCGGUGAAGGCCAUUUAUGCAGCAGUGUAUGUUACUUUCUUAGAAUAUUGUCAUGUAUUCUUCAACUAUUGGCACCUGCUUGUGUUCAACUAGUGACAUACUGAUUUUGGCAUCCACCUGGAUCGUUAUACUUUCAUCUAUAAACAUAAUGCAAUUCAAGAUCAUGGAAGCACACAUCAGACUCGCUACGGUUCAUUUUAUAUGUCGCUUCCGACAAGCAAUCUGAACUGGCUGCAGGUUAAAAAUCCUGUCCGGAAAAACAUAAUGGACAGGAGGUAGUAGUUUCUUUUAGCAGCAUUACUGUCUUUAGCUUCAGAAGCCUUUGCUCCAAGCUGGCUCGCUUCAGUAUAAUACUAUUUUUACUUGAGAGUAGAACUUCUCUUCAUGGUGCUCACGUAACCUAUGAAAAUCAUUGGCAAACGCAGGGUAGAUGAAUUAGGCAUAAGAGAUCCGUGCUACUUAAGAAAGAACAAAGACAUCAAUUAAGUUGAAGGAUUUGAUGCCCCAACAUCGAAAAAGUCAUCAACCGCAGCUGCAACAACACUUUUUGGUCCAUGUAAUGUGAUCAAAUGACCAUUCAGAAGGUAAUAUGGUAGCAGGCUAGCUGUAGCAGACUGACAGAAAUAUAUCAGGAGCAGGCUAAAUGAAGCCGGUCCAGCAUGUUAUAUUUCUACCAACUGUUGUAACAACAUUUUGCAAUUUUACUGAGUUGAAAAGAAAGGAGAACAUUUACAGUUUGAACUAAGGAUCCCUAUCAAGUUGCAAAUUUCAUCAUGGUAAACAGAUUGUGAAAAAAAUCAAAAUCAUUUAACAAAGAACCAAUGCAAGAUCUCAACUUGCACGGCAAGGCCUGAUUCAGAAACAUGUCUAAAGUUAGUGUGGCAUACCUAAACUAAGAUAUAAAUGUAAAAACCACCCUGCAUGUCACUUGGGGUUUGAUUUCCUCCCCCAUAAACUAUUUUGUUAUAAAUGCCCAUCCCCUACUGUAUUAUAUUUUAAAAAAACACCGGAUGCGUGCAUACUUAAUUGACUGCGACCAUUUUCAUUAAUUAGAAUAAUCUCAAUUCCUUUUUGGAGAUUCCACCAAAAGGUAUUUAGGCUGAUUCAUCAUGUGAAAUCAAAUUAUAAAUUGAGGGAAAAUAUGGAAGUCCUGUAUACAACCAACUCAAAUUGGGAAGGACACCAUUGCAUAUUUGACCUCUUUUCAUCCGUUCAUGGAAAAAAAGAGUCUGCUCUGCCAAAUGCUUAAAACCGCUUCAACUUAGAUAGUGUUAUUUGGUGGCGGAAUGUGUGAUUGCACUCUUUGUUUGGUUGCAUUCUGGUAACGCAAUUAGAUUACGGUGUGGGUGCUGUAUCUGAUUACGGUGGGGGAAGAAGGGUAACAAGCUUGUAUAGUAUAGAUAUUAUUUAGAUAAAGGAUUAGAUUACAGUGUCAAUUGAUUACAAACCACCACAACAAAAAUAUAUGUACAGUAAUUAGAUUACGUUACACUCGAGCCAACCAAAGACCACCAGAAUCAAUUUUUGCAGGAACCGAAACCUUGCAAACACACCCUGUAUAAGCUACAGCUACCUACUAAUCCCACGCCACCUGUGCAUGCAUGUGCUGUCCGUUCCUCAGAUUUUGUUGUCAUCCCAAUCGUAUAGCUUACCUACCCACCCCCACUACCCCAGUGCUACUUCCUGGAGCAAAUAUUCUUUACUUGCAUAGGCAAGCUUUGCUUUAGGGUGUGUGUGGUUCAGUAACCGCUUUAGGGUUUGUGUGGUUCAUAACUAAAGUGUAGUAAGACAAAAAAAAAACACUAGUACUCGUAUGACAGACGAUAAAGAGAAGAAAGCACUAUUCAUUUUCCAAGCAUGCAGAAAGGACAAUGAAGUGAUUUUACUUCACCUUUGACAUCUUCUCCCUCAGAAAUAUAUCUAUGGCCCCGUUUGGAUACACAAUGCUAAAUUUUAGCAUAGUGCUAAACUUUUAGCACCCUCAAAUGGAGUACUAAAGUUUAGCACUUGGGGUUGUUUGGAUACAGUGCUGGGUGAGAAAUGACUACAUUAUCCUCAUUUAUGACUAGCUUGGGAAAAAGUGGAGAGGAGAGAGAGGGGGCAACUAGGGAAAAAGUAGUCUUGGGGACCACUUUUAGCACCCAUUAGCAACUUUUAGCACCCCUUGGGUGUGCUAAAAAAACAAGGGUGCUAAACUUUAGCACUCAUCUUUUAGCACCCCUGUUUGGAAGUUCAAGUGCUAAAAGUGUGCUAAAAGUGAGGUGCUAAAGUUUAACACCCCUUUCCAAACACCCCUAUCUCGUUAGCGGUUGAGGAUUGCGCGCGACGACCGACGAGUGGCACGCGGUGGGAAUGGUAACUUCGAGCGGCGGCUGUGAGCCCAGCGGAGCCGACCGUUCGCGUAAAAAAUAAUAAUAAUACUAAGGCAACGUAUCAGGACCAGGUGCAAACUAACUAAUCUGUGCAAAUUUGGAAACUAGGAAUAAGGAUCACAGGAUGACAAUCCAAUGGAUAUGGUGAGAGGUGAGACUAUUUUACGCUUAAGUCCCCGCUGCCAGCCUUUUUUUUCUUCUAAAACAGCCUGCCCCUUCCGAUUCCAUCAGGCGAUUCCACCGCCAGGCCCCCUCGCGAGGGCCGCCAGGCGAUUCCGCUGCCAGGCCCCCGUCGCCCCUGCCCUCGCCAGCCUGGUCCCCGUUGCCCCCGCCCGCUUUCUGGCCGUCCACCGUUCGCCAGGCCCCCUCGCGAGCGCCGCCAGGCCCGUCGCCCCUACCAAAAGCAGUAUGUAGAAUCAGUUUGCUACAUUUUUAUGUACCUUUUUAUGUACUUGAAGAUCCCAAAUGCAAAUUCAAGUCUUGCACAGCAGUUUGAAUGCAGGUACAUCCACUUGUGCAUGCAGAAGUUCAGUAGCAAUGUGGUUGAGAAAUGCCUGAAAGUGUUAAAGGAGGCUGACAAGGCGAAGAUCAUACUCGAACUCCAUGCCAUGCCAUGCCACAAUUGUAGCAGUUGCUUCAGCACCCAUACGCAAACUACUUAGGACCAGUCCAUACUGCAAGAGGAUGUACUCUCGAGCUUUGCUAAAGAAGUGAUGAACUGAUGACAGUUUGUCAGCAUGUAACAAGAGCAAUUUGUUGUCUUGUGUUAAUUUUGGAUUUCAAAAGGCAUAAAGAUGAUCACAAAAUAGAUGUGUAUAAUUAGUAUUCUUUGGUCAUGCACUUCUACCUGUACCUGUACUUCACACACUGCUUGUGUCUGGUGUUGCAUAAGCCAUCUGUGAUGGAUAAGUUCAACUGAACAAGCCUUUGCCACAAACUAUCUUAUCUCUGAUGUUUUGUUCUCUAGUUUUUUGUCAGAUUCUUAGCAUCGACUGAUGCAAGGAUUCCCCAGUUUUUUGUCAGAUUUGUGCAUUAGUUGGUGUGUAAGUGGAAAUACAGGAUAGUAAUGACUGAUGAGCAUUGGUCUUUCAGGAUCUUGCUGAAUUUCGGAUGUGUGUAUGUUCCAAAAUUAUGGCAUUACUACAACUGUUUUCGUUACUAUAACUGUUCCACGAAAACGAACUCACACACGAAAAAGAAAGGUCACGAAAAAGAAAGGUCACGAAAAACAACUCACACACACGCCGGAGCCAAACAGGACCUCGCAGAUGGCCGAGCGCACACAAAAACGAACUUGGCGAGCACACCAGGUCGAGCAAUGGCCUUGAUGGUGUGGGCCGUGUCCUGGCGGAGCUUGGAGUCGAGGACGGCGAGGUCGACGCCCCGACCCCAGUCGCUCUCCACCACGUCAACAUCGAAGCUCAGGCGCUGCUGAUGGUCAAUCCACAGCAGGCUGAACUGGCCGAUCAGGAACAAUAUGAUGCGGUCACCCAGGGACAGCGUAUUCAUCAGUGCGCUCUCCUACGCUCCCGUCCCUGCAACGCGAGCCACGACGAGUGUGCUCAGUGCUCACACGAUCGAGUUGCAUCGGCAUCUCUCCAUGAACACAGGCAGAUGAAGAAGAUUAAGGUACCAGUGGUCGGGAUAAUGAAGGUGGUGCUGGUGGUGGUCUUGAAGAUCUUCUUGACGUCCUCCAGGAGGAUCUUGGUGAGGACGGCAAGGCCGGUGAGCGGUAGUCCUCGUUUCGGCGACUUGCUCACGAUGGGGCACGCGAAAAGGAACCUGGCGACGCACUCGUGGCUCGCUCGGUCGCGAUGGGAAUGGUGUGGCAGAAUCCCUGUGGGCACAUGCUAGGAGGCAGGGAUUUUUUAGAAAUAAAGGCUGGCAGGUGGGGGGAUUUGAGCGCAAAAUAAUUCCAUCUCUCACCCAUCCACGACCAAAAUAGGCCGAACAUUUUAGUUUAGAUUCACAUCCAACAACACACACCCGCGAGGGGGGGGGGGGGGGGGGGGGGGGGGUGGGGGUGUUAAGCCUGUCACAAGCGGGUCGGGCCAUCCGUCCGUGAGGGCCGACGGGUCAGAAACACCCAAUAGUCCAGCCCAUCUUCCUUGUCCGGCCGCCUCCCCGUCUCCUUCCUAAUCCCUUUCCUCCCCGUCUCCGACUCGAUCUCUCCUCUCUCUCCCCGACGACUCUUCUUCCUCGCCUCCCUCCAGCUCGUCUCACCUCACCUCACCUAGGGUUUCGAAUCCCAGCUCGCCGCCGUCGCCAUGGACGAGUAAGUAUCCCUUCAGCUCCGCUCCCUCUCCCCUCUCUCCCUAGGGUUUCGUCGUCUCACCCUGAUUCCCUUCCUCGAUCCGCCCCCGCAGCCUCUUCGACGAGGACGGCGAGGCGCUCAUGGACCCCGAUGCGCGGGAUCCUUCCCCCGAGCCGGAGCCCUACGUGGGCCUAGAGGACGACCUGGGCGACGGCGACGACUGGAACCGCGAGCGCUCUCCGACCCCCGUCCACGGCGACGACGGCGGGGUGGGAUCCUCCUCCAAGCCCCGGAAGCGUCUCCUCAAAAAGGGCGGCGGCGGUGGCGAUGGCAUGCCUGGCGACGACGGGCUGGAGGACUUUGGUUUGGAGGACGCGGACGCGGACCCCGCGGCGGAGGCCAAGAAGAGGAAGGGCUCGUCGGCGCUGAGGGACCUCGCCAGGGGCGGUGCUGGCAAGGAGAAGAAGGAGAAGAAGAGAAGGAGGGAGGACGACGGGAGGGGGAGGGACAGUGGGAUGGCGAGGGAGAAGCGGGGGUCAGGAGGAGCGGGGAGGGGUGGCGGCGGGGAGGUCCAGGAUGAUGGAGAGAGGGAGAUCCAGGAGCUCUGGGAUACCAUUGCCGGUGGUGACUCGGAGGUAAUUUUGAUUGAGUUCUAUGUCUCAAUUUCAUUAAGCUAUUUUCACUUCUAGUUGACUUUUUUACUUCUUGGAUGCCCUUUCUGUGUGUAUCUCUAGUAGCUCGUUAGAGCUACCCUGAGAUUUGUGUGAAAGGCUAUUGGAAAAUUGAAAUUCUGUUGACAUCGGAGAGAUCACUCGUGUCUCUUGAAGGAUAUCAUAAUGCUUCCUAGCAAUAUACUAGAAAUUUUAAUCAGUCAAUUGACUUUGGAAUUGUUAAGUGGUGGUCAUUGGCUGAGUUUUUCUUGAUGGUGAUGCGAUCAUUGAUUUAGUUUGUAUAGCAGUGAUGUUGGUUCAUCCAGAAGCUAUUUGUUUCCUAGGGAAUUCAGAUUGUUCUUCUAUUGUAAUGUUUAUAGCCAGUCCUUUGUGAUCAGGUGUAUUUUAGAUAGCAUCUCCACUAUUUUCAUGUAGUAUUUUUAAAGUAAACUUUGUAGGCUAUUUAGAUGUCAAAAUGUGGUGCUUGGUUAUAUGAUGGUCUAUUUAUAUGCCUCUUAUUAAUUUUGCAAGUUAGUAUUUUGCUUAUGAGAGAACUUAUAGAGCUGUAUAAUCUGUUUGUGAUAUCUUAUUUCCAAGGAAGAUAGUAUAACUAGAAUGCUGCUCUGUUGAAUUCUGUUUAUGGAUUUAUUUUUAGAUGACAUGGCAAUUGAGGGCUUCUUUGUAAUACCUUGAGAUACGGUUUAAGGUGAUAAUGCAUCUAGUGGGUCAUCAUUAUUAGUUUUUAUCUCAGUUCUUGCAUUUCUUUUUCUUUAUAGAAAAUUGCUUACUCAGAUUGGGUUGUGUAAAAAGGUUAGGUGCAUAUCAAUUAUCAAAUCAGAUCAUCGUAACUUGUUAGCUGCAAUACCACUUUACCAGCUUUUAAUUCCUUUUAGCUACUACUUCCAUUGUCUUGGACAUACUAACAUUCACCACAUGCCAUUUAAAUCUGGUGGAGCAGGAUGACCAAGAAGGCGUUAGAACUGUAGAUGAUGAUAAUUUCAUUGAUGACACUGGGGUUGAUCCAGCUGAUCGGUAUGGUAGUGAUAAUGAGCGGCAUUCUCCUGGACGCUAUGCACAGGUAUAUGCUCUUAAUUGCUCAGGUGCCCCAGAGCAUAUUUUUUGCACUCUUUGAAGACAAAUUGUCAUAGUACUCAUAGAUGUUUAAUCAAAUGUCCAUUAGUUCAUUGUAUCAUACCUCUGUCGUGUUGCAUGCGAAUCACUGUAGUGACUAUAUUAAAGGAAUUGGCUGCAGUUCCCUAUUAACCAAAGCAUGAUAUUAGAGAUCCACUUCAUAAUCUUACUGAAUUUCGUAGAAGCUUUAGGGGUUUAGUCUUAUGAUAAAAGCUAAAACCAUGGUUGUGUUGCACCCUUGUUGGGUCGAUUACAUCUGCUGAUUUCUUGGCCAUGACACUAUGCCAUCUUAUGAGUUGUCCAAAUCAAUAUAUGUACUCUUGCUACAGAAUAGUACCAGAUGGUUUAUCUUUUUUCCCCCCUAUUAUCACUGAUAAUAUGGAUUGAUUCUUUACUAUAGGCUGAGGAGGGUGAGGAGGAUGACGAAAUUGAGCGACUCUUUAAGGGUAAUAAGAAGAAGAAGAAGAAUGAUCGCCCACGUGCAGAUAUUGGUCUUAUAGUGGAACAAUUCAUUGCUGAGUUUGAGGUAGCAGCUGAAGAAGAUGCAAACUUGAACAGGCAAUCAAAACCAGCCAUUAACAAGCUUGUGAAGCUUCCUCUGCUCAUAGAUGUUCUCUCCAAGUAAGAUAUCUGGAGCCUUGUAUUGUCAGUACCUAUUGCUAUUUUUAUAAAGCUAACACUAAUAUUUUUUUUGUUCAUAUCUGUUGAACAGGAAGAAUCUUCAGCAGGAAUUUCUUGAUCAUGGAGUUCUCACACUUCUAAAAAAUUGGCUCGAGCCGUUGCCUGAUGGAAGCAUGCCAAACAUGAAUAUUCGAUCUGCUGUGCUGAAAUUAUUAGCUGAUGUAGGCACCUAUUUCCUUCUCUACAUUUUUGCAUUGUAGAACCUUGUUCUUGCAUAAGAACCUAGUUGUCUGGUUUAUGUUUUGAUGGCUUCUAAAAAUUUAAUUGCUAAUGAAAGUUUUAUGCCUCUUGUAGUUUCCAAUUGACCUGGAACAACAUGACAGAAGAGAGCAGCUUAAGAAAAGUGGUCUGGGAAAGGUACACUUCUUUUUGGCUUGCGUGGUGCUGUGGUCGCUCUGAUGUAUUGUUUUUUGAGAUUAUGUGUUAUGUGCUAAACCUAUCCAUGAUGCAUGUUUAGGUCAUCAUGUUUUUGUCCAAAUCCGAUGAGGAGACUACUGCAAAUAGGAAAUUAGCUAAGGAGCUGGUUGACAAAUGGGUAAGUCCGUGUUCACAGUACACACAUCAUCUGUGCGCUUGUUUACUGUCAAGAGUUCUCUAAUUGGUACUUGUAAACAAAAAAAUUCAGAGUCGACCAAUAUUCAACAAGAGCACAAGAUUUGAGGAUAUGAGGAGAUAUGAUGAUGAAAGAGCGCCUUACAGGCGGCCACAAAUGAAGAAGUAAGAGCAUGCAGUUAUUGGCCAUCUGAAUACUGCAGUCUUCUUAUCCUGUAUAUUACAGACGUAUGUUGUAUUCUUACUGGUUAUCCUUUCUGUCAUGAAGGCCUUCGUCAAGUAGCUCUGGAAUGGAAUCUAGAGAUGAUGAUCUUGAUGCUGACUUCUCACAGUAAGUCUGAUAAUUCAUCAUAUUUUUUUACCUUUGAUGCAUGGAUGCAGGUUGUCACCAUUUUCUAAUUUUUGGGUUAAUCUAUUUUAUGCUUUGUAUUUAGACGCAAGUCUGGGCAAAGUAGUUCAAGGCAGCAUGCUUCUAGGCCAGAAGCCUCGCCUUUGGACUUUGUCAUUCGUCCACAAUCCAAAAUUGAUCCUGAGCAGAUACGGGCUCGUGCUAAGCAGGCUGUCCAAGACCAGCGCCGGCUGAAGGUCUUCCUCGCAUCAUCAAAACUUUUUAGUUUUGUCUGCCUGUUAUCAGCUGGUUUAGGUUCUGCCAUGCUUGUUAACUGAUAAAGUGGGACUGACUGAGCAACAAUUAAUUGUUCUUGUUGGAUUUGCAGAUGAACAAGAAAUUGCAGCAGCUGAAAGCGCCCAAGAAGAAAAACCUUCAGGCGUCGAAGCUCAGUGUGGAAGGCCGUGGGAUGGUCAAGUACCUGUAGACCAUCCACUCUGGCAUACACAGCCAGCAGCACCCCUGCACAAGAUGGUUGUGCCUGCUGGGGGAUUGCUGAGCUAGUAUGAAGCACACCCUACCACCAGGCAGGGGCCAAUUGCUCGGCAUUCAAUAAUUGCUUGGACUCCAAGUAUUUUUCUUGUCUGGUAGGGUGCAACAGAUGGGUUCAGAAACUUAGUUGUGGAGGCAUAUACUAUGAGCGUGCAUGAAUAUAGCAUUUUUCAAGCAGAGAAGUUCCUUUAUACUGUAUAAAUGUUUUGUCAUGCUUAUAAGUUAACUGGAUCCGAUCAGGCUGUAUGUUGAGUUGGGUUGAGGUUUCGUUUGUUUGUACCUGAAGAAACGUUAUGUCUUAUGAAUCAAACAUAGUGCGACAACUGGUUAAUUGUGCUUAAUGGUUACCGCGUACCAGACUGUAACUUGAUUUUGUUAAGUGAUAUAAUGCUUUCUUGAUUUUUCAUCUUGCUGUGUAUGGAAGGUCUCAGGGGGUUUCGAUUGCAUGACUGGUGUUUGACAGCACUUAGCCUUAUAUGUGGUGGUCAUUAUAGCAAAAAAAAUAUUUUAAACCGAAACCCACAUUCUGCCAAUUGUCGAGAUGAAGAUCAAUUCAAUAAAACGGUGUGCGUUACUAUUAUCCAUGGAUGGACCAUGGCCUGGCAGUCUUUUUCAGGCUGUACCAAACGCAGUGUGAUGAGGACGAGCAAAUCUACCUGAUCGGGAUAUUCUCUGUCACGUACGUCAAGGAAAGGCAGUUCACGGACCAAGUCGUUAGCUGACAGCGACAUGGUAGUUUGGCCAUCUUUAUUCGUGUGUUUCGUAGCGGUUAAUGCAGUUGAAAGCAGGUAUAGUGAUCUCGUAGCAGUCAGUACACGAAGAAAGUAAUGGCGAGAUUUGAGAUGGGCCAUACGUACAUCUUUCAAUUCAAAAUUCAAAUCAUAUCCUUUUAAAAAAAAUUCAAAUCAUAUCACCCGAAAUUUAUGCUCUCAUUAUUUUUGGUUGCCCUUAGUGGACAAGCACGCAAGAGUGAAAUGGUCGUCGCAGAACGUUAAGAUCUAGGUUUAUGAAUUUUCCAAGGAGAAGAAAUCAAUUGAAAAAAAUAUUUCGAAGCUGAAUAUUUUCGAAUUAUUAAUAAAAUCGCUAAACAUGAUUAGGCUCGAUCAGUCCUUACCAUUUCCGCCGGCUGAGAAAAUACUAAAAAUAGAGGUCAUUCUUCUUCUCCGUCCUUUCCAUCCCAGGUCGGCAGGUCGCCACCGCGUCCCCCGUCCUCCUCCCCUCCCCCCUCCUCCGCGCCAUCUCCACCACGAGGCAACACGCGCCAACGACCCUCCCGAGCCGCAGAAUCCCGCCCCCCGCGGUCGCAUUCCGCGCGCCGCCACCCAGGUUCCAGCCGCCCACGCGGUCCCCGCCGCCGGCCGCGCCAUGCCGCGGCGGGGCGAGACGGCGGUGGUCCCCAUUGACGUGACCAGCGGCGGCGGCGGCGGCACCGGAGGAGGAGGUCAGGAGCGGCCCAAGAGCGAGCGCCACCGGAGCCACGGCCCGGGCCACCACGGCCGCCACGGCCCGCACCACCAGCACCGGAGCCGCCCGCCGCCGCCGCCGCCGCCCGCGUUCCGCCCGUUCCGGCGGUGGUUCCCGUUCCUCGUGCCGCUCUUCAUCGUCGCCAAUGUCGUCCUCUUCGUCCUCACCAUGUACGUCAACGACUGCCCCGCGCACGCCCAGGCCACCGGCGCCGCGAUAGGGGGAUCCGUCGGCGAGAGCGCCACCGCGCAGGGCUGCUGGCUCGUGCCGGAGCUCGGCAGGUUCGCGUUCCAGUCGUUCAAGGAGAACCCCCUCGUCGGCCCCUCCUCCGCCACGUAAUGCACUAUUCAAUCUGCCCAAAUUUGGAUCUUUCUGCAGUUUGCUCGGGUUAGGUUAUUGCUUUAGAUGCGUGCAGUGUGAGAGAUUGUGCAGAUCGUAUGAAAUGUGCUUCCGUUAUGGCCUUCCGUUUUUAAAUGCGCAUAUCUUAUGAAAUUGCUUGUAUCGAAGUCUUUUGAGACAGGAAUUUCUGUCACUAUUCCUUUUCUCUUCCGGCGAAAAUCCUUUUCUUUUCUUUUUUUAAAUAAUCAUCACAGUUUGUUCGUAUUGAAUUUUAUGAAUAUCCUAAACACUAAUAUUUUUUUAAUCAAUUGAGGUUGGAGGUUUUGGAAUGCGAUAUUUCUGAUACACUUGCUGGUCCAAACAAUUGCCAGUUGAUCGGGAAUUUUGCUGGUUUAACUAUUCAGUGGUGAACGGAAUUUCUGAUACACUUGCAUGCGAUAUUUCUGAUACACUUGCAACACUUGGCUGAUGUAAUGUUCUGAACAAGAUUGGAGAUUACAUACUAUUUUUCGUAGGGUUAAAUUACUAAAGGUGGUCUAAGUGGAUGAUCUUAGUAGUCAGCUACUUGUUUACCAUCUUGUUCUUAUCAAAGAAAGAAAUUUUAUUUCUUUGUACUGGCAUAUGGGAGAGAUCCUGUCAAUCCAUAUCAUGUACAGUAUCAUGGAUUGAAUAGUUUUCUUCCUAAAAUAAAACAAUUGUUUAUAUGCAAAUCUUAGACCCAGUGAGGAAGCAAUUGCAGUCAUACAAAGUUACCAUUGUGUGCUGUUCUAUAACUUUGUUAAACCUUAUUGUUUGAUAAUGUAUUUAGGGUCACUUCCCCCUAUUGAGAUUUUUUUUCUUGUUAUACCCUCAGGUAGCAGUACUUUGAUUUUUCUCCUGCUUAUUGAUAUAAUCUUGAUAGCUUGUAGGUUCAACUAACAUAUGUGUCAUUCCCCAGGUUGUUGAAAAUGGGGGCACUGGAAACCAGUAAAGUUACCAAAGAUCAUGAAGGCUGGCGCCUCAUUACGUGCAUUUGGUUGCAUGCUGGAGUUAUCCACAUACUCGCUAAUAUGUUGAGUCUCGUAUUGAUCGGAAUCAGGCUCGAGAAAGAAUUUGGUUUCAGUAAGUGUCAUCUUCUUUUUUGAGGAAAACAGAUUCUUAAUUCCUGUACACUACAUUUUUUUAUUAUCUGGAGUUCAUUUUGGUGCCUGUACACUGCGUCUUCCAUUAUCUGGAGUCUGAUGGUUGAUGGUUCCUUCAAGCCUGAUGAUCAUAUAACUUGACCAUUAUUUAAUGAUUGUCUGUUGCAGUGAGGAUUGGUGCACUGUAUGUGAUCUCUGGUGUUGGUGGCAGCUUGCUGUCAUCUUUAUUUAUGGUGUCAAAUAUAUCUGUUGGCGCUUCAGGUGCACUAUUUGGACUAUUGGGCUCCAUGCUGUCAGAGCUCAUAACAAAUUGGACUAUAUAUGAGAACAAGGUUGAUUCUAAAAUGUAUGCAAUCUUUUCACAAAUUAUUCCAUAUUCCAUGUUUCUAAUUCUGUUAUUGUUUAUAAAAAAUCAGAUCGCAGCACUCUUGACUCUUGUUAUGAUCAUUGUCAUCAACUUAGCUGUUGGGAUCCUUCCACAUGUUGACAACUUCGCUCACCUUGGAGGAUUUACAUCAGGGUUCUGUCUUGGUUUUGUGUUGCUAAUGCGACCGCAGUUUGGAUAUAUUAACCAAAAGAAUUCUCCUCUUGGAUAUCCGAUGGGCGUAACUAAACGGAAGUUCAAGAUAUAUCAAAUCAUACUUUUUGUUAUUGCUACAGUGAUAUUAAUUUCUGGGUAAAUAUCAUACUGAUCAAAAGAAUGAUAAUGAUCUAAUCAGCCUCUACGUUUCAACUGUCUUUUGCUAAACUUUUUUGUUGUCAGGUUCACUGUUGGCUUGGUGUUGCUUUUUCAAGGGUUCGAUGCUAGUCAACACUGUUCUUGGUGCCAUUAUUUGAGCUGUGUGCCUACUUCAAAGUGGAGCUGCAAAACACCAAACAACUCUUGCAUGGUAAGCCUCUUUCUGCACAUGCGUGUCUGAUGUGGCAAUCACUGGAUUUGAUACUAUUUUAACUUUGACAACAACAACAACAACAUAGCCUUUCAGUCCCAAGCAAGUUGGGGUAGGCUAGAGUUGAAACUCAACAAGAGCCACAAAUUAGGGUUCGGGCGCAUGAAUAGCUGUUUUCCAAGCACUCCUAUCCAGGGCUAAAUCUUUGGGUACAUUCCAUCCCUUCAAAUAUCCUUUUAUUGCCUCUUCCCAUGUCAAUUUUGGUCUUCCUCUGCUUCUCUUCACAUUACUGUUAUGCCUUAGGGUUCCACUAUUUUAACUUUGAGUUGGGACAAAUUGUGUUUAAGAGAAAACCUUAAUAUAUAUUAGCACGGGAUAUGCACGAAUGCCAACUCUUGAGCAUUUUUAACUUUUUAUAAAUCUCUUAGAUAAAAAUCAUGAAAAUCAUCAGAACUCAACCACAAGCUGUAACAGCGUAUUAUGAUAGUGACAAUAUUGCCUUGAUUGGUUUUCAACUAAUAUACUGUAUUGAUGUUAGCAGUUUUACUCUGCCUUUCCUGUAAGUGUAAUGAGAACUUUCUUGGGGAAACUAUUUACUUUCAUAUGAUUGGCAUGUUAUCAUUGCAUCCAUUAAGUGCUUAAAUUCAUGUUUCAUUUUUUAUUUAUAGCCUCACUGUAAGUUUACUAAUAUAAGCUUCUUCUGCAGUCUUCACAGCUUGGAAAUCAAUUAAAUCUGACAUGCCAAAGCACUGGAAAGACUGCAUCAUAUGUUCUGAACAAUCCAAACAGCCAAGAAGCAAUUAGAAAUCUUUGUGUUCACCUUUGCAGUUAAUGGUGAAUGUAUGUACUUUCUAACGAGGAAUUAAUGCCAGCAUACCUAUGGAAAAGAUAAAUGGAAGCUGAUGUUGACAUUGAGAUUCUCUGGUAAUGCUUAUAUGGCUUCUAUGGUUUUAUUCUUCUUGUGCAUGUUGUGUAUUAUGAACGUCAGUUGGAUAUAUAAAAGACGGACAAUUAGAGGCAGUAGUUUCUGUUACAAAGAUAAAGAGGUGCAAACAUAAACUCGUGUUGAGAGAAUGAAGGCUUGGUGACUAUACCCCCCCCCCCCCCCCCCCCCCCCAAAAAAAAAAGGAACAGUAGAUGGAACAUGUACAUAUCUAGAUUGUUUUCCCAAGUAUUAGCUUUUGAGAGGGAGAUAGAGGCAACCAUAGUAGGAACUAGGAGUUGUCCUGGUUAAAGUAAAAGUGUUGCAUCACAUAUACUGAAGAUGCUUAUACAAGAUCCAAGCCAAGAGUCAAGUCUAUGCUGUGCUAUUUCUUCCUAGGUUAGCAUUCCUCUUCAUUGUUUCCUUCCACUUUUGACAUGGAUAUCUUAGUGUCUUAUUAGCAGAAUUUUAUGUUUGUUUUGUGCUAUUUUGGAUGGUCAAAGGAUGUAAAUGUUACAGAAGUUGAUGGAAUGAUACAAGCAAAGCAAAACAAUAAAUAUCAACUGAGACUUGAAUGCUAAAUCUGGAUCCAUUUAUAUCCCUGGUUCCCCUGCUCUUGCCAAUGGUUGUUCCAUUAGGUCAGGGAUUUAUUCUUGCACUUAUAUUUUAUUCUCUUGAUCCAUCAAAUAUACUAAGUAUUCAACUGCAUGACAGAGUCUACACCCAUCACUUGAUAUAGACUACCCAUGUCUACGGUUUCCUGCAUCAUUUAUAUAGCACAACUAUUUAUGGGUUCUUGUCACUACAUGUUUAUGGCAUUAAGAGAUUAAUGGAUAACCACUAGGUCCGUAGUGAAAUAAGUUCUGACAUGGGUCCAUCUUUUGGAAUGAUUAUUUCAUAAGGAAAUCUCCUUUAUGAGGCAACUACUAACACUGGACUAGAACUAGUGUUAACGACCCAAAUUGCACAUGACUGAUGUCUAAUAGUACAAAAACGGAAACAGGGAUACAAAGUUCCGUUAAUGUUACAGGUUAGGAGAGAAGUAGCAUGAUGUUGCAGCCUACAGUGGUAUGACUUACAAAUACAUAGCAGACUGGUGCCUGUCCUAUAUGCAAAGAGCAAAACAGACAGACCCUGCAGGACGUUUACGUCGAGACCUCUAGAUGUGAGACGUGCCAUAGCUUCAACCCGUAUUCCACCAUUAACUGCUUGUCUUCAGCUGCUCGAAAAUAUACUUCACCACCUCUGCCAUUGUUGCCUUCCUCCCUUCCCUGAAAUUCCAGAGCUCAUUCACUGCAUGCCGUCCCCGAGGACUGUAGUCGUUGAGCUCUGUCAGGGUAACCUUCACUGCGUUGCAGACAUUGUCACCGUACUCGGUCCAUAACUGUCUCAAUUUUGGAUCAUCUUCAUUCACAACGUCCUGAAAUCAUCCAGAUGCAAGGCCUUUAAUUAAUGACUCUUCAAACAAAAUUGAGAUUCCAGAUGCAACGCCAGAUAUCAAUGUACAUAAAUUGAACAGGUACCUUUUCUUCUCCAUCAACCAAAAAAGUGGUAAAGGGAUUCCAGGAUUUGUUCUUGAGUUCCUCUUGCCAACUUGAGACCAACCUUGCUGCUUUGCCGUCUGGAUCAUUGUCACUGUACUUCCUCUUGCACGCAUGGUGAAAGGGCUUUUCAUCAAGUUGUCCCAUCCUUUUGAUCCCUAUAACUGUGAAAUCGCUGAUCAUCAUGCUCUCCAAACACUGAGCAUUAUGAUCAUUCCACGAAGGGAACUUUUUAUACAUAGCAUUGCUCAUACAGGUGGAAUUGAAAAUGUAAAAAAACAACACGUUUACCUUGAUCACUUCUUGGCGGGUCUCUUGAAGCUCAUCUCUGUUCAGCUGAUCUCGUUGUGCUAGGUCAAUGUAUACAUUUUGAAACCUUUCACGUUCUUGCUCUAGACACUCUUUUGAAAUUGUCACUAAUCUAUGCAGAUGUCCAUAUGCUUCCUUCAAGUUUUCCUCUGCCUGUAGUUUCGUGUUCAGCAGACAUAUUGCAGACUCUUGUGCUUCCUUUUGCUCCAGCUGCUUCUCAAGUUGAAUUACUUUUGCGUUGAUGGCUUCCAUCUCUUCCUAAAAAGCAUACAUGCAUGUAAAUGCAUUUGUAUGAAUUGGUUGGUCAUUUGUGAAACAGCUGAUGCAAAUGGUCUUGCUAACUGUUCAAUCCAAAUGGAAAGAAACCUUAUAUUUAUCAUGAAGCAUUUGAGCAUGGUCACUCGCCUCGGGCUUCCUAUCUGCCAUGUCCAAUGAAUUGACCUCGAUAACUAGCUGAGAGAACCAUCAUAUCAGAAACAGCAUAAGAUAAAAUGUUGUAUUGAGAAGGUUAGACAGAGGUAGACAAAAAACACAGAAAAUGGAACAGAUUGCGUGACCACUUGUGGUAUAAUGAGCCAAUUCUGCCAAUAUUGGUCUUGGGUGACUGCUUUUGGUGUAAUAAGCAAGUUCUGCCAAUAUUGGCCUUGGCGACCACUCGUCGUGUAAUACUGGAACAAAGAAAAAAAAUACUAAUGCUAUAGCCUAACACAUGGGGGUAAAUGAAGGUGAUGUUUAACCGAUGUUAUUUUUGUUUCCAGCUGCUUGUAAAUUUAACUACAGCAGGGAAACCGGGUGUAGCAUGACAAUGCAGUGACAGUGAUCCAUAAAAUCUUUAAUGGAAGGAGAGAGGUGGUACUAUACUAUCAUAUGGAAUUGUAAAAUGUGUUCUUUCAGGCUUCUGCUGCUGAAGAUUUGGUGCUACUGUUCAUGGACUGCUGAUACAUUGACUCUAGUUUUCAAGGUAAACAGAUGUUUCUGUAGUGAACAACUCUUGAGUCUUGACAGCAUCCAUCACUACAGCAAGGAGUCGGUUCAGACACAUGCAUGUUUAUGUGAACUGCAGAUCCAUACUGAACUCUGCGAUGCAGAUAUAUAGAACUCUGUAUACCUUCUCCACUUUGCUGCAGUGCAGUUCGGUUCUGCAUUCCUUGAGCUCCUGGAUUCUGUCCACCCUCAACUUGACCUCUCCCUUGAUCGCAUCCAGCUCGGCCCUGAGCUUAUUGUUCUCCUCAUCGGCGCCACGGAACAUCUCUAGCAGGGUAUUGUCUGCUACGGCUUUUAGCUCUGCCAACAAUUACAGGAACAUUUGCGUUAUCAUCAGAUUCGGACAGAAGUCUAGGAUCAUUACCAAUGCAAUUAUCCUAAACACGUGUUCUGAAAGCAAUCAGGGAUAUUUUGGUCAUACAAUUUUGAAAAUGGUAUUUGACAUUUGGACCAUCCUUUUUUUUAAAAAAAAAAGCAUUUUCUUGCAUGGAUUAACCUUUGAGCUCGCUGUGGAGCCUGUUGCUCUCCUCCUCCAUCCUCUGGACCACCCUGGCCAUCUCCUCGUUCUUGGCGGCCAAGAACCUCUCCCUCCUCUGGUACUCGCUGGCGACGGCGCCGAGCAUGACGGCGGCGCUGGCCUCGUCCUUCUCGAUGUCCUCCACGCUCCUCGCCGCGGUGCCGGACUCCCUCAGGAACCUCCCGACCGCGCCGUCGCCGAUGAGGUCCUCUCGCACGGCCGCCCAGCCGAAGACGCAGCCGGCGUCGCCCUCGCCGCGCCGCUGCCACCUCCUCCUCCCGGCGCCGGUGAAGUAGGCGGCCAGCGACAUGGCGUCCCGGAGGCCCGCCCAGCUCUUGCCGAAGUGGAGCAGCAAGAAGUGUUGCUGGCGAUGCUGGUGGGUGGUUGGCUCCUCCCGGAGCGCGGUGGUUGCGACGCCGGCGAAGCGCCGAUGGGCGUGGAAGGCGAGGGUGGCCGCGGCGUCGGCGUCCUCAUCAGCGGCGGUCGUGGAGAGAAUGCCGGUCCACGGCCAGACGAGGAGCUCGCCUGCGUCGUCUGCUCCGGCGGCAUCAGCCUCGUCAGCCGACAUGGGAAUUUUGUUGCUCGUCGAGGUUUCAAUGCCGUGUGGUUGGGUACUUGGGUGGGUGUGGCUCUGCUCUGAAAUUCAGGAUGGCAUUGCCUCUGUUUUUUAUGGGUGUACGUUGUACUUACCGUGUCAUGUGUUCAUGGAAUGUACGUGCUGUGUGAUGGCGAUAUUUUCGUGUUAUAUCUCGGUGGCUAUUUUUGGGAUCAUGGUAUUUUACUUAUACGGAAACAGCAGUGAGCGAUGCCUGAAGGGUUAUUUACUGAUUUCAGGUUCUGAAUUUCUUCCGAAGAAAUAGGUGAAGUAAUUUCACCCAAUCACAAGUCAUGCAGCAUAAGCAGAAGUUGCUUAUCAAUUACUCCAUUCGUCCCAAAUUAUAGGUCGUUUUAGCUUUUUUUUUAUUCAUAGAUUUUAUGUUACUCCAUUCGUCCCAAAUUAUAGAUCGUUUUAGCUUUUUUUUUAUUCAUAGAUUUUAUCAUGCACUUAUAUAUAUCCUAUAUCUAUAAAUCUAGAAAGGCUAAAACGAACUAUAAUUUAGGAAGGAGGGAGUAGAUAACUGCAGUUGUGAUCACAUAAAAGUGUUUCUUACACAUCAUGCAAAAGAACAUAACUUUCUGUUGACUGAAGUGUUCACUGAUGAUUAAACCAGAAAGUCCAGGGCGUAACCAUAAACAUCACAAACACUAACAUAAAACGGCGACUGAUCAGAUGCAUACAUCUUCAUGUUCUGCUGCAAAUUCACUAGUUAGAGCAACUCCAAGAGACUGCUAAUCUUACCCCCAAUACCUGUUUUAGGGAAAAAAAAGAGAAAAAACGGACUCCAACAGUCCACCCAAAACUCCCCCAAAAAAUUAGCGAUGCUAAAAAAACACCACCUCACCCCGUAUAUUUUCGCAGCCGCGGUCUUCCCCCAAUCCUCCGCGAGCUCCUUCCCGCGCCCGCUCUUUUUUUUUCGCGCGCUUAUCUCCUGGCGGCGCCGUCCUCCCCCGGCGGUGCCCUCAUCUCCCGGCGGCGGUUCUCUCCCGGCGACAGGCGGCGGCGACCCUCCUCUCCUGGCGGCGCCCUCCUCUCCCGGCGACGGGCGAGCGCUAGGCGGCGGCAGGCCGGGACGCGGCCCUCCUCUCCCGGCGGCGGCUCUCUUCUCCCGGCGACGGGCGAGCGCUAGGCGGCGGCGGGCCGGGACGCGGCCCUCCUCUCCUGGCGGCGCCCUCCUCUCCCGGCGGCGGCUCUCUUCUCCCGGCGACGGGCGAGCGCUAGGCGGCGGCGGGCCGGGACGCGGCCCUCCUCUCCCGGCGGCGCCCUCCUCUCCCGGCGGCGGCUCUCCUCUCCCGGCGACCGGCGAGCGCUAGGCGGUGACGGGCCGGGACGCGGACCUCCUCUCUCGACGGGGCCCUCCUCUCCUGGCGAGCGCCCACCGUGCGUUGGCGGCUUCCACGAGCAACAGGUACGUCCGUCUCAAGGUUCACCAUUUGCUGCAAUGCGGAUAAUGUCUCACGAUUUCGGUCGAGCGAAUCGCCAUCCCUAGAUCGUUUUCGAUUUGUUCGUCAGUAGUGUGCCUGGAAACUGAACUAGUUAUAUGAAUGCUAUCUACUUUUCUGACACUCUGUAGCAAGGAAGUUGUUCUUCUGCUGGGUUGCUAUUAGUGUAGAACAACUGGAAGCAGCUCUGACCACUGUCAUCAGAAACAAAACGUACAUUAGUAGUAGGGGCCGGGGAAGCCUUUCUUCUAAACAAACAUUCAGUAGUAUGUACAUAUGUAUAUCCCACCAAUAUCUCCACUAGAUGUUUGGGGGGCAUGGAUGCAUAAAAAUUCUUAUAAUAAAUAUGCAACCAAUUGAACAGAUAGCCAGCUCACCAGCUGUGCAGAACCAGGCUAAAAAAAGAUGGUGAAGGUGUAGCCGAUUCCUGUCAUGCAGUAGACGAGGGCCAGAAGAACCACGUAGUUUUCCCAGAUUGAUGACCUCAUGUUGUUAAAGAAGUAAAACGUGGAGAGGUAGACGAUCGGCUUGAUAAUUGUAUCGAAGUGAUCUAUUGUAUGUUUGGACAAGAAGUAUGCCAGUGAGCUCAUGCCAGAUGCUCUCUCCCUCCAGUAGUGUAUUUUCUCCAGUGAAAAUGACCUCAGGGCCCCAAUCUUGCACAGCAGAGCUGCAGCCAACAGAAGCUUAUUCGCAAAUGAACCUAAAAGUUAUGAUUAUUGCUUAUAAAGUUCAAGCAUACAAUAAUUGCAAAAUCAUCUCCUUUCCAUGACAGGUUCAGAUUAAUUUAGAGUCCUAAGCAUACUGCACUCAACUUACCAGUUUGGUAUGUUACCAGUUUGAUGCAUACCAUUUGUACAAAUAUAUGUAUGCCUUCAACUUAAUUUAGAGUCCUAAGCAUACUGCACUCAACUUAGUUUUCCAGAAGUUUCUUAUUCAUCCGUGUACUAAUGCUUUAGGAGAGCAUUGCUGCAAUCAGAUCAUGUGGAAUUACUUGUGCAUUUUUUUUUGAAGAGCAAUUACUUUUGCACUAGUUACAGCAUACUUUGUACAGUUUUGAUGAGCUAGAUAUGAAGCUUACCUCAAAAAAUCAAAGUGCUGAUUUUAAUUCCUUUUGUUGCCUGUGCAGAUGCAGGCACCACGGCCAACCGCUCCUGUCCGGCAAGGCCAAGUAAGACGCGGCGGAGGGAUGCUUCAACGGCGCGUGGUGGUCGUCGGCGGCCAGCACCCUCAAUGGCCCGGCGGUGACCACAUGCCUCAAUGGACCGGCGGUGACCACGACCUCGAUCUGGCCGGUGGUCCUCCGAUGGCAGCCCUUGCCGGCGACGAUUUCAAUUCCGUAUCCAGUGACCCCUCAGCUGCCUUCGAACAAGUGGUCAACGACAACUCAUUUGGGAAUGGUAUGAAUCAUAAGCUACUCAUUUCAAUUCUCUAGGGUAAUCCGGACUAAGCAAUGCAUGUCGGCUUAUUAAAGUUUAUAUCUCAGAGUUGAUGAGUAAGAGUUUGACAUGCAAGCAUAUGACAUUGUCUGAAAUUGUCCUAUGAAUUUUACCUAUUAAAGCAAUGAUGUUGUCUGAUGCAGCAUAUUACCAUUUGACUGAAAUUGUCUUACUGAAUUAACUCAGUCUUACUAGGUUGUUGGGUUAGGAUUGUGAUGGCUGCCACUGAUGGAUGUUAAAUGUCACUGGUAAUUUUUUAGACCCAUGCUAAAUUUUUUGAUGUUUAUUUUCUACCUACUGGGCAGGAAAUGGAUAUUUUUCGAACAUGAUGAUGGAUGAAACCAAUCUAGGGGAUUCUGAUUAUUAUAGCAACACAUUUGCUGACCAACAGUCACAGGCAAUUGAAGUGGGUCCAGUAGCCCCCUCUGCGAGGCCAAACCAUAAGAGAUCAAAGAAUUUCAGUGACCACGAAGAUGAGGUUUUGGUUUCAGCGUGGCUGAAUGUAAGCUUGGAUCCGAUCGUAGGCAAAGAUCAAAAAGGUGGCAAGUAUUGGUCUCGUAUCUAUGAGUACUUCCAUGAACACAAGACGUGCACCUCAAAGCGUACCAUAAAUUCUCUCAUGCACCGGUGGGAGACCAUACAAAAAUGUGUGAACAAGUUUUGUGGGUGUCUAGCACGGAUUGAGUUAAGACGUUCGAGUGGUAGUACAAUGAAAGACAAGGUACUUACUACGCAAUACCAUGAUUUGUUUCAACUAUUUUAUUUUUAUAUAUCGUAUAUGAAUAUCCCUUGUAUGUUGGUGCGUGUAGGUUGCAGAGGCAUGUGCUUUGUACAAGUCUGAAGACGAACAUCAGAAAUCAUUCCAGUUCAUGCAUUGCUGGAAUAAGUUGAGAACACAACCAAAAUGGCUUUCUAAAAUUGAUGAAUUGGUUGCUGCUAAAACAUCUAACAAGAAGCAGAAGACAAGCUCAACUGUUGACCCGAGUGCAAGUUUACCUAAUGACAUAGGACAAGGUGAAGUUCAAUGUCUAGAGGAUAAUGCAUUGACAAGACCAAUUGGUAAGAAGAAGGCAAAAGCAGCACUGCUGCAAGAGAAGAAAAAAAGUGUGACAGCAACCUUAGAAAAUAUGUGGGCACAGAAGAAAGAAACUGAUGGGGAGAAAGAGCUAAAAAAAGAGGAGAGGUUCAACAAAGCAUUUGCACUUGAACAAGAACGAGUUGCUCUUGAACAGGAUCGAGUUGCAAAUGAAAAAGUACUUCUUGAGUUGAGGAGCCAGGAGGUCCAAUUGCAAAAAAGGAGGGAUGAAGAGAGGAUUAUGACCAUGGACCUUACCGCCAUGCCAGAUGAGCAAAAGAAAUACUACAUGUCCUUGCGCGCUGAGAUCAUGAGUCGACUAUCUAUGUCUAGUACUUAAUUACUAUCAUGUUUGUGUUCUGUUGAUUUAGGAACUCUUUACCAAUUUCAUACUUGUUUUAUUCACUUCGAACCUAUCGAUGAUUUAGUCUGUUUGAUAUUGAACUAUAAAGUCAUUUAUAAAUUUCCGUUGCUUCCUGGAAAUAGGAGAGAGAAUGGUCAGGGUUGAGCUGAAUCUGCUGAUGGUGCUUGGGGUCUGCCGGCAUGACGAUGGCCUGGGGUGUGCCGGCGUGAUGGUGUGGGUGGCCUUGUUUAGGUGGUUCAUCUUUUAGAAAAAAUUAGAAAAAGAUCGUGUUUGAUAUUGAACACUACAACAAUUUAGAAAUGGAGCAUAUACCAUGCUGAUGAACAUCUACCUUAGUCUACCUUAAUUUCUAAAUGAUGAAUACUAAUGCGCCAAUUACAAAUAAAUUUAUAAAGUAGCAAAAAUUAUUGAAAAUAACAAUUACUAGAGUUGAACUAUAGGUAAUCAUUUGUAGAGGUCUGGAUGAUGUUGCCACAAGUGCUCGAUGAGGUCAUCUUGAAGCUGAUUGUGAAUAUCUUUGUCCCUUAUAUUCUUGUAAUUUUUAAUAAACUCCUCGAGUUCAGGUGUUUCAUCGUGAGAAGUCUUCACCUUUUCUCCCACUCCAUCAUAAUUUAAAUCAUCUUCCUCAUCACGCUCAUCCUCAACUAUCAUGUUGUGCAUAAUGACACAAGCCCUCAUGAUUUGUCUGAGGGUGGCUUCAUCCCAAAAUCGAGCUGGCCCCCUAACGAUAGCGAAACGAGACUGUAGAACCCCAAACGCUCGUUCCACGUCCUUCCUACAAGCUUCUUGGGCAGUUGCAAAAUAUUUCUUCUUGUUACCUUGUGGAUCAGGUAUGCUCUUCACAAUUGUGGCCCACGAGGGAUAUAUGCCAUCAGCAAGAUAAUAACCCAUUGUAUAUUCGUUGUUAUUAAUGGUAUAAUUCACCUUUGGAGCUUGACCUUCAGCUACCCGUGCGAAUAAAGAAGACCGGUGCAAAACGUUGAUGUCGUUGUGGGAACCAGGCAUCCCAAAAAAAGCAUGCCACAUCCAAAGAUCUUUAUCUGCAACAGCUUCAAGUAUAAUUGUAGGCUCAUGCACAUGCCCGGUAUACAUACCUUGCCAUGCCGAAGGACAAUUUUUCCACCUCCAAUGCAUACAAUCAAUCGACCCAAGCAUACCAGGAAAACCUCUACUCUCUCCAAUGGCAAGUAAUCUAGCAGUAUCAUCUUCAUUAGGUGAUCUCAAGUACUCAUCUCCAAAAACCUCAAUAACAGCACUGACAAACCUUCUCAGACUCUCAAUAGCAGUACUCUCACCAAUACUGACAUAAUCAUUUGUAGCAUCAGCUGCUACUCCAUAAGUUAACAUCCGAAAUGCUGCAGUAAUCUUUUGCAGACUAGAAAGGCCAAGUACACCGGCAGCGUUUCUUUUCUGCACGAAAUAUUCAUCGUGUUCCUCUACGGCAUUCCAUAUGCGUACAAACAGUGUACGCCUCAUGUAUAAUAUAAUUUUUUUUGAAAAAAAAUGGUUGAAAUAAAUCUAUUGUUUACGUACCGUCGUCUGAAAUAACUAUGUCCGUACGUAGGAUCAUCUGAAAAAUAAUCUUGAUACAACCUUUGAUGCCCUGCGUGUCUGUCUCGCUGAAGUACUCGAUGACCUAUGAUAGAACCACGAUGUUUUGUUUCAUCAUCGGACUCAUUCACAUUCACGGUCACAUGAGUAACAGAGAUUAAGAAAUCAUCAUCGUCAUCAUCUGACGACGAAUCCAACACUAGGUGCAUCGAAAGGCUUCGAUUCAUAGCAAUUCCUUUUUAGAACUAUUUUUCCUAGGUAUUGACAGCCACAUAAAAACUCAUUACGACAGAAUCCUCGUGCCAAAGCUGAUCGCAACAAAAAAACAAAAUGAAAAUGAUGCUGCGAAGUAAUCAUUACUUUGAUCCGCGCGGUGUACGGAGGAUGCUGGACGGAUGCCGGCAAGGAAUGCCGUGCAGGGGCUGCCAAAGUCCACCGUGCGCGGGGGUGGCGGCGUGAGACCUCUUGCGCACGGGCAGGUGGUGUGAUAGAGUACCGGAGAAGAAUUUUUGAUGGGCUCUGGACACGGUACCAGGGAAAAAAAAAUCAACGGAUACUAAUGGGCCUAAUCCGAUGACGUGGCCUCUUUUAAAUUAUUGGGGAGUAGUUUUUAGCGAUCUGCUGUGGGCUGAUAUGUUUUUUGGGGAAAAAAUUUUUAGCAUAGCCCCCAAUAUCUCAUUUUGGGGAAGAAUUUUUUGGGGAACUCUUGGAGUUGCUCUUAUACGCUACCUGACACUAGAGUAAGCUCCACCUUCACUACAAGGAACAAAAGACACUGCAAACUCCUGGGUAUCAACAGACCGAUGCUUGGGUGCAAAAGGGAUGCGGUGAACAGGCUGCAGCCUAGUAGAGUGAGUCCUCUCCGUCCUCUUCUUCAGGGGAACUAGCAGCUUGUCGCCUCUUAGGGCAGUUGCGGUAGUCAUGAAAGACAUGUUCAUUACAGGACCUGAAGUGUAACUUGAAAUUUGAAAUACCAUAAUUUACAGGUCCCUGCAAAAGAUCAUAAUUUAUUUCUUUGUUCAUGUACAGAUCUAGCAUUUGUGAUACGAGGAGGUGUAACUUGAAAUUUGAAAUACCAUAUUUUGUUUAGGAGGACCUCGUUCUGGGCUUUUAGCUCCUCAUUUUCCUCGAUUAGAUUCUCCAUGUCUUUUGCCUUCAGAGCCAGAUCUGCCCUCAGCUUCUUGUUCUCCUGAGAGUAAUAAUUUAUUUCUGUGUUCAUGUACAGAUCUAGCAUUUGUGAUACCAGGAGAUGUAACUUGAAAUUUGAAAUCAUACUUUGUUUUGGAGGACCUCGUUCUGGGCUUUUAGCUCCUCAUUUUCCUUGAUUAGAUGCUCCAUGUCUUUUGCCCUCAGAGCCAGCUCUGCCCUCAGCUUCUUGUUCUCCUGAGAGUACUGAAGCUCUUUCUUUUUCAUAGCUAACUGAGACCUUAAGAAUUCAAUCUCCAUGGAGAUCCUAGAAGAGUCCUCUCCCUGGGACGAGACAUCCAGAUCUUCUAAAUGCAGAAAAAAAAAGGUCAUGUCAUGUAAAAGAAAGUGAGGAUCAAAAUGAUGGGUUCUACAGUUCUAAACUCCCACAUAACUUCAUUGCCCAUAAUAAGUGAUUUGAAGUCAUCAAACUCAGUGCACACCACUGCUGCUAUUAUCUUGCUACACCUGAAUUCUCUCCCAAUUGUCUGACACGUGCAACUGCAGGAAUACUAUCCAAUCCGCAGGUUUUAGAUACCCUGCCACAAGCCUGAUGCAUGCGUUACUUAAGUAAAGCUAGCUAAGAGCAUGCGUGUGAUGUCAUGUGUAAUUGACUCAAACAAGGUGAUUAUUACAUUGAUACAGUUAGACAAUCACAAAACAAGGUAAAAUUGGCUGUAAAGAUGCCGAUGUCCAAGUGUUAGCCUUGCUCGAUCCAUUCAAGUACUAGAAUUUUGCAGCAUGUAAAUGAUUCAUUUCGAUUGAAAGCAAAGUGUGGUACAUAAGAGCCUAUACAUAAAAGGACUUGUAACACGAGCAGAUACGUUUGCAAACUUCAGUACAUUGCAGUGCUCUCAAGCUUCAAUCUUGUAUUUCUCUACUUUUAGAUCCAACAUCACCAACAACACUGGUAUCUGGUCUGGAGUCAGAGAUAGCUGAGCUAUAAUCCCCGGCCCAAAACACCGGGAUCUGAUCUAUCUAAAGCGCCAGCAAAGUCCACAGCCAGACAAUCCAAGAACACCAACGUUGCGAUGAAAUCUUAACGAGGCAGCAACUUGGCAGUAUUUGUAAUGCAUCACAGAUGGAGACUGUAUAUCAGGCUCCCAUCAAUUGCGACCACGAGCAUAACAAUGGCGGACGUAGAAUCGUCGAUUGACUGCUAUCUGAAAUGGGUAAAAAAUUAAAAGAAGUACGUGCAAUCUCUUACCAUCCCCAUAUCAGGAGCUCCACCGAUGCCACCAAGCACGCCUAUGCCGCCGCGCCCAGCCGCCUCGUCGCCUCCGCCGGCCGGGUUGCCGGAGGAGGAAGAGAACAUCGUGGAGAGGCCUUUUCUUCGAUUCCGGUUGCGGAGAUACACGGGAACAGCUACUGAGUGCAGAACUUCUUCUCUGUCCUGCGGGCUGUGUAUUCCGGUUUGAAACAGGCUGUGUCCCUUUGCCUUCCUCCCACCUUUUUAUUAAUGCGGUCCGGGCUAGACGCAUGAAACCAUAAUUUUUUUUUUGAAGUUGCAACGCUGACGGUUGAAUUACAUCUUUUACAAAGGCCAAUGCACAUUUCAUAUAGGCUGUGUCCCUUUGCCUUCCUCCCACCUUUUUAUUAAUGCGGUCCGGGCUAGACGCAUGAAACCAUAAUUUUUUUUUGAAGUUGCAACGCCGACGGUUGAAUUACAUCUUUUACAAAGGCCAAUGCACAUUUCAUAUUUAUUUUCCAAAAAUAUCACAUAAAGUCAGUCUUAAUGCACAAUUUAAUUGGACAGUUACCGAGACUGAGAACUUAAUAGCUGUGCUUGAUGAGUGUCAUGGAGAUGAAACUCCUCUCCCAUAUGAUGAAAUUCUUUAUUCUCUCCCCUCGUAAUGGUCUUGUCAAGUCAGCAAAAUUGAUAAUACGGUAUACAAUUUAAUGCUCAUGAAAAAACCUUCCAUUGAAACUGGCCUAAGUAAGAUAGCAUUUAUUUCGAUGUUGAAAUAGCUCCAUAGAAUGCAUAAUUCUAUUGUUUAUUAUUUCCAAGACUACAUACAAGAAAUGAAUUUUGAAAAACAAUGUACAUAGGUUUCAAUUAGAUGAAAUCCAUCAUCUCUCUCUUCGUUGAUUCUUUGCCACGUAUACGUCAUAAAAGACACUAACAUGACGCUUCAUAUAAUGAGAAUGAAAAUCCCAUCAAGAUUGAUCCAAUACUAUCUCAAACUAUGACAUGCUAGACCAAGAUUCAAAUAUUUUAAUUUUAACUGAUUUACAUAGUAUACUGAAAUUUGAUAUCAUUAGAUUUGUAUUGAAAAAACCAAUUCCAUACGAUUUCAAAGUAUUUUGUGGUUAUAUACAUUAUAAUAUAUAAGAUAUUAACGGUCAAAAUAUGACAUUGAAGACUGUAAUUAGUCAAACCACAUCUUAGGCUAAUCCAGUUGAGAGUUUAACGGUGUUUAACGGUCAAAAUAUGACAUUGAGAGUUUAGGACAAGGAAAUGGUGUUUAACGAGUCACACACUAAUUAAUGAUUAAUGAGAAUGAUGAGACGUACUAGGAAAAAAAUAAAUCCUAGAAAUUGUAAAAAAAUUAGAAACAUUUGGCCAUCCAUCCGGUAGUUCAAAUUAUCGUAGCCAUUAAAUUUUAUUUAACAUUUUUCCACAACGGUGGAAGGUUUCAAUAGAACUUGAUCGUCUAUGCAUGGUAGCUAUGCUAUAUAACGGCUUUCAUGAACAUGCCAUGCCAUGGCACCUCAGUUAGCCCCGGCAGUAGCUGCUGCCGUCCACACUUGAGAAAUUAGUUCAGCCGGCGUUUCUUGUGCUUGAGCUGCCUGAGCCUGACAACCUCACUGACAGCGCUCCUGCUCACCGUCGCCUUCCGUCCUUCACCAAAGUUCCAGAGCUCGCGCGCCAGGUAACCUCCGCUGGUGUUGUGCUCGUUCAUCUCGAUCACCGCGCGGUCUUCACCGCCAUCGCCGUACUCGUCCCGCGGGCGCCUCUCUCAGCUCCGCGUCGUCGUCGUCGUCGUCGUCGUCCACGACUUUCUGCAACACCCCGAUGAUGACUCGUUAUAUUGCUGCUUGACAAAUUGUGAAAUUAAGACCUUGCAAGUUGGAUAUAAGUAUAUGCCUUGGUUUUGCCAUUGGCGUCGUCAAAAAUCCUGAAAGGCACUUCCUCCUGCCAAUCAGAGAUCAGCGUUGCCGCUCUGACCUGCUUGAAACAAAAUAGCUAAUGCAUACUGAUGGAUGGUUAGUAGCUAAGAGUACCUUUGACUUUUCAACAUCCAUAAUGACACCACUUUUCUUAGCCAAUGAUCCAUCGAUCAACUUGGAGCUUGAGCUUAGUAGAGCCAUUUGUGUCAUUCUUUGUGCUCUUCUCAAACCAGUGCAUGUCCAAGUUCCAUUGUGUCUCGUAACCUCUCCAGUUGAUGCAAGUGCGUCUUUUUAACGUCAAUCUGGGUUUCCAAUAUAUCCACCACUACUGGAAAACGGAAUUUCCCUGUGUGUAUUCAAUUUUCCUGUGGGUUUUUUGAGCACACACAGGGAAAUCAAUUUCCCUGUCGGUGUGCAAACACCACACAGGGAAAUAACCAAACCCACAGGGAAAUUCGCUUUUCCUUGUCGGUAUUAAAAAACACACAGGGAAAUGGUUAAACCCACAGGGAAAAUACUCAUUUCCUUGUGCGUUAGGUAAAACACACAGAGGAAAUCGCAAAAACACACAGGAAAAUACUCAUCAGGUAACCUGUAGUAAAUAGUUAACCAGAGCCUUAUACUACGUAGUAGUAAACUUUAACUGCCACUAAAUUUUGUUUGAACUUGAUUUCACAAUUAUUUCUCCUUCACGUUGAUGCUUUCAUAAAUUGACAUUAGAGUUUUUGAAUCAUAAAAUUUUGACGUUGUAACGGGCCUUUUCAGCAUAUUUGUGUGUGGGCGCUUGAUAAUGUUGGAUUUGUGUGCAGCAUGCUCCAUUUGUCCGGUCCGGUUAGUCUCAGGUACAUGGUGAAAAUAUAUCUUUGUGAGUACUAGAGAUAUGAAAUGGGUAAAAAUUAAAAGAUCCGCGGAAUUUAUUACCAUUCCCCUCAACAGGUCCACCAACGCGGCAUGCUCAUGUUGUCGUGCGCAGCCGCUUUGUCGCCAAUGCCGACCGGGUUGCCAGAGGAGGAAGAGGGCAUUGUAAAGGCCUUUUCUUCUGUCGAUUUCGAUUGCUGAGAUACGCACGGGAACGGUGAUAUAUAGUGACUAUAGCUAUUUCUUAUCUGAUCUGUUUGUGGGCUGUGGCUUCCUGUUGGAAACAAGAAUGUUUCCACCCUUCGCAUUCCUCCCACCUUAACUAAUGUGAUCUUGGCUGGAAGAUGGGAAUCAUAAACUUUUAAAGUUCUAACGGCACCUUUUAGGGAUAUUUGUGUGUUGGACACUCGAUAAUAUUGGAUUUGUGUGCAACACACUCCAUUUGUCCACUCAGUCUCGGCACACGGUGAAAUUAAGUCUUUGUCCAGAACACCAGGGGCGGAUCCGGGACUUCAGGGAGGGGGCUCAUCCUCCUCUUCUAACUCCCUCCUCUCUUUCUCUUCUUCCUCCUCCUCCUAUUCACCCAUGGAUGAAAUUUUUAAGGGGUCUUUAGGGGCUUCAUGGGAUGCAUGGAGAUAGGAGAGCUCCAGCAGUCCAGACCCCAUAGUGGAUCCACUCCCGCACAACACACUAUAGUCACUCCCCUUCCACUUUCUCCCCCGUUCACAAGCUCCAUCACGUCUCCCUCUCACCUCCUGCCCCCACGAGCGCCUCCAGCCUAUCUCGAGUGCAGCUCCAAUGCCUUGGUGUGCCAGCGUCCAUGGUACGCCGGCUAGCUAGCUUCUGCUUAUUUGCAGCGCCUUGUGUGCUGCACCUGCACAUGAAGCCGAUAUAGCUGCAAGUGCUGCACACUUCUACCCAGCUGCAACUGCUGGGCUUGAUGUUGGCUGGCUGCAUCUGCUAUAUAUAGGUGCUGCUAGCUAGCUGCUGCCGCGGCAGCCCUAGCGGACGCUGCAACUAGCACUACUGAAUCCUUGUGUGCAACAACUCUAAGCCUCAGCUAGCAAGUCACACGAGCCUGAGCAAACGUGCGCGUGAGAGAGCCGAUUGAGCGUCACGGGACAUAGGUUCGCUUGGGUGGCCACACGGCACAAAUCUAAGUUAUGUGACCGUGUCAGCUAAUUAAUACAAACUUUUUGCUUGUUGUUCUCGCACGUGUUCAUAUAUACGCAGGGCUACAUCUGCCUCGUGAGCGGCCUCAAGUUCAACGAAGCGCUCGAUUACUGCUUCUCCAGGGGGAUGGAACAUGCCUACCCUUUGCCUUCAUCCCACCUUAACUAAUGUGGUCUGGGAGCCUAGGAUGGGAACAAUUUUUUUGAAGUUAUAAUAACGAUGGUCAAAUUUUGUGCGUGAGACACUUAAACAUUGGAUUUAUGCACAACACAUUUCACUCUUCCAUCCUUGUGUGCAACAACUCUAAGCCUCACCUAGCAAGUCACACGAGCUUGAGUAAACGCACGUGUGAGAGAGCAGAGUGAGUAUCACGGAGAUAUAGAUUCACUAGCCACAUGGCACAAAUCUAGGCCAGGUCCUCACACUGUUGGAUGAUUGACCUUUUGUACCAGUUGGGAAACCCCAUUUAGUGCCGGGUGCCCGACCGGUACCGGGCAGCUCAAUCGGCACUAAACUUAGUACCGGUUGGUUUUACAAACCGGUACUAAAAUUUUAUUCAUUUACUUGUUUUCCUUUUGUUUUAAUUUGCAUUCGUAUCCGUUUGCAUAUACUAAUAAUAUUACGUUAAUAUAUCAAACCAUUCAAAUUCAAGCCUCACAAGUUCGUACAUCAAUACUUAAGGUCUUAAAGACAAUAAGUUCAAAUCCAUAUGAAAAGGGUAUGAGUACAUCCAUGUACGCUACAUAUUUUAUACUUCACUUCGCUUCCUUAGAUAUGCGGCAUAGUUUAAGUCUCCAAUCUUAAAGAACUUCAUCAAUAUAAACUAGAGCAUGAAUUAGUGCACUCUCUAUCGCUUCACAUGGAUGGUCACAUCCACUACCAUAAAUCUCAAACAAUGGAGAGGUAAACUCAUAUGGCCUAUAGAAAGUGAGAUGAGCCUAGAGCUUGAAAUUUCUGAUGCGUACCGGGUUUCCAUCAGUGUAACUAUAAUUCAACACAUCCAAGACUUGAGCCAGAAUAGCAUGAAAGCUCAUUGCUGCAAUGGUUUGACCAAAGAGAUCCUAAAAGAUGAGAAUAGCAUGAUGAAAGUUAAAAGAUGUAACAUAACUAAAGAUAAAAAGAAUGAUUAGACAUGUUCCAUACCAUGUCAUGUUGAUUUAGUUGACAAAGCCUCUCAGUAGUCAUAAUCACGUUGCUUUCUCCCUCCUUGAACGCCUUUAUUCAAAAAUAUGAGAAGUCUGGCACAUAGUACCCAUUAUCCUUAAGCUGUUGUAGGCAGGCGUGGACUUUUCAAAAGUCUACCUAAUUGGUGCUUCCUUACUCCAUCAGCAAUUCAUAACAUUGAGAUGGCCUGUCCUGGUCGUAUCGAGUUGGCCUGUCCUCCUCGAAUCAGGUAGUUCAAAAGAGAUCUUAACUCAUAGCAAAUUACUUGUACCAAUACCUCGGAUUGCACUAAAGGAGUAGUACCGCCUAGAGCUUUGACAACAUCUUUGAGCCAUCUAAUAGGGUUGAUAAGCUACAUUGUAUGAGAGUAAAUUUAUGAAUUAUUCAUGUGCAGUACAGAAAACUAAUUACAAGAAGGAAAAAUAUUACUAUGUUGGGUUUUGCUCCUUGGCUUUGAUUGCCGGUAGGCAAGUCAAUGACGCCAUUAGGGAAUAUUUUUUAAGUUAUAAUAACGAUGGUCAAAUUUUGUGCGUGAGAUACUUUAAUGUUGGAUUUAUGCAUAGCACACUUCACUCAUCCAUCCUUGUGUGCAACAACUCUAAGACUCAACUAGCAAGUCACACGAGCCUAAGCGUGAGAGAGCUGAGUGAAUGUCGCGGGGACAUAGAUUCGCGUGGGUGGCCAUAUGGCACAUAUAUAAGCCGGGUUGUCAUGUCAUGGUGAGCUCUUUGUAGACCAUCCCCACCUAAUUUUCUUCCUUAAUUUGAAUUGGUCUUGGUGCUACUAGGAAAGCGCAUAAACCCGCCAUUGGAAAGGCUAUGUGAUCGUGUCAGCUAAUUAAUAGAAACUUUUGCUUGUUGUGUUCGCACGAGUUCAUAUAUACGCAAGGCUACAUCUGCCUCAUGAGUGGCCUCAAGUUCAACCUAAGAAGUGAAGUGCUCGAUUACUGCUUCUCCAGCGGGAUGGAACAUGCCUACCCUUUGCCUGAGGUCUUGGAGCCUGGGACGGGGAACAAUUUUUUUGAAGUUAUAAUAACAAUGGUCAAAUUUUGUGCGCGAGACACUCUAACAUUGGAUUUAUGCACAACACACUUCACUUGUCCAUCCUUGCAUGCAACAACUCUAAGCCAAAGCUAGCAAGUCACACGAGCUUGAGUGAACACGCGCGUGAGAGAGCCGAGUGAGCGUCACUGGGACGUAGAUUCGCUUGGGUGGCCACACAGUACAAAUCUAAGCUGGUCCUCGUUGUGAGCUCUUUGUGGACCGCCCCCAUCUAAUUUUCUUCCUUAAUUUGCAUUGGUCUUGGUCUGCUAGGAAAGUGCAUAAAACUGUCAUUAAAUAGGGCUAUCUUACCAUGUUAGCUAAUCAAUACAAACUUUUUAUUGUUGUGUUCGCACAUGUUCAUAUAUAUGCAGGGCUAUAUCUGCCUCAUAAGCGGCCUCAAGUUCAACCUAAGAAGCGAAGUGCUCGAUUACUGCUUCUGCAACAGGAUGGAACAUGCCUACCUUUUGCCUUUAUCCCACCUUAACUGAUGUGGUUUGGGAGCUUGGGAAGGGAACAAUUUUUUUUAAGUUUAAUAACGAUGGUUACAUUUUGUGCGUGAGACACUUUAACGUUGGAUUUAUGCAUAGCACACUUCAAUCGUCCAUCCUUGUGUGCAACAACUCUAAGCCUCGGAUAGCAAGUUACUUGAGCCUGAGUAAACGUGCAUGUGAGAGAGCCGAGGGAGCGUCACGGGGACGUAGAUUCGCUUGGGUGGCCACACGGCACAAAUCUAGGCUGGGUCCUCAUGGUGAUCUCUUUGUGGACCGACCCAAUCUAAUUUACUUCCUUAAUUUGCAUUGGUCUUGGUUCUGGUAGGAAAGUGCAUAAAGCCGCCAUUGGAGAGGCAGCUAAUUAAUACAAACUUUUCAUUGUUGUGUUCACACAUGUUCAUACAUACGCUGGGCUACACCUGCCUCAUGAGCGGCUUCAAGUUCAACCUAAGAAGCUAAGUGCUCGAUUGCUGCUUCUCCAACAGGAUGGAACGUGCCUACCCCUUGACUCAAUCCCACCUUAACUAAUGUGGUCUGGGAGCCUGGGACGGGGAACAAUGAUUUUAAAGUUAUAAUAAUGAUGGUUAAAUUUUGUGCGUGAGACACUUUAAUAUUGGAUUUAUGCACAGCACACUUCACUCGUUCAUCCUUGCGUGCAACAACUCUAAGCCUCAGCUAGCAAGUCACACGAGCCUAAGUAAAUGUGCGCGUGAAAGAGCUGAGCGAGUGUCGCGAGGACGUAGAUUCGCUUGGGUGGCCACACAGCACAAAUCUAGGCUAGAACCUCAUGGUGAGCUCUUUGUAGACCGUCCCUACCUAAUUUUCUUCAUUAAUUUGCAUUGGCCUUGGUUCUGCUAGGAAAGCACAUAAAACCGCCAUUGAACAGGGCUAUCUGACCGUGUUAGCUAAUUAAUACAAACUUUUGCUUGUUGUGUUCGCACAUGUUCAUGUAUACGCAAGGCUGCAUCUGCCUCGUGAGCGGCCUCAAGUUAAACCUAAUGAGCGAAGUGCUCGAUUACUACUUCUCCGGCGGGAUGGAACAUGCCUACCCUUUGCCUUCAUCCCACCUUAACUAAUGUGGUCUAGAAGCUUGGGAUGUGGAACAAAAUUUUUACAAUUACGAUAGUCAAAUUUUGUGCGUGGGACACUUGAUAAUGUUAGGUUUAUGUACAUGACGCUUCACUUAUCCAUUGACACACACCAUGAAAAUAUCUCUCUGUCCCCUCGACUUCCACUCUCUCCCCGUCCACAAGCUCCACUCCCUCUCUCGCCUCCUACCCCACAAGCACCUCCAGCCUAUGUCGUGUGCAGCUCCCCUAGUUGCCUUGGUGCGCCGGCGUACAUGGCAUCCUGGCUACGCCGAUGAUAGCGACUCUUAGCUAUUAUUUCUGCCUAGUGAUGGGCCUGCACCUACUUUGUUCCUCCAACUCAUCGUUGCCUCCCAUGCCACGGCACGAUGAUCAUUGCAGUGGCGCUCGCCACUUGUGCCAAGCCACCGAGGUGUGCAGUGCAGGCGCCAUGGCUAUAUGUCACAUAUGAGACAUAUAGCAAUCUAUCACAUACCAGCGGGACCCACCCGUUAUUGACAGGUUCCUCCUGCUUCCUCUUCCUCUGUCCCGAGCCCAUCCACUCUCCCCUUCCCCGCUGCUUCCUCCUCUCCCUUCGGUCACCUCCAGCGCUGCUAGGGUUAGGGGCUUCGAGCUUCGGGGUUGCCGGGGGAGGUCUAAUGGCCGCUGGUACUAGAAAAAUGGGUGGGGAUGGGAGGGGAGACCUGCGGUGGAGGUGGGUUGUGGGGCGGUGUGGCGCGGCGGCGGGGACGCCACCGGUCGGGUCCAACGGCUUGAUUGCCGGUGGGCCAAGGAUGGGCCGGGGCGAGGGUUAUGAUGGUGGAGGUGAGCUCCUAGUGGAGCCAGGUUAGGGUGGCGGAGGGUGGUGGCGGGAGCCGUCGGAGCCGGAGGAGGAAGGUGGCACGGGGGUGACGAGCUAGGUUAGGACGACGGAGGGUGUUGGCGGCGGAUGCGGCUGCGGGAGCCGCUGGAGCUGGAGGAGGAAGGUGGCGCAGGAGUGAUGCUAGUGGGCCGUCACUGAAGGCAACAACGGCAGAUUUGUUGCCUUCAGUGAAAUAUAGAACCACCCCGCGCAGGCUCGCGAACGUCAGGGCCGGGGCGGCACCCAAGGGUGGUGGAGUUGCUGUUGCUGCAGUACAUGGUGAUGGGCGCCUCAACGUGUUGGGUAGCUGGAGUUCUACGACCAGGCGCCAGUGAACAGCUUUCCCCUUUUUGUUUACGUCGUCAAGAAACCAAUUUACUUCCUUAAUUUGUAUAUUGUUCUAGUUCUUCUAGAAACCUGUCUAAAAUCACGAUUGAAUAUGGCUAUCUGACCGUGUCAACUGAUUAAUACAAACUUUUACAUGUUGUGUCCGCGUGUGUUCAUAUAUACGCAGGGCUAUAUCUGCCCCGUGAGCGACCUCAAGUUCAACCUGACGAGCGAAGUGCUCGAUUACUGCUUCUCCGGUGCUGCCUUCCUCAUUCCUUAAUUAACGUGGUCUGGGCUGGAAGCCUCGGACUGGGAACAAAAAAAAAAGUUGAAGUUAUAACGGCGGCGGUCAAAUUUUGUGUGUGGAGCACUUGAUAUGCUGGGUUUAUGCGCAACACGCUCCACUGGGUAGUCUCAGACAUACCGUGAAAAUAUCUCUAUGUCCACGACACAUUAUAGUCACUCGAAAGACCAUAUUAUCUUUCUGUCUCCACGACGGGGCUCCGCCUCCUCACACGGCUCCAAGGCGCCAACCUCUGCUCCGACGGUCCGGCCCUACACGUCGCUACUCCGUCACAGAUGGCCAAGCUCCGGCACUCGUUUCCUCCUCUCCUGCGCUACCACGGCACGAUGAUCGCUGGAGUGGCGCUCGCCACUUGCGCCAAGCCGCCACCGAGGUGCACAGCGCAGGCUCGCAACGUCAGGGCAGGGCCGCCCGGCCGGGACGGCACCCAAGGGCAUCGUGUUGCAGCUGCCGCAGUACAUCAUGUACACGGUGAUGGCUGCCUCAUCAAGCCUUCAACAUGUUGGCCUUGGGUAGCUGGAGUUCUACGCCCAGGCGCCUUGGAUGACGGGUGGACACAAGGGACAAAGAAAGAGAGAGGGAGGGCAUACAAAUCAUUUUAUUAGCUGAAGUGUCCUGGAGACAAAAAUCAUGUACUCGCGGUGUGUGCAUGAGGCUAACUCGACGAAUGGAAAUACUUAGUCUAGGAAUUUAUACAGUACAGUAAAAAAAAGUUACCCACAACUGCUACUGAAAAUGUGCUCCUACACCAGUAGGACUGGACUGGGCAGCUCGCAUAAGCAGUAGUACUUGCGGACAUACAUCGAACAAAGACAAGAAACGAUUUAAAAUCAGUACUUUAUUUAACAUUUUCACAACGGGAGGAAUUGAAGGUUUCACUGGACUUGAUGCUCUAUUGGUAGGCUAUAGAGCUUCCAUUCACCAGCCAUGGCACCUCAGUUAGCCCGGCCGACCGCCGUCCCCCUUGCGCAGCUGCUGCAAUCCACGUCCUAUUUCCGCGUCCAACUUUGCUACUUCCUUCUCCAGUUCCUGUUCAAAAAAAAUUGUAAUUAAACAACUAAGCUACUAGGUCUCGAAAGAAAAUUAGCAAUGCAUAAGAAACACACUGACACUGAGUCACUGAUGACAGUUCGCUAAGAGUACCUUUGAUUUAUCAACUUUCAUAAGGACACCACUUUUCUCGGCCAAUGAUCCAUCUAUUAACUUGGAGCCUGAGCUUAGUAGAACCAUUUGUGUCAUUCUUGUGCUCUUCUCAAGCAGUGCAUGUCCAAGUUUCAUUGUGUCUUGUGACCUCUCCAGUUGAUGCAAGUGCGCUUUCUUAACGUCAAUCUGGGUUUCCAAUAUAUCCACAACCUUCAUGGACACAGGGAAAAUAAGAUGCAUCACUAAAUUUUAUCUGAACUUGAUUUCACAGUUAUUCCUUGAUGAUGAUGCUUUCAUCAAUCGACAUUAGAGUUUAGAACUCCACCGUCUCAGUUUCAAUAGAAAUCCACUGAAAUACGAGUACGUCAUUUUCCUGAGGAGCUAAACCAAUAUAUGAUGCAUUAUUUACACACUAGAAAGGAGAGUUAACAGAUUUCUAACAAAGUUCCGAUCACAAUUCGCAAGCUUACAUCCUUUUGGGAACCUUCCAUGUCAGUUAUGAGCUUCUCGUUCAACUUCGUCGGAAAGUCCAUUUCUUGAGGCAUCUUGGGAUCUUAAUCUGCACGCAGAAAGAAAAAAAAAAGAGUCGCAAGCCGUUAAGUGUUCAGAAUAGUGGUUCUCCUCCUGGGCAACUCAGCAUCUUUUGCACGCAGAAAACAAAAAUCCAAAGCCAUUAAACUACAGUAUGUCAGAGAGGAUUAAUUUAAAAAACAUGCAAAUAAAUCAGAGUACGAGUUCAGAGUAGUUCUUUGUGGAUUUAUCAUGAUUGCAAGGUACAAAUGAAGAUCAUAUAUCGGAGCAUUAGAUUACUGACACAGAACACCAGAUUGAGCAGAUAGUAGGCUACUCCUGCAGACCGAGAGUGACUGGUACAAAUUAAACUAGCAAGGUGAUGAAACCUCGAUCUCUUACCACCACCGCCACCACCGGCACCAGGUUGGUUGACGCUACCGCGCACGCUCUGGUCACCGAGCACACCGACCUCGCCGUCGCCGUCUCCGCCGGCAAGGCCCGCCGCUGCAGCGGAGGAGGAAGAGGCCAUCAGGAGAUGGUGCUUGGUAAGGUGCGGUGGAAUGGGAGCAGUGGUGCUGGCUUUAUAGGCCACUUCGUCUCUGUCCUCUGUUCUCUGGCCUCCCAACCCUCCAGCUUCCGCAUUUCUUUAUCGGUUAAUGCGGUUCAGUUUUUCUCUGGCAGCCAGAAACCUUGGAAACUGUCCGUGUUUGCCAUUUUCUUUUUGAGAUCACAAUCGAUUAGCAAAGAAGUCCGGAAGUCUAACGCUAACGCCGAUGCAUGCUUGCGAGCUGUCGAGUUCUCUGUACUAAACUUUAAGCACUCUGCAGAAGCCAGAUAGUUCAGUCAAAUGCUACAUUCUAUCUAAGGCUUAAUGGCAACUUUUUUGUAACUUCUUUUUUAAUUCAGGAAUAUGCUCGACAAUCUGUCCAUGUAGGCUAUCAUUAUCAAACACCUACACGAAUAGGAUUGUAGCGUUCACUCAUCCUACUUCCAUUCAUCCAGCAUGUACGAUGUGCACCUACACGAAAGCAACCAAACACACCCUUCGUUCAUCUUCAGAGCCAGAAGAGUAUAGGUAGCGGUCUUCCGGGGUCAGUCAACCAAAUGCUAGGCGUCAGGAUAGCCUUACCAGAGUUUACUCCUGCAAAAACAAUCACGUCAACAAAUUCACGUGCUACCUCCACCACCAUACGAACAAAGCAAGCGCUAUCUUAAUGAUGUGAUAUGAGAUUCGAACAGCAACAGUCAAAAAGUCUGUUGCUCGGUACUCUGCUUAGUAUCAAGAGGUGUUUGGGAUACAAGUUGCUAAACUUUAGCAGAAUCAUAUCGGAUAUUCGGAUGCUAAUUAGGAAGAGUAAAUAUGAUCUAAUUACAAAACUAAUUGCACAGAUGGAGUCUAAUUCGUGAGACGAAUCUAUUAAGCCUAAUUAGUCCAUGAUUUGACAAUGUGGUGCCACAGUAAAUGAUGGAUUAAUUAGCUUUAAUAGAUCUCGCGAAUUAGACUCCAUCUGUGCAAUUAAUUUUAUAAUUAGACUAUGUUUAAUACUACUAAUUAGUAUCAAACAUCCAAUGUGACAGGUGCUAAAGUUUAACGGGAGUAUCCAAACCACCCCUUAGAUCAUAUGCCAGUGCUACCAAUAGAAACGUGUCAUUAAUUCAAUCAGUCAGUGGCAAAUUAAUACACAGUAAGCAUCAUCAAACCGAGCAUACAGAUGCUAGAAAUAGGUAAGCAUGAUUAGCCGGUUACACAUGAACGAUCAGAUGAUCGCACACAAGAGAAAGCCAAGCAGGCUACUACAUAUGCACACCUGCACAGCAUGAGGCAGAGUCUUGCUUCGCUAUCUCCAUGACACCAACAAAGUUGUGAUCUUCGAUUGCGUCCGAGAUAUACCGAUAUUUAGACAAGUCGGGUCUGCUAUUCCAAUAGAAGCCUUUCAUGAGGAAACUUUCCCGCCGGUUUUGGUGUCGCUCCUAUGUUGUUUAUUUUUCUUGAAACUUGACUUUGACUUGCGACCGGUAACCAUGAGAUCACAAAUUCUCAUGUCUACCUCUGUAUCAUCAAAGCCAAUAUCCGAGACAUCUUGGACCUGCUGUGUCGUAGCCAUCAGCUGUUUAGCUGAAGCCUUCUCGGACUCUGCCUCUUCAAUUUUCUUCUGAGUGCGUUCCAGGUAGGCAGCAUAGGCUUGCAGCAAACAGAAGAUCAGUAAAUUGGUUGAAAAGGCCAUCAUAUGUAUACAAAUUAUAUAUAUACCCAAAAAAAAAGCCUUACCAGCAAUCUCCUUCUUGAGAGCUGCCUUGGUCUCAACAAGUUUACGGUCCAUAGCCAUCAGCUGGUCAACGGCAGUCUCCGAUUUGGUCACUUGAGUUUGGAGAUGGCCGAUCUCCUCGAAGUUAGAUGCAGCUUGGCAAAGGAUUGCCUGCAAAACACGUGUAAGAAAAAGAAAAAGAUCAACAACUUGACUACAGGUCAUACCUCUGCUUGCUUGAGGCACGGAACAGACUCCAGAAUAAUGUCCCCGGAGUUUUUGGUCCCAAUAUCAGUGCAUCCAUUGAGCCCGUCAUUCAAGCCCUGAGAAGUUGACUGAACUGUUGGAAUGUGGAAAGUUUAAAGAAGAGAUGGGCUCAGUGACAAUGUUGAAAUCUAUUCAGAUGAACAUGGAGUUACGAGAUACGCAGAGAAAAUCCAUAGGCAGAAUUGCAGAUGAAAUGGAGUUACAAGAUACACAGAUGAACAUGGAGUCACAAGUUUACUCGGCCAAGUUUUUUUUUGAAUUUUCUAAAAAAUGUAUCACAUACUCCAGAUGAAUAAAUAUGGACACUUCAAUGGACAGUUGGCUUACUUUUGACUAAUCUUCAGUUUUUCUAUUGACACCAAUUUUCUCAGCCAAUGAUGCAUACACCAAGUUGGAGCUUGAGUCUAAUUGUUUGAAAGUGGGAAAGAAAACGAACUUUGUCAUAAUGCCUUUGGUGCACAGCCCAAAAAAAAACAAAGCUGAACAAUGAAUAUUAGGGCUGGCUAUGCUUAAAACCAACCUGCUUGCAUAAACAAGUGCACAUCAGACCAAAAUAAUUUGGCAAUACUUGAAAAGGGUUAAACCCUAUUACUCAGGUAACCUAUAAUAGCUAUAUUAAAAAUUUCAGCAUCAAUACUUUUAAGGAUUUUUUGUAACUAUAUUUUGAAGGUUUGAUGGAACUGGAUCAAUUGAAAAUAUGUGAUGCAUGGCAUAAAUAUAACUGAUGAUUCUAUUUUGGUGAAUUUUGAGAAACUUCCCAUCACCAUACAUACAAAAAGGGGCAUGUAAAAAGAUUGUAUACCUUCCACAGACGACUUGACCUCCUCAGGCUGUGGAAUUGGAAAGAAUGUUCUGUACAGCUCCUCAAGUUGCAGCAAGUCCUUUCUCUUAGUGUCAAUCUCAUUUUCCAGAAUCUUCAUAAUCUUCAUAAUCUUGAUUGAUAACAAGAAAAGUUACAGCAAAUUAGACAUUUCUACUCUACCUCCAGAACUUAGUAAGCAUUCACAAACUUCUAAUGAACCAUGAUUUCAUUUUGAUUAGCCCAGGUUUACAUUGAACUAACCCUUCAUCCAUGGUACAAGUGUAAUAAACAUAGGAGGUCUCAGGUCUAGUGUUGUGAUUCUCUUCUUCUUAAGCGAAUGGCCGAGCUCCUGCGCUUCCUUUAAAAGAAAUUACUAAAUGAAAUCUUACAUGCUUAUAGAGGCCUUGCAGCUCCUUAUUCCACUUCCUCAUGCUAUCGUUGAUCUUGGCCUGCAACUCCUCAUUCCCCUUCGUCAGGCCAUCAUCCUUGGCCUGCAGCUCCUCAAUCCGCUUCGUUAGGCUGUCAUUCCUGGCCUGCAGCUCCUUGUUCCCCUUCGUUAGGCUUCCAUUCUUGGCUUGCAGCUUCUCACUCCGCUUCCUUUGGCCGUCAUUCUCUGCAUGCACCUCCUCAAUCCGCACCAUGAGGCCGACAUUCUUGGCUUGUAGCAUCUCAGUCUGCUUCCUGAGGCCAUCAUUCUUGGCUUGCAGCUCCUUAUUCUGCUUCAUCAGGUCAUCAAUCUUGGCUUGCAGCCCUGCACUCCACUUCAUUAGGCCGGCAUUUUUGGCAUGCAGCCUCCUGUUCUGCUUCAUCAUGACAUCACUAAUGGUUUGCAGCUCCGCUAGGCUGACAUUCUUGGCUUGCAGCUGCUCAUUAUGAAUCACUAGCCCAUCAUGCUUGGAUUGCAGCUCCUCAUUCUGUUGCAUCAGGCCGUCAUUGUUUGCUUUCAACUCAUUCUGGAUAGUUAGGCCGCCAUUUUUGGCUUUUGGCUCCCCAUUCACCAUCUUCAUGCCGUCAUUACUGGUUUGCAGUACCUCAUUCUGCUUCACCAGGCCACCAUUAUUUGCUUGCAACUCCUCAUUCUGCUUCACCAGGCCAUCAUUCUUGUCGUACAACUCCUCAUUCAGCUUUCUCAUUCCAUCAUACUUGGCCUGCAUCUCCUCAUUCUGCUUCCUCAAGCACUGUAUCUCUUUCACUUUCACAGCCAGCUCAACUCUCAGCUUCUGAUUCGCCUCACAGUAUCCAAGCUCUUUCACAUCCUCAUCUAGUUGAGCCCUCAGGUCUUUGAUCUCCUUUAAAAUUCUCUGAGAAUCCUCACACACCACCGUCAAAUGUUCUGCCCAUGGGUGACAAAUAUUAAAGCCAGCAUGAAGAAGAGCGUGAAUGAUUGAAGUGGCUUUUCAGUAACACGUACCUCCAUUCCCAACCAGACUGCCCAAAUCUCCGGACAGAACCGCGGCUUUCCUCUUUCUGCUUCCAGAUUCUGCCCCAAGAUCCUGACCUGCUGCAGCUGCAAAAACAAAGAAAUGAUUUCCCUUGAGUAAGUGUAAGCUAGAUACCCCAUUUCAGGUGCAGCAAGGCGAGUAAUGUAGUACGAGUCUGUUCCUGAGAAUAUUACACAUCACUGCUGACCACAAACAAAGACAGUAAAAGGAAUGAGAGAAUGAGAUGGCUGAACACAAACUGAUUUGUUUCAACAAUAAGAAGUGUCAACAAAACUGAUGAUCCAAGCAACCGAUUAGAGUCAGUCGACAUAUCGUGUCAGCAUUCAGAUACUCUGCAUGCUUGAUUUUGACCAAUACUCACAGUUGAUUUCACUUGACAUUUGCCUUAAUUCAAGCGCGAUUGCUCCCCGGUAGCCGUAUCACGCCACUAUACUCCUCUAUUUCCACAAGUUCCACCAUUCAGACUAUUACUCCUGAAGGCCAAAAGGUCUCGAAUCGAAAGAGUAUGCGACCCUCACCCAAGGUCGCAGGAAAUGAAAUGAAGGGAAUGAGCAAUCCGGUAUUCGAAAUGCAUGACAGAUCAGACUAGGUAUCCACGCCGCUCGACCGCAAAGAACAACAGGGAAGUGUAGCUAAACUGAAAUGCAGGGAAGUAGUACAAGCAGAUCAAGGGCUCCAGGCACCCUCGCAAACAAAAAUAAAAAAUAGAAAAAGAAAUGUGAUCAGGUGGGAGAAAGAGAAAUCGUGGCUUCUCUUACCACCAGCAGCACUUGGAUCGACUCCACGGGGGAUGGGCCGCCCGCCGCCCUCUCCCGCCCCGUCGUCUCCGCCGGCGGGGGCCAUGGCUACGGCGGAGGAAAGAGUGGUGUUUUUCUUUGUUGCCUCGCUUGCUAACGGCAGGCCACGGGGGUGCGACGUGUCACUUGUGAGCUCUCUGCCUCUCUGCGCCUGUCUCUCGAGUAUCCACCUCCCACUCUCCCCAAUAAAAAAUAUUUUUUAUGCUCUCUUUCCAAAAUAUUGUUUAUGCUUUGAUUGCCUACUUAACGCAAAGUACUCCUCUAUCUACAAAUGAGACACCGAAGAGAGAGAGAGAGAGAGAGAGAGAGUGCAUGGCAUUAACUGCACAUUUUACCUGAAAACGAUUGAGGGUGCCAUGAACAGACAUGUCUACAUACAUACAUCAUUAUCAUUGUGUCAAACUCUAAAAUAACUUACCGAAUGCAUUUGCAGUCGUGGGGAAUAUUUCUAGAACAAUUUAAAUUGCAUUUAAAAACUCAUAUAAGAAAAGAAGACAUUGCAUAUACAAUGGAAUGGAAUACCAUGUUUGAAUGCAAAACUGAAUCCCUGCAAUGGAACUGGGGUUUUUUUUUCAAAGAAAAAACAAAAAAAUUGCUCAUCUCACAACAGUAGGCGUCAGUGUAGCCUUAUCAGAGUUUGCUCCUGCUAAAACCAUCACCAUAUGUCCAUAACCCCUCAUGCACGCUCUGAAAUGAGAUACCUCAACCACGCAAGAACACAACGGCUUAGUAAUCAGAUGCAAUGCAAGUGCCACCAAUAGAAACUUGUUCUCCAAUGCAGACAGUCAGUGGGAAAUGCCACUGCAUUGAUUUUACAAAGAAAAAAAUGAAUACUCCAAAAUGAUCAGAUGAACAUGUAUCAUCGGACCAACACCAGGUAGCUAAAUUACGGUACAAAUGCUGUAAAUAGGCAGCAUGAUAAGCCGAUUACGCAUGAAUGCUCAGACGAUCGCACACAAUUGAAAGCCAAGCAAGGCCACAGCACUUGCACCACACCUGCACAAUAAUACAAUAUACAGACACCUAGGAACACAAAGGCAACGGGUUGGUGUCAUUCAGUUCACCGAUCACAUCAGUUUUCAGGACAGAAAGCGGCAACAACACCACCACAUGCACACAUCACAUACGCUUGUAAUGUCUCUAGGCAAAGGGAGAACACAGAGGAUACAUCUCCUACCUCAGGAGUCAGGAGGGGGGAUCCAGCAGCACAGCUGCACGCGGCUCCCACAAAAGCACCAAUGGCGCGCAUGCACUACUACUUAGUGGCUUGGUGGGCUUGAGGACCCUGUGUUGUUUCACGUUUCAUCUGCCCAAACAGGUGCUUGAGGACCUCCUCCAUCGUCGCCCUCCAGCCUUCCCCAAAGUUCCAGAGCUCGGGCACCACAUAACGCCCGCUGGGGUUGUACUCGUUCAUCUCCAUCAGCGCGGCCUUCACUGCAUUGCACACAUCCUCGCCAUACUCGAUCAGCAGGAACUUCAGUUUUGGAUCAUCGUCAUCUAGAAAUUCCUGCAACAAAGUAGGAUGACUAUGAUUCCCAAACAAAUACUAGCCUCUACAAAUGCCAAAGAUAACACCAAACUUGGAUAGAAAAAUACAGUAAAUACCUUGUGUUCUCCAUUAACCUGAACAAUCAUAAAAGGAUGCCAGAAUGGGUUCUUCAAUUCCUCCUGCCAAGUUGAGACCAACUCUGCUGCUCUCAUCUGGUAAUCGUCGUCUCCAUAUUUUCUCUUACAUGCAUCUUGAAAUGGCUUCUCGUUAAGUUCUCCCAUUCUUUUGAUCCCAAUAGCUCUCUGCCCAUUUAACUCGUCUAAACCCUGAGGAUCACGAUAAUCAUUUCAUCAAUGAAAAACAGCUUAUGAACAUCUGCUGAUGGAGAACACGUUAGAUGCAUGGUAACUGUUAAAACAUUCACAAAAAUAAAACGAGCAGUACCACAAUCAACUCUUCAAACUUUCACGCUCUUUCCUCACAAGACAUCCGGUCAAAUCUUCCAGCCCGUCAUUAUUAGAUUCCAGCUCCUCAAUCCCAUUCAUCAGGCUACAAAUCGUGGCUUGCAGGUCCUCAUUCCUCUUCAUUAGUCCAUCAUUCUUGGCUUGAACUUCCUCACUCUGCUUUGUUAGGCCAACAUUCUUGGCUUGCAGCUCUCCAUUCCGCUUCCUCAUGCUGUCUAUAUUGGUGUGCAGCUCCUCAUUCUCCCUCGCCAGAUCGUCAUUCUUGGUUUGGAGGUCCUUAUUCUGCUUAGCCAGGCAAUCAUUCUUGGCCUGCAGCUCCUUAUUCUGCUUCACCAGGCCGACAUUCUUUGCUUGCAGCUCCUCAUUCCCCUUUGUUAGGCUUACAUUCUCGACCUGCAGCGCCCCAUUCCGCUUCCUCAUGAUGUCUAUUGGUUCGCAGCUCAUCAUUCUCCUUCACCAGAUCAUCAUUCUUGGCUUGCAGUUCCUUGUUCUGCUUCGCCAGGUCAUCAUUCUUGACAUGCAGCUCCUCAUUCUGCUUCCUCAUUCCAUCAUUCUUGCCUUGCACCUCCUCAUUCUGCUUCCUCAGGCACUGCAUCUCUUUCGCCUUCAGAACCAGCUUAACUCUCAGCUUCUCAUUCUCCUCAACCAGAUCAUCAUUCUUGGCUUGCAGGUCCUUGUUCUGCUUCGCCAGGCCAUCGUUCUUGGCCUGCAGCUCCUUAUUCUGCUUCACCAGGCCGGCAUUCUUUGAGUUCAGCUCCUCAUUCCACUUUGAUAGGCCGACAUUCUUGGUUUGCAACUCCCCAUUCUGCUUCCUCAUGCUGUCUUUAUUGGUUCGCAGCUCCUCAUUCUCCUUCACCAGAUCAUCAUUCUUGGCUUGCAGUUCCUUAUUUUGCUUCGCCAGGCCAUCAUUCUUGGCUUGCAGCUUCUCAUUCUGCUUCCUCAUUCCAUCAUUAUUGCCUUGCACCUCCUCAUUCUGCUUCUUCAGGCACUGCAUCUGUUCCGCCUUCUGAACCAGCUCAACUCUCAGCUUCUCAUUCGCCUCACAGUACCCAAGCUCUUUCACAUCCUUAUCUAUUUGAGCCUUCAGGUCUUCAAUCUCCAUUAAAAGCUUCUGAGAAUCCUCGUACGCCACCUCCAAAUGUUCUGCCCAUGGGCAACAAAUAUUAAAGCCAUGGCAUGAAGGGUGAAAGAUCGAAGUGGGUUUUCAGUAACACGUACCUCCAUUCCCAACCAGAUUGCUCGAAUCUUCAGACAUAACUGCAGCUUUCCUCUUUCUGCUUGCCCCAAGAUCCUGGCCUGCUGCAGCUACAAAAACAAAGAAAACAUUUGCUUUCAAGAAGUGCAAGCUAGAUAACCCACCACAGGUACAACUAGGCGUAUAAUAUAUCACAAAGUCUGUUCCUAAGCCUUACAUAUCACCGCUGAACACAACCAAACACAGUAAAUGGAACGAGAGAAUGAGAUGACCGAACAGAUACUGAUUCUUUUUCAAUAAAACUAAACAUAAAGAUGUGUCAACAAAACUGAUGAUCCAGGCAACCAAUUAGAGUUGACAUAUCGUGUGACAGCCUUCAGAAACUCUGCACGCUUGAUUUUGACUAAUUGUCGCAGUUGAUUUAACUUGGCAUUUGCUUUAAUUCAAAUGCGAUUGUUCCUUGUAGGCAGCAUCACGUCAAUAUACUCCUCUAUUCCUACAAGUUCCACCGCUCAGAUAGUCAGAUUAUUACUCCUGAAGGCCAAAAGGCUUGUGCCUCCAAUCGAAAGAGUAUGGUAUUCGAAAUGCAUAACAGAUCAGACUAGGUAUCCAAAUACACCGCUCGAUCGCAAAGAACAGUAGAGAAGUACUGUAGUAGAUAAACUAAACUGCAGGGAAGUAGUACUAGUAGCAGAUCAAACGCUCAAGGUGCCCUCCCGCAAACAAAAAGAAAAAAAAAUGUGAUUAGGUAAAAGAAAGGGGAACCACCAGCAGAAGCAGAACUUCGAUCAACACCACGGCGCAUGGGCGGCCCGCCGGACUCUCCAGUCUCGUCCCCUCCGCCGUCGGUGGCCAUGGCUACGGCUGCGGAGGAAGAGGGCACUGAUGAAGAGAUGGGGUUUUCUUUUUGCUUUCCUGCCUCGCUUGUUAACGGCACUACCGCACUAGUAGGUAUACAAACUACGCCACUCGACCGCAAAGAACAUCAUAGAAGUAGUAGACAAACUAAACUGCAGGGAAAUUGUAGUUGCAUAUCAAGGGCUUAAGGCACCCUUGCAAUUUGCAAACAAAAGUAGAAAAGAAAAGGGAAAUCGUUUCUUCUCUUACCACCACCAGGAGGAAUUCGAUCGACACCACGGCACACGGGCGACCCGCGGGACUCUCCCAUCUCGUCACCUCCCCGGCGGGGGCCAUGGCUACGGCGGCGGAGGAAGAGGGCACCGAUGAGAAGAGGGGGUUUUCUUCCUUUCUGCCACGCUUGCUAACGGCACUACGGCAGGGGAACGGCCCAAGGUGGGGUUCUGUGAGCUCUCUCGACCUUCCAAGAGACCCACAAGGCUGGUUUGGUUGGAGGCAAUUGAUGGGGGUAGAGAGAGUUUAGAUGCAAAAAAUUAAAAGUAUAUUGUUUGUUGUCUGUUUGGUGGGUUUAGGAAUUUUAAUUGAAAGAGUAAUGGGAGUUUAGAAAAGUAACUCUCACCGAUCACUUUAUAUGAAAGGGGUGGAAAUUUAUUUUAAGUGGAAGAUAGAUGAAUCUACACUGUUAAUCAUUACUUGAUAUAAUUUUCCACCUCUAAAGUCUAAAGCCCACACAAAACAAGAGAUAUGAAAAUCUCACUUAAAUUUCUACUCUUAAUUCCAUCCAAAAGACAAACAUGCAAUGGGACUUGUUGGGAUCUGGAUUUGAAUUGUAAACGUCACCCUCACAUGCCGCUUUAAAGAAUUGGAUCAUCACAAUGAUAAUCGAAAUAAUCUUCACCUUCGCUCAAAGGUAACACCCUCGUUUCCUUUUCUUACCUUCAUCACCUCGGCUGCGAGGGUGCGGGGAAAUUGUUUUGAUCGUGUCUGCAGGUACUCGCGCUGGAGGGCGUGAAGCGAAGGUAUUCGGCAAACUUAGAAGAGCGAGGCGAAGGUUGUGAGCACAUUCGAUGUCCAAAAUCCAAGGCCUAAGAUCAUUUGGGCGAAGGUGUGAAGGAUUAAGGUCACGUUGUGAACGUGACCCCGGUGAUAUGAAUAGCAUGACUCGGUUAGGGUGUACAAAUCGGAUUAGAACUCUUUCUUGUACAACAUAUUUUUGGAAUGUAAUGGUUAAGUGAGGGUAAAUUCGGUAUGUAAAAGUCGGUUGGCCUCCCUAUAAAAGGGGAGGCACCCCCACUGUACAAGGGUUCACAUUUUUUAGAAAUACAAGCCUUAAGAGUUUUGUUUUCCAUUUGUGUGUGCUUUCUUUAAGUUUUCGUUGAAGAGCUCACUCUAAACCAACAUUUUGGCGCCCAUUGUCGGUGUUUUACACUCGGCAACCUACCGAGGGUAUCCUUAGAUAGUAGAUUGGUUGGUGGGGGAUCGUCGGAUCUGGAACUUGAUGGUAAAAUCAAGGAGAUUUAUACAGGUACGGACCGCCAGAGUAGCGUAAUACCCUACAUCCUAUUUGGGGUGUUGUAUAUUGCGGCCCUACGCUUGGGUGUUGCUUGGUGUUGAGGAUUUGAUCCUCUGUUGUGGUUUUGCCGAUCUAGGUACCCCUACCCUCCUUUAUAUACUCCAAGGGGGGUGGGAUUACUAGUCGGUUACAAGGCAGAAGUCCUAUUAGAAUUAUAGGGUACGAGUCCUAAUAGAAUUACAGGGGAAUCCUAGGAGUCCGUCUUCUUCCUUCCUUGCAGAUACUAGGGAUUUAUCCCCGACAAGCCACCAAGCGCUUCAUAGUCGAAUGCAGUAGUCUUCAAAUACUUUGUAGAUCCUCACCAAGUAGUAUUAGUUCUCCUCGAGUAAUUUGUCUAGCUGAAUCUUCAAAGUUAUUUGAAGCUACCAUGAAAUUAUGGUGUGCUCAAGUCCUUGAUCGUCUUGAUUUCGUAAUCUUCAUCUUUGGAAUGUGAUAUGGAGGGCGGCGGAAGUUGCACUCCAUAUGGAGUAACCCCUGAGCCUUAGGUUGAAUCGAAGAAUCAGGCUAAGGGUCAAUAAAAUCUUGAAUCUUCUUCUUUUAUCUUGAAAAAAUCAACUACUGGGUGUAGCUUAUUAGCCCCCGAGCCUUGGAAUGAUUAAAUAAUCAAUCUGAGGGUUUUCAAUCUUCACAAAAUUAUCAUCUGAGUAGUUUCGCGGCAUUCAAACCCCAAGCUUUGGAGCUGGGUGAACCGUAGGAGCCACAUCGAGUAGUUAUUUGGCGCUUAGCCCCCGAGCUUGGAAGCUAGCUGAGCCAUUGGAGAUAUUACUGAGUACUAAUUGGUGCUUAGCCCCUCGAGUUUAGGAACUAGCUAAGCCAAUGGAGGUAUGCUGAGCGUCCUGGAGAGUCAUCGCCCAAGCUUGACCUAAAAAAUGAUGCAUAUAUUAUGUAGCGUAUUGUAAAUUUUGGAACUACUGAAAAUUAUUUAGUGAUGAAUAUAAUGUAAAUGUUGUGUACCAUGCUCUUGUUUCGGUCAUAUUUUUUUCGAGUAGUUAGCCUAUUACAUUUAGGCUCUCAGUCCCUGUUUAGCCAUUGCCACUGCGUGUGAGAUCUUUGUCUCGUGUACGCGUACUAGCACUGCUGCUACGGAGAUCUUUGUCGCCUAGCGUUUAGGCAUGACAGAAGAUCCGAGACUUUCACGGAUUAAGGUGUUUUCUACUCGAAGAGAUUAGCGACCGCUAAGAAGAGACAUUGAAAAUAAGUAGUUGGCAUUAUGAUAAUAAAAAGAGUGCACUUAAAGUAGUCGUUAAGACUUUUUCUGCCUUUUGGCGAGUAUAGCGCGUGUUGCCAUGCACAAUAUUUGUGCCUCCUUAGGGUGUAACCAAUGUGAGCCUCCAGCGCUCAGUCCAUCAAACUCGUGGCCAUAGCCUCCGAAAUUAAAUGUACCAAACCUAUGGUGGUGCCUCCAGAACUCAGUGCACCAAACCCGUGGCUAUAGCCUCUAUAAUUUUGUGUACCAAGCACAUGGCUGUCGGUCAACAUCCCCCAAGAGUAGUUGGCGAAGUGUAGCUCUAGAGGGUAAUUCUUGUCGAGAGAUGUACACAGAUAGGUAGCCAGCGUAUUGGCCAACCACGCUGAAAACAAGUCAGAGAAAAAAUAAUUAUUAAAAAAGUGAUUUAGCUUGAUUCAUGGGCGAUUGCCGAUGAAGCCAUGGCGGUCGUAGAUGAAGCCACGACAAUUUGUUGAUGAAGCCAACUAGUCGAAGUUGAUUCCAACUAGUUGUCGAUGGUGUGCGACCUGCCCUGACUAGUUUUUUAGUCGAGACGAGUAGUCGAAGUAGUCGUUGGCAAGUCGCGGGUCAAUUUUGUCGAAUGUAUCUAUGCGUGCUGAAACCGCAUACUGCUUUGCCAGAGAUUUGUUGGAGGUUACUAACCUUUAUUGGAGAAUCACCGUGUAGGGAACAGGUGCGGCUCUUUGUUGAUCUCGAUGCUUCCCUUGUGCUCCGUUUUCUUUUUUGCCUCUGCAUGUGAGUAGUAAUUUUCAACUAGUUGAAUUUUUAGCCGCACAGUAGGGACAACAGCCAUGCUCUGCUCCAUUUUGAUGUGUGUGCUGCUACUUGAUUCAACUUUCUGCAGACUUGAUUUUCUACCGAUAACGCAGUAGCUUGUGGAGAUGGAGUCAUUAACGAUUGGUGCAAGUACUCCUCUCCGCCUUGGACUUGAAGAAGUUGACUCCCCCUUGAAACAGAUGCCAGGUCCAACGGGGCCCGAAAAAAUUGAAUCUAUCUCGGAUUGAUAGCAGUAGUCUGCUCUCCGUUGUAAAUUGACUUAGACCAGUGACGCUGACUUCUUUUUUCCGGACUCUGGCGAAUUCCAAAGAUGCGAUGAUGCGCGUCGGCUCCUUCUCGGACUCGACGAGCAACAAAUAGAUUGAUUUUGUGGAUGAGGUCCUUCAAGCUCACCCGAUGAUCUCGACAAUCACCCCUACCUAGCGCGCCAGAUGUCGGUGUUUUAUACUCGGCAACCUACCGAGGGUAUCCCGAGGUAGUAGAUUGGUUGGUAAAGGAAUCGCCGGAUCAGGAACUUGAUGGUAAAAGUGGGGAAACAAGGCACAGAUUUAUACAGGUUUGGGCCGCCAGAGUAGGAUAAUACCCUACGUGCUGUUUAGGGUGUUGUAUAUUGCGCCCUGCGCUUGGGUGUUGUUUGGUGUUGAGGAUUUGGUCCUCUGUUAUGGUUCUGCCGAUCUAGGUACCCCUGCCCCUUUAUAUACUCCAUGGGGCGGGAUUACUAGUCGGUUAUAAGGUAGGAGCCCUAUUAGAAUUACAGGGUAUGAGUCCUAGUGGAAUUAUAGAGGAAUCAUAGUAGGAAUCCAUCUUAUUCCUUCCUUGCCGAUACUAGGAAUCUAUCCCCGACACCCACCAUUUGUGCUCGAGAAGAAUUCACGAUGGCUCCUGCUAGGAAGAAGAUAACGAUGGCAAAUUCAAGCAAAUCAAUCCCGAGUGAAGAAGCAAACCCUAGAGGCCCAAAUGCAAGCAUAAAUCAAGAAGCCAAAGGGAAAAUGGUGAGAAUCCCCCACAGCAAGAGACUACCACAGACCAGCAAGAAACAAGAGCUUCCAUUAAUUUGACUGCACAUGAAAUUGAAAUGGCUAGGCUCAGGCAAGAAGCGGUGGAAUUGAACCAAGCAAGGCAAAUAUUAAUAGAUCAAGCAACAUCGCAGGCCGCUAAAGAGGUGCAACUAGCUAGAGACGAAAUCAAGAGAUUAUGUGAGUGGAAUUGGAACGACUCAAAGAAAAGCAAGUUCAUCAGCAAAACACCUAUGCUCAUCCCAAUCAAGAGAGGCAAGCCCAUCAUCAAAACACCUUCGCUCAAUCCAAUCAAGAAAGGCAAUUCAAGCAGCUGAGCAACUUCGCAAACGAAACACAAGGUUUGGGGUAGGAAUCAUGGCUAAAUAGUUUAAGUCAGGUCCUUCAUCACAAGAAGUGAGAGUCUUGCAUACCAGAACAUGGGAUCAAAAAUCGUCUUUGUCACAAGAGCUCCAGCUAACCCCUUGAUCUCAAACUUACAGGCUAGGACCCUUGCCAAAGUACUCAGGACACUCUGAUACAAGGAAAUUCUUGAUGAGUUAUGAGGCUGCAAUACUAUCAGCCGGAGGUGAUGAAUCAGUUCUGGCAAAGUCUUUUAUCAUUGCAGCAGAAGAUGCAGCAACUAUGUGGUAUUCAUUGUUGAACCCAGGGGUAAUUCAUUCGUGGAAAGAUUUGAAGCUAGGGAUACUGGAAAAUUUCCAGGGUUUUUAGAGACUAAAAUUGACGGAAAAUGAUCUGUUUUGUUGCAAGCAGAAAGAAUAGGAGUCAUUGCAAGGCUAUUUCAAAAGAUUUGUGCACUUGAGAGCGCAAGCUCCAAAUGUGUUAGCUUCAGUAGCUAUCAGAGCGGCCAUCAUUGGCUUAAAGAUAGGGCAAUGUCGAUCCCAUCUCAUGCGAGAAACACCAAAGACAAUCCAAGUGUUGUAUGAAGAAUUUGAGAAAUAUUGUAGGUCUGAUAAUGACUACCUCAUGUUCAUGGAGGAGCAAUCUCAACAAAAGCAGGCUGCAAGACAAAACUAUAGCAACAACAAGGGUUGGGUCAGUCCUAGAAGUAUUCCCACCCAACCAACAAGAAUAGUAUUUGGUGUCAAGGGAAACAAUCAGUCAAAACAGAUGGAGCAGAAUUCUACUAACACAAACAACCAAUCUGCAAACAAUUCAAACACUUAGUCCCAGGGAGGAUUUAGAGGUGGAAGAGGUGGAGGAAGAGGAAGAGGCUGAGGUAGAGGUCAACCCCCUCACCAGAGAAGGAAAUUUCAUUGCAUUUUUCAUGGGGAAAAUUUUGAUCAUGGCUCCACAUAUUGCUCGAACAAGAAAAGGAUGGAUGCAAUACUCGAGAAAGAGAAAAAAACAAAAGGAGAGAAUGAACCUAGUUAAUCACACAUCUACACCUUGGCUUUCACAACCUUAUUGCCCAGUCUACUGAGGAGUAAAUUCAAGAACAGUUCAUGCUUCUACACUUGCAAGCUCAGCAUCCACACCAACUUUCAAUUAUCAGCCAACCCAUGCAUUCAAUUAUUAACCCACACAAGCUUGCAGUUAUCAGUCAACUCCCACUUUCAAUCAUCAACCAAUUUGGCAAUCUCAAACUUUACAAGCUCAGAACGUGGAAAAAAGAGCUCUGCAUGAACACCACAUAAUCCCGUAGCCACCACCAUAUUUCGGAGUAUCAGCACCUCCACAGCCAACGAAGGUGGAAGGGAAAUUAGAGAAAUCAGAUGCAUUGCCGACAAUCGGGAUGAUUAUGCCAAUAACCAGAGGAUCAGCCUUGGAAUUCGAAAGUAAGAAACAAAGAAACAAUUAAAAUUUAGAGAGGUAGGCAACAUAUUUGUGGAAGGCAAAGUGAAGAAAACCAAAUGAUCUCAUGUCCCAAUCACCUUGACGGAGGAUGACAUGCAGUUGAAAAGCUAUCAUCACAAUGAUGCCAUGGUAAUCAAUGCAAACAUUACAAAUUGGGAAUUGGAAAAAUCUUGGUGGAAAAUGGCUCUUCCACGGACAUCAUGUUCGCCAGCACCUUCGACAAGAUGGAGUUAAACAGGAAUCUGUUGCAACCCCCAGACACGCCGUUGUAUGGUGUCGGAGGAAAAGUAAUACAUGCAUUAGGAAAAAUUUCCUAACCAGUCUCGUUCCAAACAGUUCAAAAUUCAAGAACAGAGUAUAUAUCAUUUGAUGUGGUUGAAAUGUAUUAUCCAUAGUUCGGAAUUUUUGGUAGAGGAUUUUUUGAACAAAUUUGAAGCUGCAAUUCAUCAACCCUAUCUAUGUAUGAAGAUGCCUACGUUGCAUGGUGUCAUCACCAUUUUUGGAGAUCAAGGUGACGGAAAAAACAUAGAAAGGAGGAGAAUUCUGGGUCAAAGAAAUGUGAAUGCACUUGAGGCAGAGAGUCAAGUAAAGAAGGUUAUCAAAGAGCCCAAAGGAGAUAAAGAGAAAGUAAACAUCGAGGAAAAUUGUGACACAAAAAGAGUGUUAUUUGAUGACAUGGUCUUUGGCCAUGAAGUAAUCAUCAGGACUGAUCCUGAUCCUGAGGAGGAAGAGAAAUUGGUUGAAUUUCUUCGCAAGAACAAAUAUGUAUUUGCAUGGUCUGCAAAUGAAUUAGUGGGGGUCAACAGAAAUAUUACUGAACACAAGCUAAGCAUCAAAAAAGCAAUAAGACCAAAGAGGCAGAAGCUGAGAAAGAUGUCAGAUGACAAGGUAGCAGCAAUUAAAUCUGAGGUCCAGAGAUUGCUCGAUGCGAAGGUCAUCAGAGAGGUUGAGUAUCCCCAAUGACUAGCCAAUACAGUCCCUAUCAAGAAAAAGAAUGGAAAGUGGAGAAUGUGCAAAGAUUUCACCAAUCUGAAUAAGGCUUGCCCAAAAGAUAAUUUUCCUCUACCUAGAGUUGACAAAGUGAUUGAUGCGGCAGCAAGAGCAGCAUUAUGUCACUCCUCAAUUGUUUCUCAGGUUAUCACCAGGUGUGGAUGAGAAAGGAAGACGAAGAGAAAACCAAUUUCAUCACCCCAUUCGGAACAUAUUGUUUUGUCCAAAUGCCGGAGGGGCUCAAGAACGCUGGGCCAAUGUUCACGCGCAUGACUGAUGAAGUGUUGAAACCUCAUAUUGAUAGAAAUAUAAUGCAUACGUUGAUGACAUCAUCAUGAAAAGUGACCAAAGAGAGGAUCACAUCCAAGAUCUUGCAGAGACUUUCGCUAGGCUCCGCGAAGCAAACUUAAAAUUGAAUCCGGAAAAUUGUGUUUUUGGAUUCCAGAAAGGGAAAAUGUUGGGUUGUCUUGUGUCCACCAAGGGGGUAGAGGCAAACCUAGAUAAGAUAAAAGCAAUCAGAGUUAUGGAAGAACCCAAUUCCAGAAAGGAUCUCCAAAAGCUCAUCGGAAGAAUUGUGGCGCUAAACAGAUUUAUAUCAAAAUCAGCUGAAAGAAGUUUGCCCUUUUUCAAGGUGCUAAGGGGGGCUGGAAAGCUAGAAUGGGGUCCUGAGCAGAGCAAAGCAAUCGCGGAAUUGAAAUAUUACCUUGAGAAAAUAGCUAUACUAUCACCUUGGCAAUUGGGGGAACAUCUCUUCAUGUAUAUUGCCGCAUCCCAAUCAGCGGUAAGCGUCGUCCUAGUGUGAGAAGUUGAAAGCGAAGGUGCAAUGAAACAAAUGCUUGUAUAUUGUGUGUCAGAGGCACUGUCAGGUUCCAAGUUAUUGUAUUCUGAACUGGAAAAGAUUGCUUUUGCAGUGAUCAUGGCAUCCAGAAAGUUAAGGCAUUACUUUGAGGGUCACAAAGUUACCGUGCUAUCAGAUCAACCGUUCAAUGACUUGUUUCCAAACAGAGAAGCUUCAAGCAGAAUUGCAAAAUGGGCAACUGAAUUGUCCAAGCAUGUAAUAGACUUUGAGAAGAGGGGAGCCAUAAAAUCUCAAGUGCUGGCAGAUUUUGUCAUACAUUGGACCGCUCCAGACCAUAGUUGCGAAGGUGAAGAGGUCAUUCCAGUCCGAGAUAUCACCUACGAUGGUGCCUGGUGACGCAAAGCAGUUGGAAUCGCUGCAAUAAUAACAUCACCAUCAGGAGUGAAAAUCAGAUACACUGCAAGACUGCAAUACUCAGAUCCAUCACAUAAGUGCACAAACAAUACCACAGAAUAUGAGGCACUAUUGCUUGGUCUACGCAAAGUUAAAGCAUUGAGGGCAACAAAUUUCUUGGUAAAAUUGGAUGCAAAAGUAAUCAAAGAGCAAAUCGAAAAAGAAUGCGAGGUCAGAGAGCCGGAAUUGAUAAAAUACUUAGCGAAGGUUAGGAGAAUGGAAAGGCAUUUUAGGGGAGAUUGAAGAUUAUCUUGACCCCCUAAGUGGGUUUUGGUGAAUUAAUGACACAAGCUUAAGUGUCUAAUGAACUUUAAAGUGCAUGAGCAGGUUUAAAAUGAUUGGUGGACAUGUAGGACUUGUGGAUGACCCUCAAAAAGGAAAUGAAUGAAUAUGAGGCAUACCUUGAAGGCUAAAUUUAUUUUUUGUUUGAAUUUUGAGUAUAGGAAUGCCGCACUAUUAAGAAGGAUACAUAAUCUUUGGUCAUUACGUUGAAAAAGGUGCUUAAGAUGACCUAAUCAACCUAUGAGAGAUAUCUUUGCACUGGCACUUCACUUGGGGAUACUUAGAAUGGUGCUGAUAUGAGAGCUCCAGAAUAUUCAGGAGGUUCCGGAGUUUUCGGAGAAAGUUCCAAAAAACUCCAGAACUUAACGUCCCAACGGCUAGUUUUGGGGCGAAGGGGUAUAAUUACCCCCUCACCCUCUCGCACAGUUAGGCUCUUGACCUAACUUCGUGCUGAGCUUCAGAAAAGCAUUCAAGUCCUCCUCUUUACUCUCCUUUAGCAUUCUUAGUGAGAUUUGGUGGAGAUUUAAGGAGGGAUUCAAGGGAAGGGCAAGAGAGUGUGCUAGUGAGCUGAUUUCCCAUCUCUUGAGCACCUUGUUCUUCAUCAAGCCGGUGAUUUUGUGUUGGUUACUCUUGGAGCUUCAAGCUCCUAGCCGGCUAGGCAUUGCCCAUGGAGCAUCCAAGGUUGUGGCUACCUACAUGAAGUUUGUAUUACCCCGAUGAUUGAGUAAGUGACUCUAUCUCAAUCUUUAUGGUCGCUAGAGUGAGGAAAGUGGCUUAGGUGAGAAAAGCUCACCCUUUGUGGGUUCCUCAAUGGAGACGUAGGCUUCAAGUGUGGAGCUGAACUUCGGUAGACAAAUCCUUGUGUCUCUUGUGCUUGUUGUUCUUCAUUCCGUUCAUAUUCAAGCAUGGAACAUAUUUCUAGGGUUUGUGCUCAAUCUACUUUUCUAGAAGGUUGCUUGCAGUUCUAUCUUGUCCCAGAGACUUAGAAUACCCUAUCGCUUAACCUAUAUUUGGCGAUUUACUUUUGGACAAGCAUUUCUUAGGGUUGUAGUUCACUCACAUUAUUCUCCGGAGAAUCCGCAGAUUUCUCCGAAAAUUCCGUAAGUUGCGGAAUUUCUGGAACAAUCUUUGAAAACUCCGAAUGUUGCUUAUAAACUUGUUCAAAGUUGUGUAAAAUUUUCAAGUUCGACUAUUCAACCCCCCCCCACCCCCACUCUAGUCGACAUCCUAGAUCCUUUCAGUUUCACUGUUGAGCAUUACCAAGAAAAGGGAAUGGUGAGGUUGAUGAUUUAGCAAAGAAAGCCUCCAAAAAUGAGCAAUUACCACCAUAUGUAUUCUUUGAAGUCAUUACAACUCCAUCGAUAAAACGAGACAAGCAACCAAUGAGUUUAGUAAAUGCAAUUAGCAGCAUGGAUUGGAGAUCCCCAAUCAUCGCUUACCUUCGCAGCAAGUAUGAACCAGUAGAGGAGCACAAACUCAAGCACAUGAAGCAAAGAGCGAGAGGCUACAUCAUGAAAGGGGAAUAUUUGUACAAGUUGGGAGUGAGUGCAUCGUUGCUAAAGUGCAUCUCACAAGAAGAGGGAAUCGAAUUGCUGAAAUAAAUCCACAGUGGAUACUGCGGAUGUCAUAUUGGGGUUAGAGCAUUAGUUGGAAAAGCUUUCAAGCAGGGAUUCUAUUAGCUAAUGGCAAUCAGAGAUGUUGAGCAAAUUGUCAGAAUGUGCAAGGCGUGCCAAUUUGCAACCAAACAUCAACGAGUACCGGGAUUACCUUUGCAGUUAAUCACUCCCACCUGGCCGUUACAGAGAUGGAGAAUGGAUAUAGUGGGUCCAUUGCCAACAGCUCAAGGAAAUUACAAAUAUGCAGCCGUAGCAGUCGAAUAUUUUACCAAAUGGAUUGAGGCAAGGCCUUUGACAACAAUCACCUUCGAAACCAUGAGAAAAUUUUUCUGGCAGCAAAUCAUAUGCAGGUUCGGAGUCCCAAGGGAAUUAACCAUCGAUAAUGGCAAGCAGUUUGAUUGCUAUGAGUUCAGGCAGUAUUGUGGGAUGAUUGGAACCAAGCUAAACUUCGCAUCAGUAUACCACCCAAGAUCCAACGGGGCUGUAGAAAGAGCAAACAGUGAGAUUUUCACCGCAAUCAAGAAAUGCCUUUUCGAUUAGAAAAAGGGAAAGUAGGCAAAAGAGUUGCCGAGGGUAGUUUGGUCUCACAACACAACCGAGUUCAAAAUAAUUAAGUUCACUCCAUUCAUAUUGCUCUACGAGGCUGAGGCAAUGUGCCUGGAGGCAAUAGCACACCAGAGUGCGAGGGUAAUAGCUGAGCAAAAUGAGGAAAAUGAGGCAAUAGACAAAUAUAUCAUUGAGAUUGAUAGGCUUGAGGCAGCCGAGAACUUAGAAAAAUAUCAAGAACAAACAAGAAAGUGGAGAGAUAAAAAGGUUGUCAGAAAAGACAUCAAAGUGGGAGAUUUCAUUCUUAAAAGAAAAAAGAGUGCAGAAACCGUAGGCAAAUUGCAAGUAGCUUGAGAAGGACCGUAUCUGGUUGUGAGCAGCGUCAGGCCAGGAGCUUAUCAUUUGGCCGAUGAAGAGGGGGAGGAGCUGCCACAUUCGUGGAAUGUGGACAACCUUUGCAAGUUCUAUCCUUGAGCAAAAAAUAGGUGCGGGGUCAGUUGCAUGGAGUUAUAAGCACAAUCAGGUCCUAAAAAUAGCAUAGUUUUACUUUAUUGCAAUUUAUUUUACCUCAAAAUGUAAGCGCAGGGUCGGUAGCAUGGAGUUAUAAACGCAAUCGGAUCCCUGGGCAGCGCAAUUUUACAUUCUUGCGAAUUUACAUUUCUACAAAAUGGGUCAUACUCUUUUCCUCACUAGGGGGGCUCCACAUCGGAGGUGAGGUUUUUAAUGAGGCGAUCCUGAUGUAAUCAUUUACAUUAUGAAGAAAAGAAAUUCCCCCUGAAACCGUGCUCGAGAAUGCGCAUGUGAUGCGAUAACUUUACUUUUAUGUCUAAGAACACAUUCGCAUGGGGUGUCAGAAAGAACACACCUGUGACGCGAUAACUUUACUUUUAUCUCUAAGAACACCUUCGCAUGGGGUGUCAAAAAGAACGCGCUUGUGACGCGAUAACUUCACUUUUAUGUCUGAGAACACCUUUGCAUGUGUGUCAGAAAGAACGCGCAUGUGACACGAUAACUUUACUUUUAUGUCUGAAAACACCUACGCAUAAGGUGUUAAAAGAAUGUGCCUGUGACGCACCUUAUCAUCUUUCUAUAAGAGAAAGAGAUAAGAAAACACCUUCGCACAAGGUGUGAAAAGAAUCCGCCUGUGAUGCACCCAAUCUUCUUUCUAUAAGAGAAAGAGAGAAAGAGAUAAGAAAACACGUUCGCACAAGGGGAUAAAAAAAUGCGCCUGUGACGCACCUUAUCGUCUUUCUAUAAGAUAAAGAGAUAAGAAAACACCUUUGCACAAGGUGUUAAAAGAAUGCACCUGUGACGCACCCAAUUUUCUUUCUAUAAGAGAAAGAGAUAAGAAAACACCUUCGCACAAGGUGAUAAAAUAAUGCGCUUGUGACACACCUUAUCGUCUUUCUAUAAGAGAAAGAGAUAAGAAAACACCGUCGCACAAGAUGUUAGAAGAAUGCACUUGUGACGUGUCUUAUCAUCUUUCUAUAAGAGAAAAAUUUAAGGAAGAGAUUCGGCAUGUGAAGGUGUCAGAGAAAGAUAUCAUGAUCAUCGAAAACAAACUAGGAAGUAAAAAAUAAGAAAUUAACGUCGAAAGCAACCUAAAGGUUGCCAAUUCGACACACACAAGAGUUGGACCUGCGAAGGUUUUCAGCUAAAUGAAUCCAUCUCAGGCCAUGUUCAAUUAUAAAAGCUUACAAAGAAACAGUUUCCUCUGCAUCUCUAUCACUUUCUGAAAGGGGGAAGACCUUUUUUGUAAAAAAAAUUCCGAAAGUGAUCGAGACUUGAGGAAAAUCAAAAGUUUACAAUUCAAAAGGGAAGUUCGACAACACAGCCUACACGAACAGAGGCUAUGCUAGGAUCAAAACCAUUAUAUAUAAAGCAAUAUUCUUCAUCCUUGGGGCACUCAUUUUCGAUCUUGACCUCCGCAGCAUACGAUUCAAAAUCUGAUGCUUGGGAUCGACUAACCCGUCCACCACCAGUAGAAUCAAGCAAGUGACAUAGUGCAUAGCUGCGCAAUGGAUAAUAGGAACAACAAAAAUGCUAAAAAUCUUCAAAGGACUUAUCCGGGAUACUUAGCAUGAUAAACCGUCCAAGAAUGGCUACUGACGCACAAGCCUUCUCGAUAGAAUGUUCUGGGAACAACAUCACGCACAGUUUCAUCACAUGGAACCUGCGCCACAAUUGAUAUUUACAACAAAAUGAGUAAUAGUUUUUCCACUUAACAAACAUUAUUUACACCUUCGGCUCCUAUUCAAUACUUGGCAGAUCUUGAGGUUGUGCAUCAUGCGGCAAUGAUUCUUGGGGCUGGGAAACCCGAGGAUCUUCAGGCACGGAUGAUGUAGAGGGUUUUAUAGUUUCAAGAGCAGUAGACGCCAAGGGCGCCAUCUCUGCAGACUGACAGUUGGGCUUUGGGGCCGGCCAUUGACAUGGAGGAGCAUAUGAGCCUUGAGUGGCAGAAUCCCAAUGAAGAGCUUGAAGCUUGCAAAUCUCCAUUGUCUGUUUUUCCUGGCCAAGAUAGAACUAUGAGGUAGUAACCUCAUAGCAUCAAAAAGUAUUUCAAAAGCAUUCUCAAGAUUGCAAAAAAUAAAAGACUAAAGGAGAAAACUACCUAUGCGAGACGGUCGGCAGCCUUUCUACGGACACCUUCGCGGCCGCUUUUAAUCUAGAACUCCCUCAGAAAUAACUUUGACACGGCAUCGACAUUACGACUAGGGGCUAGAAUUUCAGAGUGAUCUGGAAACUUGAAACCGCAUGAUCCAAAUUUUUUGAAGUGAUUGCAUCCUUCACCUUCAAGAAUUUGAAGCAAGGACUCAGCAGUUGUACCCACGCCAUAAUCACCAACCUUGGAUAAGAUCUCAGGCAAGAAUUUUAACUCAUCCGACAGCCAUUGGAAGAGUGUUCCUGUGUUCCUAGACCCAGGAAAAGGCUGUGGCUCAGUGCCAAACAGGUUAAGAGCACCGCGAUAUUGGUGAUUUAUGUGAAGGCCCCAUUGCUAAUUUUUUUGUUCAUUUUCUUCAAGAAUUUUCUCUUGAGACGCAUUAACUUGCCUUAAUUUAGAAAUUAUCUUAUCCUUAGUCACCAAAUCCCUAGCUUGCGUGAUCGCAGUCAUCUUGAUAUUUACAAGCUCCUUGCGAACCCUGUGAAAGCACUCUGCAUCUUUCUCAAUCGUCACGCGAAGGUUAUCGAGAGCUAUCUCUUGUUGCUCAUUACGCAAGGUCAAAGACUUAACCUCAGCAUAGAGGUCUUUAUUGUUCGCUUCCAUUUGAGCAAUUUGAUCCUUUAGCCUCUGUACCUCGGCAGCGAGAUCUGCUUGCUCAAUGCGUAGGUCUUCCAUCUCGUUGAAAACAUUUUCACAACCAAGUUUUCCAGCAAUCAUCCCUUUCAUUGUGAACGUCGUCAUCAAUGAGCAAAGCUCAAGUCCAUUGAGACCAUCGAUUCAUGACUCAAAGGCUGCCAAAAAGAAUACAUUAGGAUUUUCUCUACAAGCGAAACAAAAAAAUAAAUAAUAAAAACGUCAUUAGCAAAGGUGUUAACCUUUCGAAUCGAAAAAUUGAUAUUGCGGAAUUUCAGUGUUAGCCUCACCAAAGUUAACAUCUGCGCCUUUGAAGGAAUCCCCUUUUUCAACAUUUGUUUCAAAUGACGUCAUGUCUCUAACCAAUCUCAGUUCAUCUGAGUCAAGUUGACUCAAGGAAAGCAACGCACGAGCAGCAGUUUCACCAUCUGCGCAAGCCAGGCAAUUUAAUAGCAGGACAAAUUGAAUACAAAACAAAAACACAAAGUAACAUUGGAGACAAGUCAAAGGUAACCUUUAGGGGGAGAGCAAAUCCCUUUACCCUUUACAUAUGAGGGAAUCUCAAGAACCUUAGGAAAGGAGAAAUCCUCAUCAGUCUUGGACGUAAGAGAAUUCCUUUCGUCAGCAAUCUCAGGGGGCAAGGUCUCAUUGUCUUUGCUUUCUUGAGAAUUUAGCACAGGAGACAAAUUAAGAGGCAAUUUAUUAGAUGAGCCAUCAACAUGCUUGGCCCCGCAUGACUCGGGCGUCAAUACUUUGCUAAAAACAGCUGUGUCUUUGUCACAGUCAAUUGGAUCCUCAUCUAAAUAAAUCACGCUUUCAUCUUGAUCCAAAAUGUCAAUCAUCCUAGCAAAGGCAGUAGCGGAGGUGCUAGGCAUUUCGGCCUCAAAAUUGAAAUGCAUGUCCUCCAUACGCUGAUAGUAUUCAGCAACCGAGCCUCAAUGUUGAUCAAUUUCACAUUCAAGAGCAUCAGUUCCACCAAACUAUCAUGAGGAGCAUCCGCAGGCUCGGGUGUGGGGGUCGCCUUAGCUCCCGGUGCAACUCCGCGUUCAAUCUCAUGAUGCUUAGAAGCAACACUUUGAGUUUCAAGCACUUGGAGUGAAGGCGAGCCCUCAACACUUGGCGGUGCGCUGGGAAUUAUCUUACGUUGUUUAAUAGCGGCACCAGCAGUUUCAAUUUCUCUUUUACGUUUCUACAGUGCCGUUACAACUUUCAUGGAUUCAGAAACAUCUAAUGACCCAGCAACGACCAGUUUUUUCUUCUUGGAAAGCCUUUUCUUCUUGACCUUGGGAAUCUGAGAGCCAACGUUUCCCGGCAAAACUAUUUUCUUCGCAGGCCUACCAGGACGCAGGUGCGGGCUGUAAGAAAUUUUCAUCUCGUCAAACACCUGAUUGAUUCAUCCACCGUGUUUCAAAGCUAUCAUCGCAGUCUCGUGUUCCUUCAAUGAAUAGUUACCAAUCAGAAGAACAGCCUGCCUCUCAAUUUCAGCCAUGAACUCUGCAUCUGAUACCCCAUCUGGCUUUUUAACACCAAAUUUUGGAAAUUUAAUCUCUAGGUCUGUGUCGGGGAUCCUUUUGUUAACAAAACUAGUUGGUUUCCAACCAUAGCGCGAGGGCCAGAUGCCAGCAGCCAAAAACUCUUCAAUGGCAUCUCGACUAGAAACAACUUGACUGACUUGGAAAUAAGCAGAUGUCCCUGGUGAAGAGCGGCUUCGACGGCUAAGAGUGGGCGCGAAUUCCAGUUCCAUAUCCUCAAUUCUUGCAGGCUAAAGGGUACUCCAAAAUUUCCUUACCCUCAAAAUUUUUUCCAGCAACAACAGGAAUGGUUGCAUAGAACCAAUACGAAUCCCACUUCUUUGACCACUUAUUUUUCUGGCCUGGGGCGAGGGCAACUGGCAUUAUGUUUCGACCCAACCACCACGUUCGGAAAGUGCAGCAUCCAUACUGCACCUCGAAUUCUUCUUCACCAAUAAUAAUAUGCUUCUUUUGGAGAUGCAAUUCAAAAUGGCGGGAGAAAGACUCUGCAUCUAUUUCACCUCUAAAAGAACGACUACACCAAAAAUAGUUUAGGAGCCGGGGGAUAGAAUUUGGGGUUAGCUGAUGAAUUCGGACCUUGUAUGCAACAAGAACAUCUACGAAAGUUUUUUCCAAUGGAAAUCUUAGCCCAGCCACGAAGAAAUCUCAAAAGACCACACACUCAUUAGGCUGUGGAACAGGAAUAUCCUCGUCCCUAGGGGGCUGGCAAUCUCCAGUGUUGAAAUAUCCCUUCUUGACAUAGAAGUCAAUGUCAUUCUGACUAACCAAAGAACAGCCAAAAAAGCAACUGGUGGGAGUUUCCGCAACCAGAUGUUUCACAUUAGCAUCCACAUCUUCAAGAUCAUCACCUCCUUCUUCUCCUUCUCCUUCUCCUUCUUCUCCUUCUUCUUCUUCUUCUUCUUCUUCUUCUUCUUCUUCUUCUUCUUCUUCUUCUUCUUCUCCUACACCCUCAGCAGUAUCACCAUCAUCAAAAUUGCUAGAUCUAUCCUCAUUAGAUCCCCCCUUAGAUGAACUGUUAGCUUCGCGGGCAUGUUGAGUGCCGCCCAGGUCUUCAUCUCCCACGUGAGGUGGUUCAAUAUCAGGAUGCACCGGAUUGUUGACCUGGAUAUCAUGAGCAAUCAGAUUCACCGGAUCGGCAGCAGGGUUUCCUUGAGCGUUGGGAUCCAUUAGAUUGGCAGCAGCCAGCUCCUCCUCAGUCAUCAAUCUAGCAGUACUUUUAACGCAUGCCACUUUAUCUAUCAAAAAAACAAAUUUGUAUAACAUUCAAUUCAUACCAAGUGCAGUGCUAACUUAAAGAAAGAAAAUCACCUUUGCUAGAUCAACAAAGGAUGAAUCGAAAGGGAUGCACGAAUCUCAAAGCACGAAAUCAGAAAGCAGCGACGGCACUUGUCAAAGCGAGGGUGCAGAAAAGUUACCACACCCCCCAAUGGUAACCGUGCUCAACAGUAAAAAAGCAAGGGCAAAAUAGUCAUUUAACUACCUUCGCAGAGAGAUCCAAUCCAGCGAGCAGGGAGACGUUUUUCAAUCCUUGAUCGAGAUCAAAUGAUAUUUCGAGGGUUCAGCCCGCUGGAGUGGACCUCGCCCCCGAGGGGCUACUAUUGGGGAUAUGGAUUUGGAUUGUUAACAUCACCCUCGCACGCCGCUUUAGAGAAUUGGAUCAUCACAAUGAUAAUCAAAAUGAUGUUCACCUUCGCUCAAAGCUAACACCCUCGUUUCCUUUUAUUACCUUCAUCACCUCGCCUGCGAGGGUGCGGCAAAAUUAUUUUGAUCGUGUAUGCAGGUUUUCGCACUGGAGGGCACGAAGCGAAGGUAUUCGGCAAACUUGGCAGAGCGAGGCGAAGGUUGUGAGCACAUUCGAUGUCCGAAAUCCAAGGCCCAUUCAAGAUCAUUUGGGCGAAGGUGUGAAGGAUUAGGGUCACGUUGUGAACGUGACCCCGGUGGCAUGAAUAGCGUGACUCGGUUAGGGUGUACAAAUCGGAUUAGGACUCUUUCUUUACCAAAAUGUACAGCAUAUUCUUAGAAUGUAGUGGUUGAGUGAGGGUAAAUUCGGUAUGUAAAAGUCGUUGGCCUCCCUAUAAAAAAGGAGGCACCACCACAGGUUCAUAUUUUUAAGAAAUACAAGCCUUAAGAGUUUUGUUUUCCAUUUGUGUGUGCUUUCUUUAAGUGUUCGAACCAGCUAAAAUUCAUAUUCCUAAGUAAAUUCCCUCCAUCAACUCCAACCACUAAUUCUCAUGCUUCUUUCUGUUAGUUGCCAAACACACCACACGGUCUACUAUAAGAAACUUUGACUAGAAAUUUCUAAUAAAAAUAUUAUAUGUUAGAAUAUAUCUACUACUAACAUCAAUCUCACGUUGUCAAUAUAUUUAAUUUUUAUAUAUUGAUUACCAAAGCUAAAAAUGUUUAACAAACAAAAAAUGGGAAUAAUUUUGGAAUUCCAAAUAUCUUUGUGAUAGGUGGGAAUAUCGUAUACUACCUCCGAUUGGAUAUUUUAUUUAAGUCUUAGACAAGUCGAUUCAGCCACCCACCUUUCGCCCAUAAAUUGAAUUAUCACCCACUUUUCACCCAUGAAUUGAAUUAUCUCAUUUGUUGUAGGGUUGUCCUUCCAUACUUUCUUUUUAUUGUUGACAAAGCUAGUCGGUUGCCAGUAAGUCGGCCCGUGUUCAAUCACGGCCAGGGUGGGUGGGUGCUCACCUCUUAGAAACAAUUCAGGAAAAGCUUUGCGACUUAUUAAAUAAAGCUAAAAUACUCCCGUCAUCUCUCCCAAAUGAGUUUAGAGAGAGGGGUGUCAGCGGUAGGGCUGCCGGCGGUGGUGGUGGUGGCAAUGAGACUCCUCUACAAUACUUCUGCUGGAAUCGCUAACGUGUGGAGAGAGGUACUGCAGGGGAUCUGCUUCCAGUGGUGGGCAGUAGGAUAAUAACAUAAGCAUUAAGUGUGCACAUUUUACACGAAAAUAUUAGAGGCACCAUAGACAUCUUGUCUACCCCCAUAAUCAUUGUGCUAAACUCUAAAACUACGACUGAAUAUAUUUGUUGUUGUGGGAAUAUUUUAUAGGAUAACCAACUCGAAAUGGAUUAUUCACUCACACGAGAAAGGAGACACUGCCUACAAUGAAAUGUUUGGAUGCAACAUCGAGUUCCUAGUUACAGUUCACAAUAUUACAUCCCCUCAUUCAUCUUCCUCGGAAGGUAUGUCCCUCGAGCCAUUUCAUCUCCUCCAUCUUCAGAGCCAGAAGAGUGUUUAGAUGGUGAUUUUGCAGGGAAACGCAGGUAUCCAGUUCAGUCAACCAAAUGCUCCACUCACAUCAGUAUGCUUCAGAGUAGAGUUUGCUCCUGCAAAACCAUCACCACAUCAAAUGGGACACCUCAAACAACGCAAGAGCGCAGUAAUUCAGCCAGUCAGUGGGAAAUGUUAUUGCAUUGAUUUUUUCUGAACAAAAUAAUACAGGAAUCAUGAAACCAACACCAAGUAGCUGAAAAAGGUACAGAUGCUGAAAAUAGGUAGCAUGACUAACCGAUCACGCAUGCCAGGACUUUGCACUACCACAUAUGUACACCUGCAAAAGAUACAGACACCUAGCUGAUAGGAGCACGAAAGCCACGGGUUAGUAUCAUUCAGUUAACCAAUCACAUCAGUGUUUAGGACGGAAGCGGCAACAGCACCACAUGAGCAUAUCACAUACGCUUGUAAUGUCGUUACGCAAUGGAACGCAGAGCAGUGGCGGAGCAUGCAGAGAAACUGAGAGGGGGCCAAUAACAGAGGAGAUUAGUAUACAUAGAGUGUUUAAGUAGUUAAAUUAGCUGUUCCUUUAAGAAAUUUAGGAGGUUAGGGGGGGCAUGGCCCACCUUGGCCACAAUGAAGCUCUGCCAGUGACGCAGAGGAUGCAUCUCCUAUGUCAAGAGGGAAUGAGCAGCGCAGGGCUCCCACAACGGCACCAACAGGGAUUAUUGGCUUGGUGGUCACACCGAUCAGGGUGCCUCUUCAGCCCCUCCUGCGCUUGGUUAUCAUCUCCAUUUGUCCGUACAGGUAGAGAACCUCCUUCAUCGUCGCCUUCCGGCCUUUCCUGAAGUUCCAGAACACAGGCACCACGUGCCGCUCACUGGGGUUGUACUCGUUUAUCUCCAUCAGCGCAGUCUUCACCGCAUUGCACACAUCAUCGCCGUACUCAAACCGCAGGAGCUUCAGUUUUGCAUCAUCUUCGUCUAAAACUUCCUGCAACAAACGAGGAUUGGUUAUGAUUUCUGGACAAAUACUAACCUCUAUAAACGACAAAGAUAUAUAAUACCUUAGCUGGAUAGAAAAAAACAGCAAAUACCUUAUGCUCUCCAUUAACCUGAACAGCCACAAAAGGAUGCCAGGAUGGCUUCUUCAGUUCACCCUGCCAACUUUCAACCAGCUUUGCAGCUUUGGUCUGGUAAUCGACGUUUCCAUAUUUUCUCUUACAUGCAUUUUGAAAUGGCUUCUCGUCAAGUUCUCCCAUUCUUUUGGUCCCAAUAGCUGGCCGGCCAUUUAACUCGUCCUCCAAACCCUGAGCAUCACGAUGCUCACAACAAUCAUUUCAUCAAUGGAAAACAUCUUAUGAACAUCAACUGAUGGAGAACACGUUAGGUGCAUGGUAAUUGCUAAACAUACAACACAUAUAAAAUAAAAUAAUGGAGCAGUACCAUAGUAAGCUCUUUUCGGGCUUGCAGUAGCUCAUCGUUACUUUGACGCUCUUUGCUCACAAGAGUUCCGUUCAAAUCUUCCAGGUCGUCAUUCUUGUCUUCCAGCUCCCCAAUCCACUUCGUUAGCCUGUCAUUCUUUGCUUGCAGCUUCUCAUUACUCUCCGUCAGGCCCUCAUUCUUGACUUGCAGACCCUCAUUCCGCUUUGUUAGGCCAGCAUUCUCGGCAUGCAGUUCCCCAUUCCGCUUCCUCAUCCUAUCAUUAUUGGCUUGCACCUCCUCAUUCUGCUUCACCAAGUCGACAUCCUUGGCCUUCAGCUCCUCAUUCUGCUUUGUCAGGCUGCCAUUCUUUGCUAGCAGCUCCUCAUUCCACUUCGUUAGGCCGCCAUUCUUGAUUUGCAGCUCCAAAUUCUGCUUGCUAAUACCAUCUAUAUUGGAUCUCAGCUCCUCAUUCUCCUUCACCAGGACAUCAUUCUUGGCUUGCAGGUCCUUAUUCUGCUUCAUCAUGCCAUCAUUCUUGGCCUGCAGAUCCUCAUCCUGCUUUCUCAUUCCCUCAUUCUGCUUUCUCAAGCACUGCAUCUCUUUCGCCUUCUGAGCCAGCUCAACUCUCAGCUUCUGAUUCGCCUCACAGUAUCCAAGCUCUUUCACAUCCACAUCUAGUUGAGCCCUCAGGUCUUCGACCUCCAUUAAAAUCCUCUGAGAAUCCUCGCACGCUACCUUUGAAUGCUCUGCCCAUGGGUGAAAAAAAUUAAAACCAUGGUAUGAAGAAAAGAGUGAAAGAUUGAAGCAUGUUUUCAGUAACACAUACCUCCAUUGCCAACCAGACUCGUCAAAUCUUUGGACAUAACUGCUGCAUUCCUCUUCCUGCUUCCAGAUUCUGCCCCAAGAUUCUGACCUGCUGCCACCGAAAAACAAAGAACGCUUCAGCAAGUGUAAGCAAGAUAGCCUGCGACAGGUAAAGCAAUGCGAGUAUACAUCACAAAAUGUUCCUGCCAACCUGUGGAUAUUACACAUCACAGUUGAACACACAAAAAUAGUUAAAGGAACGAGGAAACGAGAUAACUGAACACAAUGAUUUUUUUCCCAAAAAUCUAAGCAAUAAGAUGUGUCGACAAAACUGAUGAUCCAAGUAAUUUAGAGUUGACAUAUGGUGGCAGCCUUCAGAAACUUUGCACUCUUGAUUGACUAAAUGUCAUAGUUGAUUUCACUUUACAUUUGCCUUAAUUCAAGUGCAGUUAUUCGUAAGAAACUGUUUCGCGUCAAUAUACCUAUGCCUACAAGUUCCCACGACUCAGAUAGUCAGAUUGAUGCGCUUGGGGACCAAAAGGCUUGUGCCUCCAAUCGAAAGAGUAUGCGACCCUCAUCCAAAGGUCGCAACUUUGUGGGGAAAUGAAACGAACGAUUAGUAACCUGGUAUCGAAAUGCAUCAUAGAUCAGACUUGGUAUCGAGAGGUAGUAGAUAAACUAAACUGCAGGGGAGUAGUACUAGCAGAUCCCUCAAGGCAGGCUCCCUCGUAAACCAAAAAGAAAAACAAAAAAAAGAAAAAAGAACAAGAAGAAAAUGCGAUGAGGUAAAAGAAAAGGCAAACCGUGGCUUCUCUUACCACCACCAGCAGCACUUCGAUCAACGCCACGGUUCAUGGGUGGCCCGCCGGAUUCUCCAGUCUCGUCCCCUCCGCCGGCGGGGGCCAUGGCUACGGCGGCGGAGGAAGAGUGCUACGGCGGCGGAGGAAGAGGGCACUGAUGAAGAGUGAGGGGGCUUUUAUUGUCUUUCUUGCCUCCUGUCCUCCCGCAACCACAAUAACACUCUUAAAAGGGAAAAAUAUAUAUAUUAUUAUUAUUAUUUCAGUUGCCUACUAUAGUUAUUGUGUCAUCAAUCUAAAACAACUUACUGAAUAUAUUUGUGAUCGUGGCCUCGUGGGAACAUUUUCUAGGAUAACCAAUUUAAAAUGGAUUAUUUACUCAUAUGAGUGCACUAAUUCAGCCAGUCAGUGGGAAAUGCUGUUUGCAUAGAUUUUUCUGAACAAAUGAAUGUAAGUAUCAUCAAACCAACACCAAGUACCUAAAUUACGGUACAAAUGCUGAAAAUAUGCAGCAUGAUUAACCGAUUACGCAUGAAAGGUCAGAUGAUAGCACACAAGAUAAAGGCCAAGCAGGCUAUCACUUGCACUACUGCAUAUGUACACCUGCACAAUAUACAGACACCUAAGUAGGGCACGAAAGCCACGGGUUGGUAUUAUUCAGUUCACCGAUCACAUCAGUUUUUAGGGCCUGAAGCGGCAACAGCACAACCACAUGCUUCCACACAUCACAUACGCUUGUAAUGUCGUUACGCAAUGGAACAUUAACACAGAGGAUACAUCUCCUAUGUCAGGAGGGGAUCGAGCAGCACAGGGCCCCCACAAUGGCACCAAUGGCGCGCAUGCACGACUACUUAUUGGCUUUGCAGUCAGGCGGCCUAGGGCACCUCAUCAGCCCCUCCUGCGCUUGGUUGUCGUCUCCAUCUGCCCGAAAAGGUACUUGAGCACCUCCUUCGUCGUCGCCUUCCGGCCUUUCCUGAAGUUCCACAGCUCGGGCACAACAUACCGACCACUGGGGUUGUAUUCAUUUAUCUCCAUCAGCGCGGUCUUCACCGCAUUGCACACGUCAUCACCAUACUCAAUCCACAGGAACUUCAGUUUUGCAUCAUCAUCAUCUAGAACUUCCUGCAAUGAACAAGGACGAGGACAACUAUUAGUUCCAAUACUAGCCUCUAUAAAGAUAACACAACAGUCAGAUAGAACACGGUAAAUACCUUAUCUUCUCCAUUAACCUGAACAACCUUAAAAGGAUGCCAGGAUGGCUUCUUCAGUUCCUCCUGCCAAUUUGUGAUCAACUCUGCUGCUUUGACCUGGUAAUCAUCGUUUCCAAAUUUCCUCCUACAUGCAUUUUGAAAUGGUUUUUCAUCAAGUUCUCCCAUUCUUUUUAUCCCAAUAGCUGCCCGCCCAUUUAGCUCAUCCUCCAAGCCCUGAUCAUUGUGAUAACCAUUUGAUCAGUGAGAAAAAACCUUAUGAGCAUCAACUGAUAGAGAACACAUCAGGUGCAUUUUAAUUGCUAAACAUAUAGUACAUAGAAAAAGAGCGGUACCAUAAUCAAUUCUUUCCGGGCUUGUUGUAGCUCGUCGUUACUUUCACGCUCUUUCCUCACAAGAUCUCCACUCAAAUCUUCCAGCCGUUUCUUCUCACGCUCUAAUCUUUCACUCAGCUUCUCCAUCUUCUCAUGAAUAUCACCAUCAUCAUCUCCCUCCAAAUGUUUCAUUACUUGGAGUGUACCAUUCAACCGUGCAACUUCGAGCUCAAGUUGCUGCUUCUCAUGCAGUUCCUUUUCCAGUUGGAGCAUCCUUGCGAAUACAUCUUCCUUUUCCCUCUGAUGUUAUUAAAAUGUAUUAAUUCUCAUCACCAGAACCUACAGUGACCAUCUAGAAAGCAACAUAUAAGUAAGAAAGGGGCAAACCUUCUGGUCAUCCAAUAGCUUCAGAACAUCGAAGUCAGCCCUCUGCUGCUCUAUACUGGCUAACUCAAGUUCACUAUUAUCAUCUUUCGCCUGCACAAUUUCAAAAGAAACUUUAAGUAAUUAUAUAAGAUAUUGCUGUAUGCAAUCAUGCUAUCAUACCAAUAUGCUCUAACUGUCAUCAUUAGUUUAUGAGCCUAGCAAGCUUUGGUGCAUGCACUUAGGAUGUAGAAAGAGAACCGGUAUUCUGUGAAUGUCAUAGAACUUAGAUGAUAAAAUACUUCAUAACAAUACAUCCCUUGUCAAAGUGAAAGUACUGAUGAUAUAUAAUUUUAAACAACCUGUACAAGUUUGAAAUGGAAAUAUAAAACAGCAACAGUAAAUCCUUGUUUUCAAAGUAAUCUCAAUCACUUAACCAAAAGAAUGGUUGCCACCCUGUUAGUCCAGAUUAGUGCACCAUAAGCAUGAUAUUUCAGCAGAGCUUACAUGAGCAUAGCCUAGUGCUUCAUUCGUAUAGUUGUUUUGCUUACCUUCUGCUUCUCAUCAUCGAGUGUCUUCCAGUCGUUAGCAUUCUCAGCUGACAGCUUUUCAAGUUGCUUAGCUCGUGAAUUCAGUUCUCUCCUCUUAUUUUCUAAUUCUUGCCUCAAGUUGUCAUUUUCUUGGAAAAUUCGCAGAGCAUUUUCACGAGCCCUGCGAUGAAGAUUUCGCAUUUCUGAAAAAGAGGAUACAAAAUUAUGGAUGAGUUAAUUUAUAAAAGAGAAAAAUUGCUUUGUUAAAUUUGUAAAGCAAAGAAAUUAAAGCUAAGUAAUCAAAGUUAACAAUUGGAGGAGGUUUGUUCAUACGUGUAAGCAUUGUUCAUCUCAUCAGGUAAUUCGUAGUUUUACAGAUAAAUAUAAUGUUAAAAAAGGAAUCGAGUAAUUUCAUGCAGAAUGGCAUUACUAUCAGAAAAACCCUGCAUUCAUCUAACCAACCCACAACAUCAUUUCUCUAUGUAACCCAUGUCCAAUAUAAGACUAUUACAAAACUAACUUCAGGACUUACAUGCAAAAUAUCUAAUAAUAUGCAAUGGUACAAGAUAGAAUUAACAUCUGAGAUCUGCUCUGUUACAAAUAAGUUUCUGUUUCACAGCCAUGACUAGAAAUGUCACCAUCUAAACCAUCAAGUAGAGCCGAAAGAAAGGAAGCAAAAUUGUACAGAUUACCUUCAUUGUACGCCUCGUGUAGCUUCCUGUUGUCCUCCUCAAGCCGUGAGAUCGAGAGUUCUGUUGCAUUCUUCUUUGUCUCCAAAUCCUGCAAGUAUCGGUUCUUUUCCUCUAUCUGAGAUGCCAGUCUUGCAACCAUCUCCCCUGACUUCUCUAACUCAGUUUUGGAGACCUCAUCUAUUGUUUUCAGGAUGGUACGCUUCCUCAAGAACCUUCCCACCACAGUCCCUCCAUUGUAAUCCCCCUCUCGGGCAACCCACCCAUAAACCUUUACCUCACCUUCGCCACCCUCCCCCUCUGCAGCACCUAGACCACUAUUCCUAGUCUCAAAUUCCUUCUUCCCCAGCUUAUUCACACUAAAAUGGUUCUCUAGCGUAAGCGCAUCAUUAAAUCCACUCCAAUCAUUGGUAAACCUCACGAUUGCAAAGGUUUCCAUGCCUUCUAUCUCAUCGAUAAACAAAGGCACAACCUCAACAAAACUAAACAUGGCUACUCUACCAGCAAACUCCUCAGCAUUGAACCCUGCACCGGCUGCAAGAACACAAGCCCAUGGCCAAGCAUACCUCUCAACCUCCCGUGGCGGCCCCACGUUCUCCGCCGGCGCAGAACUGGAUCCCGUAGGACCAACAUUGGCUUUCGCCUCCGCGGUGGCACUUCCACUGCCAUUGGCGUUAGCAGGGGCGGGCUUAAUGGCACCGAGGAUGCCAGUGAUACCGACAAGGUCUUCCGCGAAGGACGGAUCGGUGCGGACAAAGCGGGCGAAGGCGCGGUGAGACGCGCGCUCGCGGCCGUGGCGGCAGUGCUUGCUGGAGACGCCGAUGCCGUCGGCGUGCUGGAGGAGGUCCUUGAUCUUGUACCCCUGCUUCUUCUUGCCGGGGCAGAAGGGGCAGCGGAAGGUGCCGUCCGGGUUGCGCACCCGGUGCUUGCCGGAUGUGAGGAGGCGGAAGGAUUGCUCCUCGUAGUCGCUCUCCGCGUCCGAGUCGUCCUCGGAGUCGUCGUCGGAGUCCUCGGAUUUGGGGUCCGCUAAUCCGGCGGCCUCCGCGGCGGCCUCGGCCUCGGCCUCCUCGUAGGGGUCGAUGUAGUCGUCCAUGUCAAGAUCCAUCCCCGGAGCUCAGGGAUUCAACAGAGACGAUUCCUGAACGCAAAUACAGCGGUUAUUGAUCGAAAUUUUACAGGAACGACGCGAUUUUUCUCCCCAAAUGUUCUUCGAUCCAAACAUACUACGAAAGAGGAACCGAAAGGACUCACCUUCCCCCGAACUGGAGCACGAUCGCUCCAAAUGGCAGCGAAACUGGAUGAAAUUGGGGGGAGAAACCCCCGCCCUAUAUAAAGCCCGGGCGAAAUCGCGUUCUCACGCACCACGAUUGAACGCAACGACGCCGCCCUCGCUGGAUUUAUGGUGGCAUGGCGGAAAUCGGCGAGAAAGGCAACAGCUUUACUGGGCAAGGAUUAACACCUGCAUUCCAUUCCAGUCCUGGGGUUUUGGGGGCGGCGCACGGGAGAGAUGCCACUGGUACGGGGUGGGACGAUGAUAUGUGGGGUCCAUUUCAGCCCGUCGACGGUGGCCGGGACCACGUGUCAGGGACUCUGACACUUUGACUCCUUUGGGAAGCGUUACGUGGGCCCGAGUUCAUCCGGCUCAUUAACUUUAGGUCAUCUCAAGAUGUUUUUCCUUUUUUUUCUCGUUUCACUGUUGAAAUCCCACCCACCUCCAUCUAAAGGAAAUAUUGAAAUUUCUAGGAAAAUAGUUAAUUUGGUUAAUGCAUUAAUGAUGGAAUAAAAAGUUUCCCCUUUUUUCAUAGAGCGUAUAAUUCGUUGACAGAAGAGUUUGAUACUAAGAUUUGGAGAAAAUUUACAGCAGAGGUACAGCAAAAGAUUUCAUUUGAUCUUCCCAUUUAACAUAUGGUUAAAAGGCAACGCAUGUAGAUUUUCUCCCUUCUCUAGUUGGAUGGAAUUCACGCUUAUAGCGUAAAGAGUAAUAGUUAAAUAGGCUUGUAAACAAACUAGGUGUCAUUUGGUAAAUUUAAUAAAAAAAACAGCACACUGCACAUACCCUACUGGCACGAGUAAAUAAUCUUUCUGUAUAUAUGCAUGACACAGGUAAUAAGUAAAUAAGCUUGUAUACAAAGAUAGUAAUAGUUAAACAAGAUUCUAUAGGAACCAACUGUCAUGUCUAUAUUAUACUAUUAUUAUUUUGUACAUGACAAAAGGUAAUAAUUAAAUAAGACUGUCUAUAAACCAACUGUCAAUUCCUAAGUAUAUAUGCUACUAUUACUCGGUACAUGAAAAAGAGUAAUAACUAAAUACAAUUGUAUCAAACCAACUGUCAUAUCUCUGUAUGAUACAAGGUAAAUCAAAUACAAACCAAUUAUUAAUUCAUACAUAUUAUUAUUACUCUGGACAACAUAAAAGGCAAUAUUAAAUAAAAUUGUUUACUACACAACUGUCAUUUCAAAAUAUUGCUAUUAUUCUUUACAAGAUAAAAAGGUAACGGUUAAUUCAGCUUAAUGCAUACCAAUCGUAAUUUCUUCAGUAAAUUCAAAUUAAAAUCAGCACAAACAUAUAAAUAAUCCAUGUUUUAAGUGCAUAGGUUGGUGCUUGAAUCUAGAUCGAUGAAAAGAAAUGAUCUUAACAAUUUUGCAAGCAAAAUUAAAAAUAGAAAGAAAUUCAGUGGUUUUUCUUACUCUUAUAUCCUUUCCCACAAGUUGGUUCAUCUUGAACGGUUGUUGCGGCAUCUUCCACUCCAUGAUCCUUCAAUGAGAUUAUCAUUAUGGCACCCAUGAACUAGACUCGAGUCAACAAUGUCUCAAGGAUUAGAGAGAACCUUGGGGAUUCCAUGGACGUUGGGGUGGCAACUGUGGUGGAGCAGUGACACAAGGAAUGGUUAGCUACAGAUCUAUCUAGCAUGUCUUAUCGACUUAUCGUCGAAGAGCGGUGCAGGGCAGUAUGCUGGUUCGUCAUAGAUAGCAAAGGUCCAUUGUCGCAAUAAGUAAGGCAAAAGGAAGAGGGAGAGGUGUGCGGCCAUGUCAGGUUGAGGACAAUAGGCAUGGCGAUGAUUAAAAAAAAGGGGGUGGCAGUAUGUGGAAUGCUACAAGAGGAGGGUGCUCUAUCCGCCAGAGAAGCAUGGUUGGUUCUACGCAAAUGAUAGGAAGGGGCGGCGGUGUGUGGGAGCAUUGUAGUGGCCCGACCAAGAUGAAGGAGAAAGCGCGGUCUGCAGUCAUGUUGGGGUUGAGGACGAUAGGCAUGGCGAUGAUAAAAAGGAGCGGCGGGCGGCGGCGCAUGGGACGGUACAAGAGGAGCGUACUCGAGCUCUUAGGGUUUUGAUUGUUGCAAUAUCUACAACAGUCGGGGCAUAAAUCAAGGGUCAAGAUCCUUGAUUUAGAUAUAGAAAGAAUGAAAAUACCCUCAACCGACAUCCGACGCUACAGAACCAUCGAACGGUUCACAUUGCUGCCAUUUUGCACUGCAACAUAUGGCCCCGUAACACAUGAGAAGAAUGGGUAUUGAGUCGGAUGGUUGGGAAAUACUCAAGGAUUGAAAUGUGGGAGCAAGAUUGUCAAGAGAAAUUACAAAUCACCAAUUUUCGAAUUUCUUAUCGAGUCAAAAUUGUUAGUUCGUUCGGACGGCGUUCGGACGGUUCUCGGGUACAUGUAGUAGAACAGAGGAUUUAUCCCAAUUCCCAUGGUACAUUAUCAAAUUUUGCAGAUCAGAACCGGAAAAGGAGUCAGUUGUCUGCUCGAGUCAUCUUCCUUAGGCAAAAGAGAGUACAACAUUUUUGUGAUUGGUUUUACGAAGAGAGGCUUUAUGGCAUGCCGGAUCCUUGCUCUCUUGGUCUUUUUUUUCUUGCACCAGGCUUACUCUACCUUAGUCCCUGGGCUAAACUUUAAGCCAUGCUAAAGUUUAGCCCCCUUAAAUGGAGGGUUAAAGUUUAGCCCCCUUGGGCUGUUUGAAAAUUAGGCUAAACUUUAGCACCUAGGUUUACAAAAGACUCAUUUACCCCCACUUCCUUCCUUCCUCCUAUCUCUUCUUCUCUCUCUUCCCCUUCUCUCGCUCUUCUCCCCACCUCCCCCAGCCGCGCCAGCCUCCUCGCACGCCGGCGGCCCUGCGCCCACCCGGCCUCCGCGCCCCUAGCUGCCCUCCCUCCCCCGCUGGGAGCCAGUGGCCACGCGGCCAAGCUCCCCUCCCUCCCUGCAUCGGCAGCCGGUGGCUGUGCCCGCGUGCCCAAGCUCACGUUACUCCCCGCGCCGGGAGCUGGCGGCCGCGUCCCAGCCUCCUUCCUCCCUGCGUCGCGCUCGACUCCCCGCACACCAGAAGGUCGCUUCACUCCACUCCACCCCGCCUCCCCUCUGCAUGCUCCGAUGGUGGCUCGAGGUCCGACGAAAGCCUAAGGCAGAGCCCCGCGCGGCACAACCGAGCUGCGGUGGGCGAGCAAUGGCAGAGCCCCAUGCAGCAGCACGAGCUCCGACGAGCGCCGGACCUCUCGCUAAGCCGGUAGCCGCGAGCUCUUCCGCGUGCCACGGCGCUAGGCCGGAGGCCAUGAGCACGCAGCCGGCCGCCCCGGAUCCAGCGUCAGGGGCGCCGCCAAAGAACUCGGCCGAGGCGGAGGCGGAGGCGGAGGCAAGAGGAGGGCGGCGGGGGCGAGGUUGGGCGGCAGAGGCGGCGGGGCCGGCCGGAGGCGGCUUGGCCGGCGAGGUGGAGGCGAGUGCAGUGCGGAGGAGAGAGAGGGGGGUGCGGGAGGGCAACCAGGGAAAGAUGGUCCUUGGAACCACUUUUAACACCCAUUAGCCCAUUUUAGCACCCCUUAAGGGGCUAAAGGAAAAGGGGGGCUAAAGUUUAGCACCCCUCCUUUAGCCUAAAAUGGGGCUAAAAGAGGCGGGCUAAACUUUAGGCCCCCCCUCCAAACAGGGCUUAACUCAACUUUGAGAAUGCCAGACAUAAAUUUUACCUAUUUUAGUUUAGGGCACUAGUUUUGAGGUCCGAUAAACCGUUUCGAGCACUAUAGAGUCCUGCCACCUCUUCACACUAUACCUCCAUACGACCCCUACACACUCCAGAGCUCAUUACCCGUGGCUAGCCUCUUCAUGGCGUGCUCCACUUUAAUAACUCCCUCCCAAACGAGUGGCUUGCCGUCUCCCUCAUCUUUGUGCUAACACAUGACUUCCUGAUAUGCACCCUGUGCUUGGGUCGUGACAUGGAGUUCAUCCUUAUCUAGGUGGGCUUCGCACUCCUGCAUUAGCUCGACCCAGUAUAUGCCCACAACCACAUCUUCAUCUUUCACGACGAGCUCCACGUCCUACCACCCUUCCUCUUUCCUAAGAUGUUGUUCGUAAAGGUCAUGCUUACCAACAUCUAUGACACCUGCAGCCCCGACACCAUCCAUGCUAUUACAAAGCUACACCGACGGGCUGUCCAAGUGGGAGGAAGAGAACCUCCACACGGUGCGCUUCGCACAAGGUGUUUUGAAAUGUUGGACUUUACAUGUUUUAAUGCCGCGGCAGUGAUUUGAGACUUUGUUUUAGCAGUUGGUUUUGCAUGUUAGUUUUAGGAACUUUUGAUGUCGCAGUAGAUAUAUUUUUGUUGCUGCAAAAGGUGAUUUGAGGCGCAUGGAAUUUUACAUGUUUCGAUGUUGUAAGGAUGAUUUGAGUCUUUCAAGUUGGCUUUGGGUGUUGAUUUUAGCAAAUUUUCAAUAUUGCAGAAGAUAAUUGUGAAGGUUUUUACUGCAAUAUGUGUCUUUAGAAGUUGGGUCUUACACCCUCCGUCCCAAAUUACUAUUCGUUUUGACUUUUCUAAAUAUGUAACCUUUAAGAUUAUAUCUACGUACAUAAUAAAAGUUAUGUACGUAGAAAAGUUAAAACGAAUAGUAAUUUGGGACAGAAGGAGUACGUGUUUUGGUUUGCAACGGAGAGUAUUUUAGCAGUUGAUUUUGGGGGUACAUGUUGGCCUCGUAAUGAUUUGAUAUUGCAAUAUACGUAGGAACAAAUAUUUGCGGGAGCAGCUCGCAACCGGAGCAGCAAUACGCUCCACUGCCGUUGGGCAGCUCGCCGUUGGGUAGCUCAUGGACCUCACUCGGACGCUGGAAGGUUUUCUUCUGCUUUUGCUUUUGGAUCGCGACGGGAGUAGGGUGCAGACGUUUUUUUAUUUAUUUAAUGGUUAAAUCGGUGCGUCAGACGUUCAGGAGCUAGCGAGACCAUAAAAAAAUCUAAAGAUAUUUCAUACUGAAAUGAAAAUAUUUUAUUAAUAAGGUACUAUUGUGUUCCUUUUUAUUGAUUUUUUCCCUGUACGGGACCAAACUCUUUUUUUUUUCCGAAACUCUACGGGACCAAACUCCAACGGCUCAACCCCAACAAUUUACAUUGUGCCACACGGUAGUAGUUCACGGCUUGACAACACUGUCACCUUUCACUGACCAGAUGCUGGUGCAAAUCACACCUCGACCAGAGAACACGGCAAAAAAUUAGCACGCAGCGGCUUCGAGCCUUCGAGCGAUCGACCGAGACGACCAAUGCACGGACGCUCGCUCACCAGACGGGCAGCAGGUAGCAGAACUCGGCGUCGUACGGCUCGACCUCCACCAUCUUGGCCGCCGGCGCCGGAGUCCCCACCGUGCCCCUGCCGCCGCCGCUAGCGCCCAGGACCUCCCUGAUGGCCCGCCGGAGCGGGCCCGACGCCCGGGGCAGCUGGCUGUGCACCCACUCCAGCAGGGACGCGUCGUCGUCGGCGAAGUCCCGCAUGUGCCAGUGCAGCAGCUUGGGCACCACGACGGCGCGCUGCCUCCGGCCGCCGGCGACGCGCACCGCCGCCUCCAGGUACUCCACCUUGGCGCGCUCCAGCUCGUUCGACACGUCCUCCGCCGUGUACACGCGCAGCUGCAGCGGCCGCGCACGUGAGGUCAGUGUCAGUCUGUGGAGCAGAGAAAAAAAAAUGCCAGUAUGUAGGAGGAGCUCUGGCAGUGACUGAUCGGCAUACGCACCGCCGGCGAGGAGCGGCUGCCUCUGCACAGCGCGAAGACGACGUUGGGUUCAGGGUACCCGAGGCCGUACAAGUGCAGAAGAUCCCUCUGUCCUUCGUCCAUGAUCCCCUUAUCAUCAUCAUCAGAAUAUCAGAUAACCUUGUUGUUAAGAAUUUAAUGAAGGGAAAUGAUGUAGUAGCAUCCUAUUCCUGCAAGAAAGUUUAUGGUUGGAUGGUGUAAACCUAAUCUUGCAUACCUGCUUGCCUUCGGGAGAGUGCCUCAGGAUGAGGUGCUCGAUCGACAGGACAUUCAGCACUGUUCCUCCGACGUUCACUGAAGCCUGAAUGCCAGUUUCUGUUAGCAAUGUGCGUAAAGAUGACGGAAUUCGAUCUGAAUCAUCAAAUUUUUUGUCAGCAAUGUGGAAAGAAACGCUACACCUGAUUCAGCAGCGCAACAAGCUUUUCCGGGGAUGGAGGUAAACCGUGCUGAAGAAACGCCUGAAAUCAUGCCGGAAUAACCUGUCCUGAAUCAGCAUUGUUGCUUUCGAGCAAUUGUUCUAUGCCUGGAGAUGCAAUUAAAGGGCAGCUUACAGUACAUGCAUCACGCAGAAGUUGUAGAUGUUGAUCCAGAACGCCAGCUUCUGCUUGUUCGUCAGAAGGCUCGGAUCGGCGGUGCAAAGCUUUUGCAUCAAUCCCCUGUAAGAGAACGCACACGCAAAACAAACGCUAUCAUUCAGACCUGAAGCUUCCCCUGACCGUUGAACAACAACACGCCCAAACGGGAAGCCUCACCUCAGGUUCUUGAUGUCGACGAGGCACAGCGAUAUGCGGCUGACGUCGACGGACGCCCUCGUGAACUCGACGAACCUCCUGUGGCACCCGGCACCGGCAGCGGCAGUCUCCUUAUCCGCGCCAUGUCCGGCCUUCGCCGUCGCCGACGCCCUCCGGUUCUUGAGCGGGCUCAUCGCGGCGGCGGCGCCGGUCACGGCGACCCUGGGGACGAGGCUCCGAGGCCCGAUGCAGGAGAUGUUGAGCUUCGACGCGCCGCCCAGCUCCAGCUCCCCCGCGUCCCCCGCCUUGUUCAGCUUUUGGAAGAUGGUCACCAUCAGCCUGAUCAGCUCCUCCGACAGCUUGUUCGGGCUGCUCAGGCAGACCUUCCUCUCCGGAGGCGUCGGCGUCGUCUCCGACGGCUUGCAGUGGCUGCUUCUCCUUGCAGUGACAUGCUCCAUUUCAUCUCCUAAUUAAAAUAUCAUGAUGAUCAAGCAGCAACAAAAAAAGAACAUAUGAACUCUGAACUCGCACGUGUUUUUGCUGAACAUUUCAUACCUUUGGCGGAGGCGGAUCCAACAGAAGCCUUGCUCUCGCAUUCGAGAGCUUCGUCGCUGCUUGGGCAGGGCAGCUUCGGCAGCUGCUGGGCACCCUGGAGCUGGAGCUCUCUCCUGGACACGGAGUGCCGGGGCUGGCGGCUCUGCGGCCAGCUCUGCUGCUGCUGCUGCUGGAUGCACUGGUCCGUCCACCUCUGCUCCCGGCGCAGGCGCAGCCGCAGGUCCUCGACCUUCUUCUCCAGGUAGAAUAUCUCGUCCUCCACCAUCGCCAGCUCCCCAAGCAGGCCCCUAACCUACAUACACCAGUGCGAACAAAGCAAGUGAAAAAUUCAUGUCAGUCAGCGAACACGUUCAGCAGACAGGCAUUUUGGUCAGGUUCCAGGCUUCCAGCCAUUGGCAUGAUGAGCACACAGAAGCACAGAGUUACCGACAGAAGAAGAAUUUUACAGCUGAUGCUGACAUGGUUAAAUACUUCGUGAGAUCGAUCGUACUGAUACCAUGCCAUGGAAGGCACUGAUCAUUGGUCAGCUAAUGGAGGUACAAUAAUGCAGGAUCCAAGGAAACCAGCAGAUCUGGUAGAUAAGAGGUAGGAGGCAGCGAUUGUCCGCAGGCGACUCGAAACGGCGACGCUCCAGAUCGGACACAGUACUUCCGCGUCCUUCGUUCAGAGGUCAGAGCCAGGUGACAUCGGAUGAGACAGGAACGGAGGCAGGAAUCCAAAGGACAUACUGUACCCGCACCUGGCGUUGCUCUCACACCCGGGGUACGGGGACCCUGAUGAGAUCUUGGGCCCGUGGAAUGGAGAUCAGGAAAAUGGCCGUGCUCUCUGUUACUGUUACUACUACUGCGUGCGUGAUGUUACCGUAGGUGAUCUUAUUGGGUGCAGGAUUUGCAGACAUCUGUACGAGGGUGACAGCGUCACGUGUGUGAUCUUUCAGUUCAGAUGCUGCGGUGAAGUGAAAUGCAUGCUAUGAUGGCAAUUCCUCUGCUGCUGCGGCUGCAGUGAUGGUACGCUGGCAAUCAUGCUUGUUCGUCGUCGUCCAGACUUCAGACUGAACAGCUUCAACUUUUUAAGCACAGCUCCAGACAUAUGCAAAGUGUGCCCUAUUGUAGUAUUGCUACAUAAUCUGAACUAUCAAGUGUAUCCUAUUGUAGUAUCGUUUACAGAUAAUGUAAGCUACCAACGGUAAUAAGGUAACAUGAAAGAAGAACAUAUCGGAAGCUGCAAGGCAGAAUUUGCUCGAAUGGUACUCGUGCGGACAUCAGUUCAAUCUACGGAUGGGGGAUGGCAAUAAUCCAUGAGCUUACACUGAGUGUCAGAUACUUAGACUGACGGAACUGAACAUUUAGCAGCCCAUCAAACAGAGAUGAUCGGACGAUCGGAAGGUGAGCAGAGAGGUACUCACAUUGGUGGGAACGAGUGUGGAGAGGCAGCAAUGGCAGACGACGCGCCCCUGCAGCGAGCACUGGAGGACCCUGCCCAGCCGCUGCUCCUUCUCCAGCACCGUCUCCAGCUCCGACACCUGCACACAGCAAAGGCCCACAGCGUUCAUCAGCUCUGAAACGUCGAGCGGCGGCGCUCGCCGAUCAUCCAUCGCGCGUGCACGCGCAUGUCAGUGUCAGUGCUCUGCAGCAGCCGGCCUGACCGACCUCGAACUCGAGCUCGAGGCGCUUCUCGCGCUGCUCCUCCCGGUCCAUGAGGAAGUACAUGAGCUUCAUCUUGCACCGGCGCACCCGCGGCCUUCUUAAACCCGCGGCGCCCGCGCCCGGCCUCCCCCGCCGCCGGUGCUGGAGCGAGGUGGGGUAACUCCUGGCGCCGCCGGCGGCGGCGGUGGGGCGUAAUGGCGUCGGCGAGCUCAUUUAUGCGUCUCCCCGUCAAGAAAAAGGAGGAGGCUGGUGGGAUGGAGGCGCGCGCGGUAGGCAACGGUGGCGGUGAAGCCGGGGGGACGCGUCGGCGUCGGCGUCGCGCGCGUCACGCUUCCCGUGCGGGCAACGGAAAUCUCUGGCCCAUGCGACGCAUGACCGGCUUAAAUUCACCAGCGGUUGACGCCAACGCUCGCUCGGGGAGGAGUUUGCUUGCUUACCGAGGGGCUGAGAAUUUAUGCCCGUGACGGGAUCUGUUACCGAGGAGACUUUGAUGAGGGGUCUCUCCUCUCCUCUCACAUUUUCUCUCUCGAUUUGUUAGGCCAGUCACAGCACAAUUUCAUUGCACAUUUACCUGAACUACGUAACUGUGCUAUAUAAAUUUUACUAGAACUCCUUCCUCGUUUGAUGAAACUUCCUCUAUUAAUUAUCUUACCAAGUCAGCAAUUUUGCUGAUGUGAUAUUAAAUUUAAUGCCAUAAAACUUCCCAUCGAGACUGGUCUUACUGUACCAAUAUUUUACUGUACCAAUAUUUUAGGCAAAAUUUGAACCUUGAAUAAUAUGGUUUGGUUUCCUAUUUCAUUCGUUAAAAACAUGAUAAUUCUGAAGUGACCGGCACUCUUUCUUUCUUUUUUUUUAACCCAACAAUUCCCAGGGUCAGUUUCCUUUUCAGAUUGUUGAAUUGUAUUGUGGAAAAGAUUGCAAAACAUAGUAUAGGUUCAAAAAUUCAAAAAAGCUAGCACUUCCCCCGUCAAAUGUAAGGCUUCAUGCAUCAUCACCCUAAUCUGAUCCUGCCAAUCAGCUCAAGGUACAGAUACUCUUUCAUUUCUCCGAAAGUGCAUUGGCUAGGGCAGCAUCGCUAAUCCCCUUAGAUGUGCCUACAAAAUGUUUUGUUUGAUCGGCCAAUAAUGAACGCAUCAUUCCAUCAUGGUACAAUUCUGACGCUGCGUCCCAAUCAUCGCAGGCGUGGAAAAGAAUCCUAGUCCUAGGACAGUGUAGGGUUUCAUACCAAUACUGUUAUGUCAUCAAUGAAAUCAAAUUAUCACUUUCAGAACACAGUUUCAUAGAUAACCUGCGAGCGAUGAAACUAUAACAUUCUAGUUUCAUAAGGAUAAAACUCCCCUUUCAUCUCUCCUCAUAAUUAGAUUGCCAAGUCAGCAAAACGGCUGAUAUAACAGAUUUGGACGGUUUCAUGAGGAUAAAACUCCCCUUUCAUCUCUCAUUGCCAUCUCUCCUCAUAAUUAGAUUGACAAAUUGCCAAGUCAGCAAAAUUGCUGAUAUAACAGAUUUAAUGCCCAUGAAACCUAGAAUUUAAUACCAUAAAACCCCACUGAAACUAACCUUUAAGGCUGGUGAAACGAUGAGCGUGGCCUUAGUGAAACGAUGAGCGUGCCAUACAACUGCUUUGCUGCCUCCGUGCAAAGAUUAGCUGACCCGUUGCAUUCACAGGCCCGGCUAAUCCGCCCUCAUUAAACACAAAAGACACAGAUAAUGCAAAGUUCCAAACGGAGUCACUACUAACGUGGCCAGAGCAUUUGGCUGGAUAGCCGGCAUCCACCCAACAACAUUAGGAUAAUGCAAUCAAAACAAGCCUAACGAUUCAGCAACCUAAAGGUCCAUGUAGAAAAACAGCAUCGAAUCUGGUGUAAUGUGACUCACCACAAAAGGGGGCUAACAAAAAAAAACCAUUAUUGAUAUGUCCAGAGGUAGUAAACAUUAUUAGCAAGCUCAAGCUGUGGCCUCAGAAAAAGCUACAUAGCACAGAAAACAAUUCUGUUCCUGUUCAGCGGAUCUCCGCGUCAGGGGUGGAAGGGUCGGGGACACAUCUUAGGCGGACUUCACGGUGGCCGAGUUGAUGAUGUCGAUGAACUCAGGCUGCAGACAAGAUAGGGGAUAAGAAACAGUCAGUAACAGAGGAUGUUGAUAAGGCCAGACACCAUCAUUUUGUUGCAGUCUUUGGUUUACAAAUUAACAGGACAUCAGCUGUCUUCCAGGAUUUUUCGUUACCUUCAAAGAAGCACCACCGACGAGGAAACCGUCAACAUCGGGCUUUGCUGCCAGCUCUUUGCAGUUUGCAGCAGUCACAGAGCCUGUAGGAAGAAGAGCACAAAUAAUCAUGUACCAAAAAGAUUUAGCAGCUGGUGCACAUUUGUAAGGCAACUGCUCGAGAAGUGUAUACCUCCGUAGAUGAUCCUGGUAGAUUCGGACACCUCAGGGCUGACGUUGAUCUUUAGCCAAUCUCUCAGGGAUGCGUGCACCUGCAAAGAUAAUGCAAAUCUGAGUGUUUGUGCGACGUUGUAGUAGAUGAAGAUAUUUAUAAUUGCAAGAGCAUAGCCCAAUGUUGAAAAAUGUAUGAACCAGUAGAGAGUUGUGAGAGUUAAGAGAGACUUACUUCCUGAGCCUGAUCAGGGGUGGCAACUUUACCAGUUCCAAUGGCCCAGACUGGCUCGUAGGCAACAACCACGUUGCUCCAGUCCUUGAUCUUCUCUGUAAAACAAACAAGCAUUACAUCCUUUCAGCCUGAAUUUCCACAUGGCACCAAUAUUUUUAACUUGGCAAAUUGAAGAUAAGGCACAAAGUUAACAUGAAAUAAACAAUCCAGGCAAAAAUAAACACGUAAUCCUUCCAAUCAACAGGGGGGCACAGGAACCAAUUUCUGAACUACAGCUGCUAGAGAAAAACAGUAAUGCCUGAACUAGAAGAGUACAUUUUCUAACCAAACUGAACGCCGGGAUCUAAUUAGCGUAAAACAAGAUUAGAAACGAAGUGUUUAUCAUAAGAUGUAUGGCUACCUUUUUUAUAAUUUUGAAGUUCUAUAUGCCUGGGAGAUAGACAUAAAAGUAUUUGGAUAUAAUCAAUCAACAAUCCACAUGAAAAACACUAACAGUGAAUACAUAAAAAAGAGAGUAUGCACAAUCACAGGACUGAAUGUAAAUGUGAAGUACCAGCAAUUGCUUUUGUUUGUGCAGCAACAACAUCCAUGGUCGAUCCAGCUUCCCUCUGCUCAAGGGUCUCACCAACACAUGCAAUGACCUUUAGUCCCUGAGAGAGUGCAUAGGCGACUUUGUCUCCAACAAACUGGCAUCCAAGCAGAAGAUUGAACCAUUAGAUGUGAACAUUCUUAGAACAGGUGCAUCAAUAAUCAAAUAUAUCGCAGAUUCAUGUCUAAGGGAAGGAUUAAAGAAGAAUAACUGAACAAGUCUCAGCUCAGUAACUGUAACAUAGUCCGAUUGGCAAUAUGCAUAACAGCACAACCACAAUGCAAAUGACACGAAAGACAUGCUGAAUUUGAACUGGAGCAUACCUCAUUUGAUUCUCCCAACAGAGCUCUCCUUUCAGAGUGUCCAAGAAUGACCCAGGGAACGCCAAGGUUGACGAGCAUCUCAGCACUGCAUCAAUAAUGGCUUGCUUAUCAACCAACACAAAAAUUGAAUGAGGAAUGCACCGAAGCGCAAUGUACAAACAGCUUAAUAAGGUUAUAUAUGCAAACUGCUUAACAUGGCAUCAGCAGUAUGAAAAUAACUAAAAUUGAGUGAAAGCCUGAAAGGUGAAUUCAAAAGACUCCAUGCAUUAAUGGUCAAAGGAACAUGAGCCUUGUGCUUGUGUAAACGCUGCAUGAAUUUGCAUUUCAGAUUCAACAUUAAUCCUUCCUCACAAGGGCUAUACAACAUAUGGGGUGGACAGCCAGGAGAGAAUUAGAGACUAACCUGACUUCACCAGUGAAAGCACCUCCCUUCUUCACCCAGCAGUUCUGAGCAGCAACUUGGAACUCUGGGCGGAGCUGACUCUUGACCACAGGAAGGAACACAUAAGGAGGGCUGACAACAACCUCUGCAAUGCAACAAUUCCAAAUAGCUAAGUACAUCAUACAAGUAAAAUUUCUCAGAAGUACCACAAAUCUGCGAUGUUCAAGGUCACCCCUAAAAGGGAAGAGUCCAUACCAACAACAUCUGGAGGGGGAACCUGCCCUUCAUUCAGAGUUUUGACAAUCUUGUCAACCUGAUCGGCGGUUCCAUUCUGCAAGCAUGAAGAUCGACCAUGUCAAUAAUCAGUUAACAAGCAAUUCACUAGAUAUGCAUGUCAUUUGUAUGAGAAAUUUGGCAAAGCAACAGGCUCUUUCACUACCAACCGAUUUGCAAAAGAAGCUCCAAUCUAAGCUCAAAUUUACCGAGUUUCAUCACAAGAAAAUCCAUAAUUUACGAGCUCCAUCACAAAAACAAUAAAGGUUCAAGUCGCUAUAUCUAUAACAAGCAUUGCACGAUCUUAUAACGAUACAGUGAGGAAUAGUAUGUAAAUUGGGGGCUGAUCUGCGUGGCAGAUGAAUAUGGAUCUCCAGAAGUUGGCAGAUCGAACUUCUAACCGCUCCUGGAAACAUGCAUCACACAAGGUUUUAACGGUUUGUUCUGAGCACGAAGCACAGGCGGGUUGCAAGAAUCACGCAGGCACUUUUCAGCUAGGUCCAAACAUACAAAGACCAUCAACAUCACGUUGUCUGAUUCCGUACGAGAAUGACUAAAUCAGUUGUAUUCCUGGCCGGAUCUUAAGAGAUAGCACCUGGAGCAACACAUCCAGUCUUCCCAAACAAGACAGAACAAAAAAAAAUAUCCAUACGUCGAUCUAAAUCGAGAUGGGUAGAAUUCACUAGCAAUUUCCGCCCUCGAAUCCCCCAAAAUCACUAGCUCAACCGCAAACAGAACGCGAAAAGGGAUCAGAAAAGAAAUCCAAAAGCUUCCCACCCGAUCCACGACGAGAAAAACAGGCAGGUAGGAGGGGAAGAGCGAUUACGCAUUUCCAGUUGCCACCGACGAAGAACUUGCGGCCCAUCUCGACGAGGUGUUGGGUUCGGAAGGAAGAGGAUGGCUGGAUGGGGACUUGGGGAGCUUCUAGGUUGGAUUUUGCUUCUUGUGGAGGAAGACCGGAAGAGACAGGAUGGAUGGAUAAUAUAAGGCGGGGCGAGGUGUGUGGCCUCUGAUGUGAUCACAUGAGGCCGGCCGGCCAGGACUCACGAUGACAUGUGGACCCCGCAGCCACCAUCGAGUUUUUCUAGAGCUUUUUCCCCCUAAAAAAAUGUCUUGGUAUCUUUAGGCAAAAGCUAAAUUGUUACGUGUACCAAGGAAGCUUACUCGAAUCUUUGCUUAUGGAUGGCUCGUAUGAUUGCCUCAAGCUCCAAGCUGAUGUUACAAUAUCUCUAAAAAUAGCUGGAAGUAUCCUAAUUCGCCACCAUCUUUUUUAUAUAAGGCAAACAUAUCAAAAGUUCUCCAAGUUCCUAUGCAGCUUGGAAUAAAUUAAACCAAACUAUAGUUUAGCACAUUGUUAAAGCUUGUAAGAGGUUAGUAUAAAGUAGAAACGUUUUAUUUCAAAAAAAAGAAAGUAAAAAAACGUCAUGUUCGUAUGCUCAUCUGCUGCGCGCAUAAACGAAUUCUGGCGGUGGCCUUAGCUAGGUUGGCCACAGGGGACGCGGCUGCAGACGAUCCCACGGUUGCGGGUGGUAUUGUGGGCACCUGGCACAGCAGCGCGGAACAAGGGGCGGCGAAGCAGCGGCGGAUGCGGAUGGCAUGGCAUCGCGCUCGUGCGUGCGUCAUACGUGGCUGCUGCUGAAUCGAUGCGCAUCUCCGCCUCGGUGAUUCCGCUUUCCGGCUUUUGCCCGUGCUGCCUCCUCCUCCUCCUCCUCCUUUUGGUUCCUCGCCUUCAAUAUAGGCCCACUCGCUCCGGAACGGGCCACAGGUCGGCAGGUCCCAUCUCAGCAGAUUCGGCCCGUUUUAGAGACCCAGCAAAAUGAUUCGUUAAUAUUAAGUAUGAUUGAUGAAGUACGGAGUAAGUUUCUAUUUUAAUCGAGAAAGUUGCCCGGCAAAAUUUGUAAAAUUCUCACGGUGAAGGUGCGAGAUUUAUAAAUCACACCCCUCCUAAGACUACAAGAUGGACGAUUUGACAUAGAAUUCGGUUCAACGCGGUACAAAUUUCUACGGCACAUGGGCCUACACCAUCUUGCUGCUAUAUAUCACAUCGAUUUCUUUAUAAUAUUUUUUUAUCUCACUUCAAACUUAUAUAAAAAAGAUUAUAGCAUCAUUGACUUUUUAAACAAACUUUGAACAACAAUAUUUAUUUAAUGAAUUAGUUUAAUAAAGCAAAGUAAGUACCACAAUGCCUAUUAUAAAAAAAAUGUAGAUUUAACUUAUAAAUUCAUCUAUUUGCAUAACUAUUUGUAGAAAAGAUUAAUAGUCAAAUAAAUAAAAAAAAUUAAUGGUGUGCUAUGAAACUAUGCAUUGAGAUUGGUCAAACUAAUAAUGAAUGAUUAACAUCUUUGCUACGCAAUGGUCAACUGGUUGAUAGGAAAAUAAAGAGAGGGGCUGCGUGCUUUAAAACUUGUAGAAGAAAUAGCAGGAGUGAGCACAACAACUCAUCGCUGACCACCAACUCUCUUUGCCAUUGGCGCCUUCGCCUUUCUUUCCAGGUAGCGUUCGUUAUGAUGAUGGUUACAUCCGCACUCGCUACCAUGAUUUAGGCAUCUCUUAGCUUUGUCGACGUUUCCUUCUAGAACUCAAUGGCAAUUGGUCUUAAAAACUGAUGAUAUGAUAGGACGUGUGCCUCGCCGUCCUACCGUAACCACGAAAUUUUAAAGACGACUGGACGCGGGUGAGCAAUCCUCUUGUCAUUGUUUUGUUGUCCGCAGGAAAGGAGUUAGUAGCAGCUAGCUUUUCGUCAAGGUUGGCAAGACCGGCUGCGUAGCUCCGUCCUUAAUUAGUUACCACGUGAAUAGCAUGUUUUUAUAUAUGCUUUAUUAAUUGGUAGCUCCAUCAAUAACUACCGGUAUUUCAUCACUUCCAAGAUUCAAUGGGUUUUGCUUACCGCUUUUUUUUCCAUUAAACCAUCCUGUCAACACUAGUUAUGCAAUGUAAUUCGCAUGGUUGCAGUAGGGUCUGUUUGGAUGUGUUAUUGCUAAAGUUUAGUAUUUUCAUCCAUUAGUACUCCCGUUCGAAGACAUGGCUAAUGGAUGGAGCUAAAGUUCAUGAAAAGUCACUUUUGCCCUUUUAUCUACUCACCUCCUCCCUUUCUCUCUCCCUUUUUGUUUUUUCACAAGCUAUUAACACCCAUUAGCUUCUCCCCACCCGUUAAUGCUUUUGCAAUUUUUUGAAGAUGGGCUAAAGUUUGGAUAGGCUAAUGCAUAAAGAGGUUAACUUUCGUCCAUUAAACACGCCUAUAAUCAAAAGUUGCUUCUUCUUUUUUACUGGCUUUUGACCAUCAUGCGAUGAGUGAUGCCGUGGCGGUUGCGGGGUGUUUUGAUGAGUGAUGCCGUGGUGGUUGUCCUUAGGGGGUGUUUGGAUACUAGGUGCUAAACUUUAGCAGCGUCACAUCGGAUGUUCGGAUGCUAAUUAGGAGUACUAAACAUGAGCUAAUUAUAAAACUAACUGCAGAACCCCUGUGCUAAUUUGCGAGACGAAUCUAUUAAGCCUAAUUAAUCCAUCAUUAGCAAAUGGUUACUGUAGCACCACAUUGUCAAAUCAUGGACUAAUUAGGCUUAAUAGAUUCGUCUCGUGAAUUAGACUCCAUCCGUGCAAUUAGUUUUGUAAUUAGCCUACAUUUAAUACUUCUAAUUAGCAUCCAAAAUACCCGAUGGGAUAGGUGCUUAUUCAAACGGGCCUUAGUUAUCACGUGAGCAGCUAUACCAGCCUUCCACCAAACUAAGGUCACCCGGUGGUCCACAUCCACAUGUUAUUUACAGAAAGGUUAAUAUCAUCGACCGUGACCUGAAUGAAGCCUUAAGGAGAAGGUUCUCCAUGCCGGGACGAGUCAUCGCCCUCCGUGGCACGCAGUGCGAUCUCUCUGGUUGCUGCUAGUCAUGAAACAGGCGAUGUUUCAGAGAUCUCAGGAUUUUCAGACACGACGUCGUGUUUCUUCCUUUUUCAUGUCAGUCAGAGUCGGGCACUCAGGCCUACACGAGUCACCGACCAUUUUUUCAUCAGCUGCUAGGCUAUUUUUCUUCACCGAGGAACAGACCACAUGUCCGGCCAACGAAGGUUCAUCGCGUCCUUUGAUUGGUGACGGUAGAGCUCUCGCGCCUCUCCCGUUGACGUCUGGUGAUUCUGUCUGCCACACAUCUUAUCUGACAUUCUACAAUCGUUCAAAGAUCUCACGCAUCCAUGAGUAAGGUUUGGGGAUGAUGUUGCAUCCGGAAAUUUGACGACCGCGAGUGGUAUGGUAAUAAAUACACGGACUGAGCUUGAUCAACGUAGCUUACUCCACAUGUAUACGUACACUAUAUACACUAUAUCUAGAUGCAUAAUAAUAUCUAUAAAACUAGAAAAGUCAAAAUGACCUAUAAUUUGGAACAACCAUCAAACUUAAGUGUCAAAAUUAAGGUUCUCGAUUCAUCGUCUAGCAUAAAAUUUGCUUAAACCCCGACCUGUUCUUUUUUUUACUGUUGCAACUUGUUCCACGGUGGAUAAAAUCGUUGGCGCAACUAUAUAAUGAUAGAUCCGAUUUGAACUUGAUUCGGAAACGCAACUAGGUUGGCUAAACAUUGAAAACUGCACUAUAAAUGUUGGCAAAGUAAUUUGUGUUGCCACGUCAACCUCGCGUGAGAUGGUCUGGAAUGUGCUUUUUAGGCUGACGCUCUACUCAACUUCUUAAUGAGGUUUAUUUCUUGUCGGGGACAUUUGUCGUGAUGCCUUCUCUUCCAUCUUAAGAGGAGUUUGGGUUGAAAGACCUUGUGCCAGCUUUCGGUCGGCGUUGACAGUGCUUGCGGAUGUUGUUUCCUUGCUGGAGGCAUCAUCGUUGUUACCCUUUCCCUAAGUUAGUUACCUGUUUUGUGUGAGUUGGCUGUCAACUGCAAGUGUAGUGGCUGCAGUUUCUUCCUUGUGGUGGUUUAUGGUUGUCGUGUGGGUGUGGGCUAAUGGUUGAUUCUGAUGACUUGUAAUUGUUGUUCUUUUAUUUCAUAUUCUCUAAAUUAAUCUGUGGGCUUCGUCUAAAAAAAUAAAAUUCAGCCGCGUCUAAAAAACUUUUUGCCAAAUUUCCUGUCGUAUCUCUUUUUUCCCUAAAAUUCUUCCGACGGGCCGGGCCGGGCGCGCCAUUUUUGGCUAAAGUUACCGCAGUGCCCCUUUUCCCCCAGUCGCAGGCUCGCGGCGCAGUGAGCCACACGCCCGCACAUCACGAUCGCUGCUAGCGGGCCCCGCUUUCAGUGACCGCACACCGAACGAACCCGCGCGUGGGACCCACCGCCCAGCGGUCGAACCACCCCUCCCUCUCUCUCUCUCAGCUUGCCGCGACGAUAAGCACGGCAAUCCAAUCCACCACGAAGCCGCCAUCCGCCAUUAGCCCUGCACCACCCCGUCACGCAAUAGGCAGGAGAGAGGUGGAAGAAAGAAAGAAAAAAAAACAGAAAGGAAAAACACCAGCUUACACGAAUCGUCUCGAGCCUCUCGGGUGAAGUUAUAAAUAACCCCCAUCGGGGCUAGGGUUGAGGAUUUUCUUUCUUCGCUUCUCGCGAAUCGCCGGACGAGCAGGGCAGCAGGCCGAAUCGGUUCGAGGUCUCCGCGGGAGGCUUCGCGGCGCGGGAUCUGCCGCGCAGGAGUUGACGGUGUGAUUCGGGAGGUGGGGUUUUGGCGGGCGGCGCCGGGUUCCCGGUUGGCCGAUUCGGGCGAGAGGCUGGGGCGCGGGGGCGGGCGAUCGGGCCACUGGAGCUGCACCCACUGGUUGCGGGCCAUGGCCGGGAUCGACGCCGGGGAGGGGGCGGCCGCCGCGCCGCCGGAGAUGUCGCCGGAGCAGCGCAUCGAGCAGGUGCGUCGCGUGUCCGCCUGGGGCCCCCUUCCUUCCCUCCCUCCCUCCCUCGUGUGUGAUCCUCACCCCAUCAUCGACCCCGUGCGGCGGUGGCUGCUUGCCGGGUGCCGUCGCCCCUCUGGUUCCUGGUCUCGUGAUUGGUUGGAAUCGGUUCGGCGGGUGAUUUGAGAUUUUACCGGUCGAUGGGCGCCGUGGGACUCGUUGCUGUCCGUUGGCGGUGGUGGUGGUGCUUGCGAUUUGCGAUUCCCUUCGAUGGUGCGAUGAUUGGUGUGUUUGCUGUGAGCCUGUGACAGGAACUGACUGGUGUAGGGAGUUUGGGGGUAGGUCCUGUUUUUUAGGGUGACGCAUAUUGGGAGAAUUUGAGAACAGGCCUUUUAAAAAUGUGUCAAUUUUUCAUACUCCGCGUAACUUCACUCUAGUUCUAUUUCCUUAUUAGUACCUUUGAAGAAUUUGUCUAUUUUUUAGUUGAUCCCUAAGAUAGGGAUGGGAGAUUCCUUCAGAACUGGGUGUGUUUCUCGACUGUGUUGAAGAUAAUCAGUUGUCUUGUUGCAGUUGCAGUGAUAUGAGUUUCACUUCAUGAUAAAUUUAAAUGAUCCAGCAGGGUCUUUUGUAAUUUGCUAAUUAUUUGGCAUUGCCCUCACCCUGCAGAAGCUCAUUCUCUAUGGAGUACCCGAAGAGCAACUGCAAGAACACCAAGAAGGCUUACUCAUGUACAUAGAGAAGCACAAAGAGCAGAUACCUGAUAUAGUGAGGCUGAUCUUGUCAGUAGGUACUGAUAUUCUGGAGGCCCGAAAGCCCUCAAAGAAGGAAUCAAGUAGCAGCAGCAGUGGCGAUGCGUACAGUGAGAGUUUGUCUUGGUUGCAGUGGUUGAUGUUCAACCAUGAGCCAGAAGCGAUGCUUCAAGACCUGGAUCGUUCCUCUGCAGGAGAUCGUGCUGUUUGUGGGUCAGUCUGGGGACAGAGUGAUCUUGCGUAUCGCUGCCGGACCUGUGAAAAUGACCCCACGUGUGCAAUUUGUGUCCCAUGCUUCCAGAAUGGCAAUCACAAGGAUCAUGAUUACUCCAUCAUGUAUACAGGGGGUGGAUGUUGUGACUGUGGAGAUGCUACCGCCUGGAAGCGUGAAGGGUUCUGCUCAAAGCAUAAAGGGGCCGAGCAGAUUAAGCCUCUUCCAGAGGAGCUUGCACAUUCUGUAGGACCUGUGCUGGAUGUGCUUUUGCAGUUCUGGAAGGAGUGGAUAUGCCUGGUGGAACCACCCCCUGCAAAGGGUGAUGGUAGUAGCUCAUGCAAGAGGGUUGCUGAAGAGUUGACAAUGUCAAUUACUAACAUGAUGCUUCAGUUCUGCACUUGCAGUGAAAGCCUUCUUAGUUUUCUGUCCCUAAGGAUCCGUGAGUGCCAAGAUCUGUUGGAUGCAUUAAUAAGGUCAGAAAGGUUGCUUGACAAGAAGGUUGCUAAAAAAUUGCAUGAGUUGCUAUUGAAACUUAUCAGCGAUCCUGCUUUUAAGUAUGAGUUUGCCAAGGUUUUUAUACGCUACUACCCUGUCACAUUUGGUGAAGUUAUCAAAGGGUGCAAUGAUUCGCUACUGGAGGAGUAUCCACUGAUGCCAACUUUCUCUGUGCAAAUAUUCACAGUACCUACACUAACUACAAGGCUUGUGCAUGAGGUUAAUUUGUUGGGUGUUCUUCUUGGAUGCUUGACAGAUCUGUUUCUUUCUUGCAUUGGUGAGGAUGGUCGUUUACAGGUAUGCUCAUGUCUUCUUUUUAUGAUUUGAAGAGUUUGAUGUUUAUGCUGAACUAUUUUCUGGUAUAAUGGAUGUAAAUGUUAGGCUGACCAUAAGACCUUACGCCAGGAGUCUAUCAAUGUUGUUAUAACGAUAUGUCAUCUGGAUGCCUAGUAUCUUAAAUUGCACAGAAAAAAAAGACUAGUAGAAUUGCCACUUUGAUAUCUGGGAAUGGAUGAAUGAUAAACAUUUCUGGACAAUACCCUUGUUGGUUUCUGUUAAUUUUUUUUUGAGAAGUGGCAUUGAAGUGCGAAAAUAUUUAUAGAUAAUACUGAUUGACUGGUAGUCUUAUGCCAUUGUAUAUAUCAACUCAGUGCAUACACAUACAAUGCCACUUUACUUUCAUAUGGUUACGGGAGACCCUUUUCACCUUGUUAUUUGCAGACAAACAAAUGGGGAAACUUAUUUGACGCUUCUGUUCGAUUAUUGGAUGAUACACGCUAUGUCUUGAGUCAUGAGGAAGUUUCUAAGUAUGUUGCUUAUGAGAGGCCUGAUCUAACAAGGUCAUGGAUUAAGCUCUUAUCACUUGUGCAAGGUAUGGAUCCUCAGAAGAGAGUGACAAGUAUUCAUGCUGAAGAUGAAAAUGAACAUCUAUCUGCACCUUUCGUGCUGGGGCACUAUUUUGGAAUUGUCCAGAACCUUCUGAUAAAGGGUGCAUUUUCUCCUCCUGAUCAACAUGAAUCAACUGAUGUUACUGUUUGCUCCUCUGCGAUAAACGGCAUGGAGAGUGCUGAAAAUCAACGGCAUGCAAAAGUUGGAAGGGUCUCCCAGGAGAGCUCAGUAUCCAAUUUAAGCAUCCGAGACAGUUCUUUGAGUUGUGGUUUGCCGUCACCUGCUGCCUGGUUAAUUCUUCAAUGCCUGAAAGCUAUUGAAAGUUGGUUGGAACCUGACAUAGCUCUGAGGAGCAAGCUGUCAUCCCUUGAUCCUAGCAGCAGCGAUUCUCGUAAUUUUAUGGCUUCGCCUGAAGAUCGGACUUCUGAUAAGGGAACCAGUUCAAAUACAAAUAUAGGCGUGAUGGGUGUCAAGAUAAAUGAAGGAUCACAACCAGAUGGUACUGCAGAUUAUCGUGAUGUAUCUAGUUCUCCUGUUCAUGGUAAUUGCGACAGGAUGCAGAUUGACCAAGAAGAGAUACCUUCAGCUAGUAACAGGACAGGCAAAGGGAAGAUGCAUGACAGCAGCAACACUACAGAUAUAGAGUUGCACCCUGAGAAUGCCAUUACUUAUACUCUGACUGACGGUAGCCUUUUGCACGCUCAUCCUGAUUCAAGAAUCGAGGAACUAGGAAUACUCAACACAAGAGGUUGGCCUCAUGUUAUCUUUGACGUCAGUUCACAAGAAACUUCUUUCCAUAUCCCUUUGCACCGUAUGCUUUCAUUGCUGUUGCGGAAGGCGAUGAAGAAAUGUUUUGGAGAGGAUGCCAGGCCAGAUGAACAUUCAGUUGUGCAAUCCUGUGAGUUCUUUUCUCAGGUACUUAGAGGUUGUGAGCCUUAUGGGUUUGCUUCGAUUGUGAUGGAGCAUCCACUGAGAGUCAGAGUAUUUUGUGCACAAGUGCGUGCUGGAAUGUGGCGUAAGAAUGGUGAUGCAGCUAUACUGAGUGCUGAGUGGUACCGCUCUGUGCAAUGGUAAUUUCAUACUGAUCUCAUGUUGAUUCACUGUUCAAAUAAUGGUGCUAAGGUUAUCUUGUUACCCCUAUUUCCAGGCUUGAACAAGGUCUGGAGUCAGAUCUGUUUCUUCUUCAAUGCUGUGCUGCACUAUCUUCUCCAGAGUUCUUUGUACGAACAAUUCAAGAGCGAUUUGGUUUGUCCAGUUAUACAUCUUUGGAUCUUGCGGAACAGAAUGAGUAAGCCCUAAUAUAUGCUUGUCAACUUCUGUUUCUUUCUAGUAUUGCUUCUUCAAUUUCUUGCACUACCUUACCUAUAUAUGUAGCUUUGUGGGUUUGGCGCAGUCACUUUUUUGUUUCCACCGGUAUCUACCAAUAAAAGUUACAAUGGUGACAAAAGUUAAAAUGAUUCUUCCCACCUUCCAGCAUUACUUCUCUGACUACGUAUUGCUCAUCUUUUGGUUCCCAUCAGUAGAUUUUAUCUGUCAUCACAAAUAAGGAAAAAAAAUAGCCAUUUUCAUUUCUUUGUGCCUUUGCUUGGCAAGAAAGUAAGGUGCCAUUCACUCCGUUCUGUUAUAAAUAAGUCCCAGUUUCUGUGAAAGCCCAAUAUUAUAGGUCCAUUUAUAGCAGCUACUCCCUUCUUGUAUGAAGUCAUAGAAUCUGUGCCAUCAGACUUUCUAAAGUUCAAUUGCCAAUUUGUUUAAAACCACACUAUAUCAAAACGCUUUCACAAAAUUAUAACGUUAUUAGUAUCAAUUGACGAAGUUAGGGAAGUAGCAGUCAAAGUCAUGUGUCCGAUACCGCAAGAACCAAGAAGUAAAAAAGUGUGAUUCAUAAAAAGAAAGGAGAGAGCAUUUAGUUCUAUCCAAAUUUAUCAAAGACAACAAAGUUUUAAGUAUUUGGUCAAAACUAGCUUUGUUCAAUUUGAGCUCCAUAAUCCAUGAGAUCCAGUCAUGGCCUAGGGAAAUAUUGUUUGCAUGCUUGCCUUUUGCCUUCUCUAUCGUCCCUUCACUGUUUUCACAGUUAUUCAGACUAAUUUCUUACUGAAAAUUUUCUCACAAAAUUUAAGAAUUAUUUUAUGCCACAUGUAGGUUCUGACAGUAUGUUGCUUUCAGGUAUGAGUCAGUUCUAAUGCAGGAAAUGCUAACUUUUCUUAUACAAUUGGUUAAAGAACGCCGUUUUUGUGGGCUUUCCACAGCAGACAACUUGAAGAGGGAAUUGAUUUAUAAGUUAGCUAUUGGAGAUGCCACUCAUAGCCAGAUUGUGAAGUCUCUUCCUCGCGAUCUUUCAUCAAGUGACCAACUUCAAAAUGUUCUGGAUUCACUGGCAGUUUAUUCUAAUCCAUGCGGCAUGAAGCAGGUAUUAGUCCUUCGGUUUAUGUAACACAUUCCCUUAAAAUGCAAGAUUAAUGUAAAACUUUAUCGCAGGGUAAGUAUGUACUUCGCAAAUCGUGCUGGAACGAAUUGGACUUGUAUCACCCCCGCUGGAAUUCUAGGGAAUUGCAAAUUGCGGAGGAGAGAUAUUACCGUUUCUGCAAAACUUCUGCUCUUAAUGCUCAGCUACCUCGGUGGACUCACGUUUUUAGCCCACUGAGAAGUAUUUCUAACGUUGCAACCUCAAAGGCUGUCCUUCAGAUUGUUCGUGCUGUUCUCUUUUAUGCUGUUUACAGUGAAGCAUCAUCAGCAUCACGCGCCCCUGAUAAUGUUCUCGUGACGGGUUUACAUCUGCUUUGGUUGGCACUUGAUAUUUGUGAAUCAGAAAGACAAGUACAUGCCGACCAGUAUGGCAUGGAUGUGGUGCAGCAUGAUGAUGAAUCAUGGGUUGUUCUGUCAUCGUACACAGAAGAGGCUUUUCCCAUAUUGACUUACUCUACUGAAGUAGUUUCCCCGGAGUCUGACAAUGUAAAGAAAGAAAGCAUGUUAACCCUACUUGUGUUGCUAAUGCACAAAUACAAAGAAGAGAAUGAUGCCACCUUUUCUGGAUCCAAGUACUGUAAUAUUCCAUCCCUAAUUGAGAGCUUAUUGAAGAAAUUUGCCAAGUUAAGUAAGAAGUGCAUGUUUACAUUAAGACAAAUGGCGCCACAUGUAGUCCCAUCUACACCAGACAGUUCCAGUAUCAAAGAAAGCCUAGGAACUUCAUCAGAUCCCAUGGAAAAGAAAGCAAAAGCACGUCAACACCAAGCUGCAAUUAUGGUAAGAUGUUUAAUUACAAAAUUCAUAUAUAUUUAGUUACACAUUAGACAUGUCUCAGAUAACCAAUUACCAGCCUUAUUUGAAUGCGAGUUGUCUUUGUUGAAUGAGCUUACCAAAAAUAGACAACUUUAUCAAUUUUCUUUGUAUAUGUACUAGUUCUGCAGUUUCCUUGGUUUGGUGUUAAUUUUGUUUUUACGGCUUGUAAUGUCUACACUUAUUUUGCACAUGCUUAGGUUGUGAAGUUAGUGGUUUUGACCUUUUUCUAAGUUACAUUAAGGCAUUAAGCACAAUUUUCUUCUAUUGGACCCUAUUUAUUUUAGGCGAAGAUGAGGGCAGAGCAGUCCAAAUUUGCUGAAAGUAUGAAGUCAUCAGAAAACGAGGGGCAUGAUGUUCCAAUGUUAGAGACAGAUGUGUCCAGUUCAACUGGUGCGGUCUCUGAGGAGUCACUACCAGUUUGCUCCUUGUGCCGGGACUCGGACUCCAAAAGCCCUCUAUGCUAUUUGAUUCUUCUUCAGGUAAUCAUUGUUGACUUGACAUUAUCUGGUGAUACCUGAUAGGUCUUAAAGUAGCAACUGUCCUUUCUGCAUCAUUUUGGCGUGUAAUGUUUUCUGACUAGUGUUUGAAUAGCAUGUUGAUGUGACUUAAGCUUUCUUAUGUGUCCUACAAUUCAGAAAUCUCGGCUUGCAACUUUUGUUGAGAUGGGUCAUCCAUCCUGGGAUAAUCCAACUCAAGCAAACAAGACGUCUGGAUCAGUCAAGAAGGAAGAUUCAACUGAUUCCUUGGUCUCUGGUUCUUCAACUUCCGAGGAACUUGUCGAUGACACGACAGUAGAGCCAUCUUUUGAUUUAGACAGCAUGGAAGUUGAUGCCUUUCUUGAUUUUUCAAAUGAGCAGCAUCCACUAAUUCGAUAUAUAUCGUCUUUCCCAAGUGGACAUUGCAAUGGCAAUGCAGAUGACACUGUCUCGCUUGAGGCAAUUGAGGCUGAUAUUUACAACUCUAUUUUAAAUGAUGUAUUUGGAUCCAGUAAUGCACACAUUCAGAAUGCUGAGCAAACGUCGCCAUCAUCUGCUUCAAGUAUCACAGUUGAUUCCAAGAAAACCAGAAGCCCCAAGCGUUCUGUGCUGGGAACAUAUGUUAGUUGUCUAUCAGCAAAACACCGCCAUUCUUCACUCUAUGAUGUAGCUUCCAAAUCUUCUGCCUCUGUUAGUACAAGAAACAAGUUUGGUCCGCUUCAUUGUGAUGGCAUCCACAUUUCUUCUUGUGGACAUGCUGUACAUCAGGAAUGCCAUGAUCGGUAUUUGUUCUCCUUGAAACAAAGGUAUGCUGGGUUUUCUCCUUCAAAUCCCUUUUGUUCAACUGUAACUAUAGGCAGGAAAUAAAUAUUUUACACUUGUGCCCUUUGGGUAGGUGUUGUGUUUGAAUGGUGAUCCAUCAGUUAUAUGAGUACAGAUGCACACGAUGGUUGACUUAUAACCUUUGGAUGAUGCAUUUAAUUUAUGGGCAAUUAAUUAUUUGGCCAUCAAAUAAGUUCCAGUCUAUGAUUUGCCAUCGAGCAAGUCAGGUUUCGCGCCAGCAUCUGUAUUCUAAAUUUCUUCACUGCAUGCCAUUGCCGGAUGGCUUGGUGUGAUUUUUCUUUUAAUUUUAAAAUCAUGAUGGUAUGGAAAUUGGACUUGUUUGAUGGCAAAUCAUGAACUAGAAUCUUCUCCUAUGGUAGAUUUUGGAUUUAUUCUUCAAUGAUCUUUCAGUACUCUAUACAACUUGCUGUUUAGGAGCCUACUUGAAUUAAUAUAUAACACUGGCUGCACACCUCCUGUUGAUUGAUGCUUGCAGAAAUUUGUAACUUAUUUUCCCUUACAGAUAUGUCCGGAGACUUGGUUUUGAAGGUGGUCAUAUUGUCGAUCCUGAUCUGGUAUGUAUAUUGUGUUUGAAACUUGUCUUUUUUUUGUUUUUGUUGAUCCUGUGCUUACACAUUGCUAUGUGCAGGGAGAGUUGCUUUGUCCAGUAUGUCGCAGAUUUGCGAAUUCCAUUCUUCCAGCAUCAACUGAUUUCUCUAGUAAAACAUUGAAGGGGAAACCAUUUGUUGAAACCUUGACCCGUGAAGUUGUUAUUACAACUACGUCACAUCUAAAUACAAGUCACUUACAGUUUCCUCGAGCACUAUCACUUCUUGAAAGUGCUGGAAAAACUGUUGGACAAAGCAAGUUUCUAAAAGCUUUAUCAGGGAAGCUUAAUGAUACUACAGAGUCAUCCCUAGAACCUUCUCUUCGAAGAUUAGCCAUGCUUUACUAUCAUCGUGGUCCCAGCGGUUUUUCAGCAUCUGAAAGGAAAAGGCUCAAUCCAUCCUUGUUUCUCUGGGAUACACUAAGGUACUCUGUGGUAUCUACAGAAAUUGCUUCUCGUGGUAGGAUGUUAAACCAGUCUGCUGAGUCAAAGUCCUGCUUGGAAUCUUUGCGUGGUGAACUGAAUUCAUCAAGUGGAUUCAUAUUGUCCCUAUUAUUCCGUGUUGCUCACUCUGCACGAAAUUUGAAUCGUCUUGAGGUUCUUUUAAGGUUUGAAGGUAUCCAACUAUUAGCGGGGUCUAUUUGCUCUUGCAUUUCUGGUUAUAAAGACGUUCUUAAUGCUACUAAGCGAAAAGGUAUAUAGUGCACCCUUUCCCAUUACUUUUUUUAAUGUAUUUACCUGCAUGUUAGAUGGUACUCUUUUCCUUUGUUUUGAAGUGUCCUAUUAAUCCCAGUUCUAUCACAAAUCAUGACUUUUCUAUUUCAUUCAGUUUGGAAUUUACAAUAUUUACAAUUAAUACAAUAUAUUCAAAUUCAUGGAUUCUUAUAUGUUAGUGAUUUGAUGAUUGAUAUGUUGGUUCUUAAUUGUUAGUGUUUGUAGAACGGGUUGAUUCUUUUUUUUUUUGGCAGUGCUACUAUUAUCUUGUUGUUUUCUCUGUUGUGCUGACUAUGUUGUGCUGAUUAAUUGUUAUUGUUUCUGUCUUAGAUCAGAUGUACAAUUUUUUGUGGAGUGUCACUAUUGCCUUUGCUUUAUUAUUGUCCUGAUUUAUAUGCUAUGAACCAUUUUAAGUUUUUAUCUUAUUUAUGAUCCUAUUUUGCUUUCCUCUUGAAAGCCCUAAGUGUUGUAUAUCCUGCAUCUUUGUAUUGGUGAUUGUUAGUUUUAUAAUUUGUAUCUAACUGAAUUUUGAGUUGAUAGUACUUGCAUAGUGAAGAAUUCUUGUCUAGAUAUACUUGCAUUGAUUUUGAAGUAAUAAAUAAACCUUCCAACUUGAUGUAUUAGUAACAAAGUGCCUGAGUAAAGAAAUUGAUUUUUUCUUUGCAAAGACCUAAGCAUUCAUUAUCCAGUGCUCGUUAAAGAAACUAAAUCAAAAGGGCGCGGACCAGUUGUUGUAGGUUCUGUGCCUUUCAACAAAGUGCCUGAGUAAAGAAAUUGAUUUUUUCUUUGCAAAGACCUAAGCAUUCAUUAUCCAGUGCUCGUUAAAGAAACUAAAUCAAAAGGGCGCGGACCAGUUGUUGUAGGUUCUGUGCCUUUCAAGAAGGCUCCAUUACAUGUCAAAGUAGAAGUUGACCUAAACGAAAGUCAAUUUUCUUGUAGAACUGAUUUGGUCAUCAUAAUAUGCUAACAUUAGAUGUCUGAUGUACAAGAAAAAUAUCAAGAGGUAGUAUUUGGUUCUAAUGAUCAUAGCCCGGCAACUUGCGAAUUGCAUUUCUAAAAUUUGUGUUGCUGGCCUGGAUGGAACUUGAAUUAUUCUAUCUCUUGUGCACAUCAUGUCUCCAAAUCACUUACUCCCUCCGUUCCAAAUUGUAGGUCGUUUUGGCAUUUCUAGAUUCAUAGCUUUUAAUAUGUUUUAAUAUGUAUCUAGAUGCAUAGCAAAAACUAUGAACCUAGAAAUGCCAAUUUGGAAUGGAGGGAGUAUGGAAUAUAUAUUUAGGUAUCAAUUCUCACCUUUUUCAUCUUCAACAGGCUCUUUGCCACCUAUGGUUGAUCCAGGUGAGGAGGGUCCCCUCUUCCCUGACGUCCAAUUUUGGAAACAGUGUGCUGAUCCAGUCCUUGCUCAAGAUCCAUUUUCUUCUUUGAUGUCAACACUUUUCUGUCUACCUGUUCAGUUUGUAUCAUCUGCUGAAUUCUUCAUCCCUUUUGUCCAUCUGUUUUAUGUUGUUUGUGCCAUUCAGGUAUGCUGUUUGGUGUUGCUUUCUCUUGAGAUUUGCAGUUUAUAUGUUAGUUUUAUUUGAUUUAAAGCAUGUUAUUACAUGAAUUUUCCUGUAGGCCCUGAUAACAUGCUACGGAUCGGAAACUUUUGACCGAUCUAGCUUCAGUGACUGCCUUCUUAAUGAUGUUUGCAAGACAAUGUCAGGAUAUGAUAUUGCCAGAGAGUAUUUUGUAUCCAAAUAUAUCGACCCGUAUUGUCAUCCAAAAGAUAUGGUCCGUAGAUUGACGUAUCCUUAUCUUCGGAGAUGUGCAUUGCUUUGGGAGCUGCUAAGAUCGUCUGCCACAUCACCCUUAUAUGACAAUUCCAAUAUUUGGGAAGGAUCACAUCUUUACCUGAGCAAUAGCACACAAGAUGGAAGUUCUUCACUGGCAAUGGAGCUAAAUGGAAUAAGCGAAUUGGAAAAGCUGUUCCAGAUUCAGUCACUGGACCUGAUUCUCCGAGAUGAAUCUGUACAUGUGCUGGCCUUAAAAUGGUCUCAACAUUUCUGUGAAGAUUACAGUUCUCGCAAAUAUAGAGGCUCUCUCUUUUCUACCCCUGCAGUUCCAUUUAGGCUGAUGCAACUACCACCUGUCUACCAAGUUCUCCUUGAAAGGUUUGGUCUGAAUCUUCUAAGCUGAGAUGAUGUUUUGCAUGGGCUGUGCCUUGAUGGGCUAAGCUUUUCCCACAUUUCUGGAGCUAAUGGCUUGUCAUUUUUUGGAUCAGAUAUAUCAAGAUGCAAUGCCCCGAUUGUGGCUCAGUGCCUGAUGAACCGGCAUUGUGUUUGCUUUGUGGCAAACUAUGUUCACCUAGCUGGAAACCAUGCUGCAGGUGAUAGCACUUUGCUUUUUACAGUUCCAAGUAGCCUUGUUUUGGUUCUACUGUAAUUAAUGCUAAAUCCUAAUUAUUGUUUAUUCUUUGUAGGACUGGUAAAUGCCUGAAUCAUGCAUCACAAUGUGGUGCCGGUGUUGGCAUAUUUCUUUUAGUGAGGGUAUGUAUUAGCUUAUUAUUUGCCAUCACACCAAAUUAUUAUGGCCAGUGUACUUUCCUUUGUUCUUUCUGAGACCAAGCUCCUUUCCUAUUUUGACGGAUGUGCUGUGCAGAAAACAACGAUCCUGUUGCAGCGAUCUGCUCGUCUUGCCUUUUGGCCAUCUCCUUACCUUGACACGUUUGGGGAGGAGGUAUUGAAUAAUUUCGUAUGCUUUGUUGUUGUUUAUGGACUUAAGCCUGUUUGUUACGAUCCCCACUAAAUUUUCCUCCCAGGUCUCAAAUGGGAGCUUUUUUCUUUUUGAUGUUAUCCUCGUGCUUCUCCAUGAAGCAUCUCUUACAAUAGCAAUACAAAGUGAUUUAUGAUGGCUUGAUGCCGUGCCUAAUCAUCUGAGACCUUUUAUAGAUCAAUGCUGUGCCUAAUCAUCUGAAUCUUUUGAUACAUCAGACAUACUGCUGUAGGUCUGAUGGCGUAUUGAUCCUCUUCACUUUCUGUUUUCUGUGGAUAAACAUUGAUUAUUUAAGGUUAAUAUGGGUGGUAGUUUAUGCCUAGCUUGCAAGGCAAAUGCACUGUUAAGUGGGGGUAGUUGAGAUUUGUCCUUGCAUAGUUGCAUUCAUACUGCAAGGUCAUUAGACAAAUGCCUACAUACAAAAUUUUGCAAUGAGGUAAAGGGGGAUUUUUUUUUACAUGUCUAGAUGUGAGCUUAUUCCCCUUCCCUUCUGGCUUUCUGUUUGAAUGCAGGAUCAUGAAAUGCAGAGAGGAAAGCCUUUGUAUCUAAGUCAAGAAAGAUACACAGCCUUGACCUAUCUGGUAAUAGGCUGACACCCUUUCCUCUUUGCUUUCUCGACUUAAUGCUAUUAGGAAUUUGCACCAUUUUUUAUAAAUGGGAUGCAUGCCCUUUUUUAUGUGAUAGGUGGCAUCUCAUAGCCUUGAUCGAACUUCUGAAGUCCUUCGGCAAACGACUAUCAGCUUUUAUGGAUCUGGAUCUGAUUAAAUGCAAUUUCCAUGGAACAAUGUUGAAAGGUUUGGAUUAUGUUUAUGUUUGGCAUGUUGGAUUUAGAGAAUGGAAGGAUUGGCAGCUUUGUUUUCCCAAAUGCUUGUUCAUUGGUCAUAAUGGUUGGUUUAGGUGACAAACGGAAUUUGAUUAGUUAGCAAGGGCAUAUUUGUACUAUGGUAUGUGGUCACUAUUUACUUCUCUUAGUAGGCGUGCACAAAUCUAAACAUUGAAUAUAGAAAGAAGACGGAGUAAUCUUAACAUGUGUAUUAGACCCACCAGAGCAAUUAUGCUGCUGGCAGGUCACCCAGCCACAAACAAGUUUUGUCAUGUACAGUUCUAUGAAAGAGCUUGCCAAUGGAAUGAGAGGGGGCCAAUAAGAGAGUGGAUUAGAUAACAAUUAAGUGGUGACAUAGGGCAUUGCUUACCCUUGGCCUUAGAGAAGCUUUGCAAUUGUCUUGAACUGCAACAGCAGUACUCCCUCCGUCCCAAAAAAAAAAGUCAUUAUAGGAAGUUUAAGACAUACUAAUAAGGAGGUAAAAUGACCUUGUUUACCCCUAUUUAUUAGCCAUAUUUAGCACAAAUGGACAGCAUUAUGCAUAUGCACAUACCAAAUAGGGUAGAAUGACUUGUUUUUUGGGACAAAUCUUGAACCCUAGAAUGACUUUUUUUUUGGGAAGAGGGAGUACAUGAUAAUCUCUGUCGAAUCAUCACCGCUCACACCUUUAGCAGGACAAAUUUUACAUUGCAGUGUGAUACUAGGGUUAUUGUUAAUUUAUCAUUUGCUGCCUUGUCAGGGUCUUGUGGAUGUGCAUAUUUUUGGGAACUCUAGUGCAACUUGGUGUUCAUAUUUUCCAGCGGUAACAAGUGUUACCUCUCCCAAGGUUUACAUCUACAAGCUUCUUUUGCUAAUGGGCGUUUAAGUGCAAAAUGCUGUGACAUGCCUGUGCCAUUGUUUUCGCUUCUGAUUACUUGUCGAUCUUCCGGAUGGCGUGGAUCCUGCAGGCUUUGCCACCGGUCGUGCUUGGGGGCCCUGCCGUCCUCUCUUGCUGAAUGUACGGUUGUUUUCAUGCUUCUUUUCAUUGUUCAUGGCCGGUGCUUCCCAAAGUGGAUGAUAGGUAGGCCUAGUGGCGACCUGGAAUAUUUGACGAUCGACUGCUUGAUCUGUCUGUACAGUGUAUUACAUUGGAUCGGUGUAGUUAGUAUGAAAAAGGCAGGCAAGUGCCAUUUGGUCAUCAUGUGCUUUUGUGUACCAUGUUGCUUUGUCAUUUGUCUGCUGAAUCUUUCGAGUUCUUGUUUCUUUUUUCAUGCAAGUUCUUGUGUUGAAGCGAGGUCAGAGUGCUCUGCAUAGGCACUAACACAUUGUUUCGUUGCAGCACUAACACUCAGCUUGGGAGCGUCCCUUGUUGCAACCUACGUACGGUGUGCUUUGCUUCGAAGGUUGGGUAGAAAAGCAAUGAGAAGUCGCAUGAAAGAAAUGAGUAUUCAAGUCCGCAUAUCGCAUAAAAGGUGUAACGGUAAUUAAAAAAAACUCGACGAGUCCAAGGCUUCAAGCCUUGGAAACACAGUGGCUGUACCAGGUGUAUACAAAAGUCAUCUGCGGGAGUACUCAUCAACCAACUUCGUUCAGCUUGAAGAUAGAGGCUGAACAUCCGGCGAUGGACCAUGUUGCUUGGUUCUUCUUCGAGGAGGCACCUCCUGAAUUGCUCUGCUUUGGCGCAGCCAACCAUCUCCAGACGUUUCAGCUUGCCUAGAUUCUCUGCCUGGUCCAGGGCUGGACAGUCCUGCACGAACAAAUCCUCAAGCUUGGAAAGAUUGGCGAUCCUCGUAAGGCUUCGGUUGUGCUUCACCUUGAGCCACACAACAGCGGGAAGGUCCACAAAUCUCAUGUAGGCUAUGCGCACCUUCGACAAGUUUGCAGCCCUGUGCAGAUCUUGAGGGAGUGCCCUCAAUUUUGGACAAUGCAGUAGCGACAGACGCUUGAGGAGAGGCAUCAGUAUCACCUGGUUGGGGGAGUCUCCGAUUGUGUUCUGAUUGCACAUGCCUACUGUGCUCAGUGAGCAGGCCUCCACAAUUUUAUGAACAUUACAUUCAGCUCAAAUUCCUCAAACAAGACAUUGAAAAGCGAGGGCAGGAGAUUCAGCACGCUCAAACAAUACAAAAACGCCUUAAGCGAUCAUAUAAGCACACUGCAAAAAAGACAGAAGGCGCCACUGAAGAGGUGAUUUACAGCUAUCAAUCAACAAAAUUUCCGAUUCGACUACAAUUUUUUUGUAUCGAACACGCAAGAGAUUUGACUUGGUCAAAGUUGUGUUUUGAAGACUGGGUACUGCUUAUUUGGAACUGGAGUGAGCAUUAUACGUGUUUUCUUUAUGAAUAAUGUACUAUAAGAACAAAACAAAAGUUGUUCCAAACUAACCAAAUAAAAGUUCGCAGUAGAAAACUAUUGCUACAGUUAUAUCAGUUCCUUUUUGCGCAGCAUCCAUCUUUGGCGACAAUGGAUGGUAAUGUGUUCAAAUUUUAUUCCGUUCGGGUGCAAGUCUACUGUUGAAUGGCUUGGCUUCAAAACUUUGCCGCCCAGUUGUGCCUUGCGGACUUGCAGUUGCGGUGGUUGCCCACUACUUCAGCUUCCAACGGUCCAAGGUGUUUUGCACCAGCCACCAGGUACUGUGCCAUUCUGAAGAGCAUAUCAAAUUGUCGAGGAUUUUGGCCCAUAGCCAGACAUCAUACCACAGUCCAAGGUGCACACUGCAAUCCACCGUCGGCGGACCUGCUGAUCACAUGAACAAUGUCUGGUGUUGAUGGACGGCUAGUAACCAUGAUACCGGAACAAUUUACAAGGACGAAUGACGUUUCAGAGUAUCAGUAAAGAACAUUGCCAAUCACAAAAGGAGAAUAUAAGCUGAGAAAUUGCUGAAACAGUAGCAAAGCCUAAAUGUUGAUAACAACAUAUCAGUAUAUCACAUUAGAAAUGAAGCCAUACACUUUACUAAGCUAGUUUGCUCACCUUUCUAAUGAUAGAGAGAUUCAUCUGGAAAUAUAUCUCGGCCAUCCGCACCAACUGUUGCAACAUGUACUCAGAUGUCUUGUUCUUCUUUCAGGAGACAAUUCCUGAACUGCUGUCCGUUCAGGCAGUCAACCAUGUACAAGCACUUCAGUGAAGAUUGGAGAUUCUCCUCAAAGAUUUAUUGUUCUUGACCGUGAGCCACAAAACUUCAGGAAGGUUUACAACUUGUUGAAGCUUGUGAGCACCUUCAAUGUGAAUCCUUUUUAAAUUAACAGCUCUAUGCAAAUCUUCAGGGAGAGCUCUUAGUUUAGGACAAUCAAGGAGCAACAGGCGCUUAAGGCAAGGCAUCAGAACGAGCUGUUGAGAUUUGGUCUCCAUGUUAUUACACAAGCUUCUUGUUUUGAGGGACCAACUUUCCAAAUUGCGCAUGCGAAUGAUGUGAAGCAAUUCGAGCUUUGGGAAAACAGCUGCUGCUUUAGUCACACCUCUCCCCAGGAAUUCUGCACCCAUAGUCACUACUGCACCUGCACCUCUAAUCUGAAGAACUAGUAGUUCUGGCAUCUGGCCUACUGGUGGUAGUUGUAAACAUGAUAUGCACUCAUUGAGCUGCAUGUGAGACAAAUUUGGAAGCUUAUACUCUGGCUCUGAACAUAGCCAUUCUGGGAACCUUACACCAGGGAACCCAACAAAGAAAAUGUAUAAUAGGCUUGGUGAUGGAAUAAGCAUCUCAUAGACUUGCUGAAUUUUCUCAAUCUCACUGGCUUGGUAAUGAGUUUUAUCAUGAAUAUUCAUGCCCACUGUGCAGCACAACCCCAGUUCUCUGGCUUGGUAUUGCCUUUUCAAGCUUCUCAACCCAGAGGCGUUGGAUAUUGGUGAGACAUUUUAAUUCAUCCAAUCUGAACCCAGUCUCACUUUCAAAGACACCUCUGAGGUAGUAGAGCUGCUGGAACUGGCAAUUCCUUUUGGAACAUGAUCAAUAGCAGUCUUUUCAAGUUUAAGAAAACUUAUCUGUGAUAGUCUCAUUAAACAAACUGUCAGACUAUCCAACUUAUGGCAACCACGCAAUGAGAGAGAUUCAAGGCUGGUAAGCCUUCCAAUCGAAUCUGGAAGUUUGCUGAUCUCUGUAUAACUUAGAUCUAGCAACCUCAACAACACCAGGUUUCCCACUGACUCUGGAAUGAUUAGGAUGCCCGAUCCACUUAGAACUAAGACACGGAUGUGCUCAAGCUUUCGGAAAAUAUUCGUGUUAACUGACUUGAAGUUCUUGUUAUUGAAAAUUAGGAGGCUCCUCAUGCAUUUAUACUCUCCUAUAGCAGGUAUUUCUUCUACAGAACUGCUGAUACUUAAGCACCGCAGAUUAGGCGGAACUUCAUUAUUUUCUGCAUUCAUGAAUAAGGAAUGAUACCUUGUCAAAUACUGCCCAAGUGACCUCAAUAGAUCGUGCAUUGUUGAAAUACCUUUGUCCACGAAUUCUGGUUUUGGUUGCAGAAGAUUCCUCGUAAUUAGCUCAUAAUAGUAUUCUUCAGCAAUUGCAUGAAUCGAGCACUUGUGAUCUUUCCUCACAAAACCUUCAGCAACCCACCAGUAAGCAACAGCAUUACGCUCGAUUGCAAAAUUUGGAGGCAACAAAGCACACUCUUAAGUUGAGGGGUUAAGUUGCUAUAACUCAUAUAUAGGGGGCCUCCUAGUUCUUUGGGAAGUCCGUGGAUAGACCAGUUGCUAUCUCGGAUGCUCUCCCAUUCUGCCCUUGUUCUUUUAGUAGAUAGAACACCCGCAACAACCGCGAUGGCUAGAGGAAGACCAUCACAUUUUCUUACUAUUUGACACCCAACAUCACUAAAUUCAUUUAGUUGCACAUAUAUGGUCGGAAAGACUUCUUCAUUAGAAGUUCCAGGCCAUCAUAAUCAUUCAUUUUGUUUACUUGGUGAGUAUAUGUUGCGUGCAUUCCUGCCAAAACAUCCAGGUUUCUUGUGGUGACAAGGAUAUUUGCAUUCGAGCAUCUCUUGAAAGGCGAUCGGAGAAGAUCAAUCCAGACAUCAGAUUUCCACGCAUCAUCUAAAACAAGAAAUACACUCUUUCCUCUGAUAGUGUCCAUCAGAUGGAAAAGAAGUUCGGUCUUGGUCUCAAGCUGACCACAUGUUGCUCCAGCCAUUCGUAUUGCCUGCCUUGGCAAACCAAUCUCUGUGUAGCUCUGAGAAACGCACAACCAUAUAUGAACUUGGAAUUUCUCCCUUAUCCUCUGCUCAUUAUAUAUCUUCUGAGCUAAUGUUGUCUUACCAAUGCCUCCCAUCCCUUGAAUACCAAAAACAGUUGAUUUGUCUUCAUGAAAAUUACUAAGAAUCAUUUUGACCAUGUCAUCAGUCGCCUGUCUGAUAUCUCUUCCAAAAACCUCUAGUUCAUCUAUGGGUGAUGUCUGACUUCUAUCCACAACAGGUACUUGAUACUGUUGACUACUGGUCCUCUCCAAGCUGAUGAACAUGUUUCUGUUCUUUUGAAUUUCAUCUAGCUUUCUGUUUAUAUCCUUGAUUCUUUUAGCAACCCUGUGAUCAAAUGAAAGUUUCGCGAUAAAGGACAAAAGGGACUGGUUGCAACAUUCCAUUCUAGGUGGCAGCAAUAGCUUCUGUGAGUGAACCAUGAAGUGAUCUAUGACAUCAUCCACAUCAAACAUAACGUCAGUCAUGUUCUUCCACCAUGACUCUGCCCCCCUAUCUUGCUUCAGCAUCCUCACCAACAGCGCCAAAAUGUUCCAGAUUUUUCUUGAGCCUCUUGAUAUCCCUUUUCACACUCAAUGUCAUUGCAACUUCAUCCUGGAUAAUCUGACUAAGCUUUGCCAGGAAUUUUGAAGUGAGAGCAUCCAAAAAUGCACCCAUACUGCUCAAACAGCUAGACCUAUGGAUUGUCACCGGAUCUCACUUGCCCUCAAGCUUCAGAUUGUAUAUGAUAUAUCUCAGUUAACCGCAGCUCAUUCGAGAUUGGAAAGGGUAGGAGAUGUUGAAAUAGAGGGAGUGCAGUUUGAUGGAAUUGGAGAGGCCAAUGCACAAGUGAGCUGUUAUAAGUUCCCAUCACUGUAAAGACCCGACCUAAUCAUAGACACCUAAUGUCUUGGGCAUUCCCAUUUGCUUCCAAUCUUUUCAACACAGGUAAGAACAUAUAUCUCAAAAAACAAAGGACUAUUGUUGCAGACUUGCUGACGGGAGGGAAAGAGUCGCCACCAGAAAAUAUUUGUUUGACGGCAGACAUUCGUGCAUUUCCUCGAACAGUCCAUAUGCGUUCAAUCGUUGGUCUCCAACUCUCCGUAGACUAAGUUUCUUGUUUAUAAAAAAAAAUCGAGAGAGAAGAAUUUGCGAUAGCUGCUCCAUCGUUUUCGCCAAUCUACGUACAGAGAGAGAGCGAUCAAAACAGGCCGUCUACUAACAUCACCAGAAACAAAUCAGCCCGAAACUUCCAUUAGAUUUGUAGGCUUUUUCGCAGAUACACAGAGAGACCUGCAUGAGAAGCGCGCGCUGCGGUUGUCCACUGCAUUGAUUGGUUGGCGACGCCGACUACCGGCCGCGGCGAUAGCCACAGCUCGUCGGCCGGCAGCGCCGCCCACCGCCGGAGAAGAAGCCUGCCAUCCAGGGGCUCCACAUGUUUAUCGGGCCCAGGCGCACAGCCCAGCCCAGCGACACGUUAGUACAACACAGGCCGGGCCCUCUCUCUCUCUCUGUUCGUGUCACGCCGCCCGGACCGCCCCCGGGUCCAGCAAACUAUGAUGAACAGCCCAACCUUGGUGGCCCUCAAAUCAAACCAAAACCAGGAGUCCAGGACCGUACAAACACAUGCUGAUCGAAUAGGCGAUAGGCCGAAGGUCUGCGAUUGAGAUGAUGAAUCGAUUUUUCUUUUUCACCAAUGUGGCAAUUUAUUAACUAUCCGCUUCCUCUCCCUUGCAAGAAGACAUUUUCGCCGUUGCAAGAAAAGCUCCCAGUGAAAGGGGGGCAAAAAAAAAUCAAGUCACACGACAUCGAGAGUACACAAAGAUGGUAGAUGCAUAUAGAUGGAUGGUUACACGAGACACUGAAGACAGUAAGCAGGCAGCACAUACAACACGGAGCAGAGCAUUGCCUGCUUGCUACACACACUGACACUGCUACAGAUGAGCCCCACAAGCGACCUGCCUGCGAGGAAGGACACGGCGACGACGGCGACUCGCAUCUCAGUACCAUUAUUCUUCUCCAUCAGUACGAUUACUAGCAGCAUGCGCAACACUGUUAUUAAGCAUGCCACACACACACUUAGGACACAACACUGCUAUACUAGGGUGUCCUUCCGAUCGCCUCCACCGGCCAGGGGCCGCGCCAUGAGCUCAUCACUUGCCGCAGGUGCAGGGGUUGCAGGUGCAGUUGGGGCCGCACUGGCACCCGCCGUUCUCGGCUCCGGCGGACGCCGCGCCGCCCUCGAACCCGCCGUCGGCGUGCCUGCGCAGAGAAAGCCAAGAUAUGACAGAGUCAGUGGCCUGGCUCAUACAUGCAUACAGAGCAUUUUUGGCAUGUUCGCUACCAGCAGCUACAUACGAGUGCAUGACGUCCCAGACUUCUCAGUUCAGGACAAAUUAAAGUUCUUUUUUUUUUCUUUCUGUUUUUGGGCCAGCAGUUUGUUUGUUUCAUGAUUGCCAAAAACUGCUUUCGUCGUAGCUUACUGCUCCCUGCUCGUUGCUGAUGGCGACUGAAAUUUGUACUACCACUAUGCGGACAAAUACCACAGCUACGCAUGCUAACAGAAGUUGGUACUGCUCCCUACACGAUCGAUCGAUCUACCCCCACAACACAAGGCAAAAGACAGUAAAAAUAGUACAGCUAGUAAUUCUGCACCACAGAAACUGACUGCUAUUAUUAGCAAAGGUGUGGAUGGUGGAUCAUUCAGAUCAACACAACACCGGAAUGAUCUAUGAGCAUGAUGUAGAUCAGUAGAUGGGAAAAGGGAUGGAUGAACAUACCCCUUGUUGGAAGGCGCAACGCCCGUGAUGACGGUCUGGGUGGUGGUGGUGCCCUGCUCAGCCAUGUCCGGGAACAUCUUGCACCUGCAGAUCAUGCAAGCGGCAGAUCAGCAUCAUCAGAAAUUUCCCUUGUUGAAGGAGCACAACUACAGCAUGCACAUCGUUUCAGAGAAACGAAGUUCAUCAGACAGGAAUUCACAUGCGCAGCAACAUGAGAAAACCUCUCUGUUUUUUUUCUAAAAUAAAAAAGGGGAGCUUGAUCUCCCAGCUCUACAUAUCCUAUACUCAAAGAUCCAUCCACAAAGGUCCAGCAAGAACACAAGAACAACCGAAUACAUGCAUUCAUAUGGGUAUUGACACAUGAUAGACACGCAUCAGACUAUCAGAGAUCUGAGGAGCGUGGCGUCGUGGGGCUUACCCUCCGCAGCCGCUGCCGCACUUGCAGCCGGACCCGCACCCGCAGUUGCCUCCGCAGCACGACAUCCUCGCGAGAUCGAUUCAGAGACGAACACAAGCAGAGAGCGGCGUUCUUGGCAAUGAGUCACUGAACAACAACGAGAUGCAGUAUGCCUUCCCCCUG
rnacentral:lncRNA from 1 species